UGAGUUAUCAGAUAAGAUUAAAACUCACCCAAUUCAAUCCAUCAGAUUCCGUAAGGAUAUAACUGGAUGUCAUACCGCCACUCCAUAUCCUUGAAAGUCCGUAGUGUUUGUCUCAACUCUGUCUGAGGCCAAUGUAAAUUCAAUUUGCGCAAGCUCUUUAUGCACCACAGCUCUUCUGGAAGCUUUCUCAAGUAAGCACAUGGGUUGACAAUUAAGCUUUCAAGUUUCGGCAUUGCUCCAGCCCCCAUCGUCCACUCAUCUAGCCAAUACAUUGAUUUCAGGUGCAAAACCUUAAGUUCCGGAAAGCUACUCAAGCCAACACAAGCAAGCUUUCUUCCUAAAUACGAGUUCUGCUUCAGUUUCAGCACUCGAAGGCGUGGAAGAUUUUCCAGAAUUGGCAUGGGAUCCUCCAUUAGCUCAGUAUUUGAUAAGCUCAGUUGGAUCAGACUUGGGGGAAAUUGGUAUUCAGACAGGACCAUCCGUGAGGGCUUGCUCUCAUUCACCAGCUUCAAGCAUUCAAGUUUGUGGAGUUCGCAAAGGCUUUUGGAAACCGCAGAUUGAUAGUAACUCAAAUCUCCAGAUAUCCGAAGAGUCUGAACACUAGGUAGUCUGCCCAAUAUAUCAGGAGUACAACUACUAGGGUUUAAAGCUGAUAUGAAAAUGAGAUUUUUCAGAGAGCUGGAAUAAUUUUUUGGAGGUGCGGGCAGAGUGAUAGAACCAAAGUUUAGAUGCAUGAGUUUUUGCAUCAUCCAAAUAUCCUCUGGUGACUGAUCUAUGUAGCUAGAUGGCAUUUCUAGUGUUUCAAGGUUUAAAAGGGUGCAUAGCAGCGAAGGAAGGCGUUUGAGCAAAGGGAUAUUCAAUUUCAAAUACUUCAAAAGGAAUAAAUUUUCUAAUCCGGGUGGAAAUUGGUCGAGAACUGCAGAACCGAAGUUCAGUACCCGAAGGUGUUUGAACUUUUUACAAAAAUUCUCGCAAUCUAUCACAGCGAGAUGAUCGCCUUCUAAACUUUGAUUGAUAAAAGAUUGGAGAUAGAUCUCACCAUGUUCUAAAGAAAUGAAGUCAGUCAGAUGUUCCAAAAUGAUGUAGCGUUUAACAUUUGCAAAUGGUUCCGCUUCCAUUCCAGGCAUCCAGAGAAAUUUCGUCUUGUCUGCCACCAAACCCAAUGAAGUAUAUACAAAACUUGGAACAUAGCAAGCUUUAAUUGUGCCGCCGGCUCUUCUCUUACUCACUUGAAUGAAGCCGCGAUGGAUUAGUUCUUUCAAGUAAUGUUCGGCAGUUUCUUCACCGUUGUAUGGUAUGAAACCUUCAGCUACCCACAACUGAUAUAAUUGCUCCGUAGAUAUCUCCAUACUUGGAGGGAAGACCAACAAAUAGAUGCAGCAGACCUUCAAGUGAAAAGGUAACUCCAUCACAGAAAAAAUUUGUCUCCAAACUGUCGGAAUCGCUUCGCCUUGAAGAUAAUUUUCUAAUGGCAUACUUCCAUAGUGUAGGAUGAAAAAUUGCCAGGCUUCAUGCUUUAAUCUUAUCAAUGGUCCUCCAAUGAGCACUGAAUCACGCCGAAUUUCCUCUCCAUUUUCCAUUUCCAACGACACAAGGAGGUCUGGUUCAGUGACUGUUAUCAAUACUCUGCUUCCAUUCUCAUCAUCAGGGAGAACUUCUUCCAGAUCAUCCCAUAUCUCACAGUCAUCGAAGACGUCAUCAAGCACAAUAAAAUACUUCUUGUUUGUUAGGUAAUCUCGAAGAAUAGAUUCCUUGAAUUGAUAAUCUUCACCGAUAAUUACACUAACCCGAGAUGGAGGCAUCACAGACUUGAUUAUGUCAUCCAAUAUCUUGCGAAAAUCGUAGAGUAGAGAAACCCUGACCCAAGCAAGACAGUCAAAAUAGAACUUGACAUAGUUAUUAUUGUAAGUAUCUGCAGCAAAAGCAGUCUUAUCGAAGCCACUGCUGUCGAGAAUUGCAACCACUGAAAGCCCAGAUGGUCCCUCAAUCAAUAGAUCAAACAACUCCUCUCUGCCCCUUUCAAAUUCACUGAUAUCAAGCCGAGGAUGUCCCUCAUUCAAUAGGCGAAUCAUUUCGUUACUUUUUUCACUGAUAUCAAAACCAUUGUCGCCGGGUGGAAGUUGUUGCAUCCGAUUUCUAAUAUCAAUGAUUUCACUGUGGAGUCCAUCAGGAAGAGCCAUAUUAGUGCUGCUUUCACUUUCGUUUUCACUGUUUUGCUGCUGCAUGAUGUUGAUGAAGAAUGUGUCAAUGACUUCCUCAGAGUCACGGACAAAGUUAUUGAUGUCCUUCAGAAUUUCAAAAAUAUCUGCUGUUUCAACGUCUUCUUCAUCGCUUUCUUCUAAGUCCAACAGUUGCAAAAAAGGCAAAGAUAUUUUGGAGUCAUCGAUAUCUUCUCUAAGGAGUUGAAUCAAAUGCCGAGCCAUGUCGGCUUCAUAGUUUCCCAGAAGAGUAGUAGCAAUAAUUUCGGACUCCGUAAGAAGGUUUUGAAAAAGUGGAGUUAAAUUUGUUGAAUCUGGCAGAGGCAACGUGCCUUCUUCACCUGCUAACACCCUUUUCAACCUCUCACAAAACAGUCGGAGGUGGACGUCCAGCAUAUCUCCUUCUCUCUGUAGCACCCAGAGGUAUUGUUUUUUGCUCCAAGAAAUAUUAAAAGGAUUGGUUCUAUCUAAAAGUGGUUACUGGUGUAAAAUUAAACGCCAUGGGAGAAUUUGAAAGGAAGAUGCCAAGGAACUGGCGAAGUGGCUAAAUUCCACAAAUACGGCAUUAUUGCUCAUUUUUAACUCAAAAAAUUGAUACGCCUUCAUUUAGCGAAAAGUCCAAGACGCUUGCCUUUUGAAAAGAAGAGGUAUCCAUAGAUAUCCAACAUUUAUCUUAUUUUAAUUACUACCACGACAUGAUUGAUGGUUGUUAAAUCAAUUGUUUCUUUUUUAAUUUAAAGAAAUUUUCAUUAAAAAAUAGUUUAAUAGACACAUAAUAUUACAAUAAAUAAAGUAAAGUUUAAAUUAUUUUGAAUAUUAUAAAAAAUAAUUUUAAUAUUAUUAAUAGGAAGACAUUUUGUUAAUUUUAAAAUCUUUUUAACCCAAAGGUUUAUUUAAAAUCUUUAUUAUAAAUACAAAUAUAAAAUUAAAUAUCAUAAUUUAAAAUUUUUAAUAUUAUUUUAAGUAUUAAAAAUAUUUUAAUGUUAUUAGUCUACUACAUAGAUUUUAUUAUUUAUAUUAUAUCUGUAUUGAUUAAAAUUUUUUAAAGUCAAUUUUUUAGUCAAUAUAUUCAAGAGGUAUUAUAGUUAAAGAAAAGAUUUUGGUGUUAUUUUUUGAAAAUUUUAAGGUUUAAAUGAUUUUUUUUUUAAUUUUAAGGAUGUGGGUAUUAUUUUUCCGACAAUUUAUUUUAUUUUUGGGGAAUCCGAUGAGAAAUAUCAUGAGAGAAGGUUAAUUUUACAUUCUUUACCUUUAUGAAAAAAGUGGAAACCAAGAACUAUUCAAUUUUGUAUUUUUUGUUUGUAAUUCAAAAAAUGCAUCCACCAAACAAGCUUAUCUUGAUUUUCCCACUUUAUUCAUUUUCGAUCCUUUAAUCCAUCUAGCAUCUGCAGCCCCCGCUAUUUUCACAAAGAGUAAUGAUACAGCCACAAAUUCUUGUACAAAUUUAUUUUGUAUAAACUGACGUGGCAUGAUAAGAUUGGUUGAAUUAAAUAUCACUUGGCCCACAUGAUUUGUUUUUAUUAUUUUAUAUUUUUAUUCAACCAAUGAAUUAAUGCCACGUCAGUUUGUACAAAAUAAAUUUGUACAAGAGUUUGUGGCUGUAUCAUUACUCUGUCAAGAAUCUCCAUCCCACAGCUACACUAUCAAACAAGUUGAUGGAAAUUGAACAAUUGCUUUUUGAAGUGGACCCAUUAGGUUAUGUUCAUUACUGGUCAUUGUCUAUUCUUUCUAAGAGCCACUUAUUUUGAGCAUUAGCGAUCCUAUCUGGACUACUCCAAUUAUUGAUGUAACUCCAAUGGUUGCAUCAACAGUUGAAUGUAAGAUAGUGUCAGUUCUUUUUUGAGAAUAUAGAGGGAUCUUUAUUUGUUUCUCCGUUGCAGCGUAUUAGUAUAAAUUUCUUGACCUUACAGUUCCUACAGUCUUCCUGUUAAUGAAUUCGCUGAGGCAUUAUUGAUCCAAUCUCAGUGAAGUAAUUGUGGGUGAAAAAAAAAUAAAGGAUAAGAGAACGUAGCUCAAGUGCUGAAUUGACUAUUAAAGAAGAGCGUCACCUGAUCACAAUCACAUUGAUGCACAACUCACUCGAGGCAAAUUUCAUCUAUAUAUACUGCAAAUUCAGCCAAGCCAUGCAUGCAUGAACAAAACUAAAAUGAAGUUCAUAAUCACAACUGUAAUUAGAGCUACAAAAGGUGGCAAACCAUACAUGCAUGAACAAAAUUAGACAUAAAUUGAAGCCACAACAUUAAUUGAAGCCACAAAAGCCAGCAAAUCCAAAUGAAAACUUAAAAGGAAGAUCUUAUCGAAGUUUGUCCCCAAAAGACAGCGGAAAUGAAAAAUAUUGACUAUCGAGUGGAUCAAUGCUGAAUUACAUUUGACCUGGAAAGCUUGGCUGCAGUUGCGAUGUUCCCCCUCUGAUUUUCCCUAAAACAAAUUCAGUUGUAAACAAUAACUGGAGUAGCAACAAUUUAUUCAUUAUAGAAAAUACCUAAAUUUUCAACUAUCAAAUCCUCUUGUCUAAACUAAAAAACUCAUAUCUCUAAAAUCUAUAUACAAAAUGUCAUAAAUGAGGGUGAUCUCUCAAUUCGGUAAACAAAUUCAUGCAUAAUAUUACCAAUAAUGAUAAAUUACAUAAUAAUUAUUAUAAAGAAUCAUAAAUUGGAAACAUUAAUCAUUUUAAAAUCUAUUACAUAAUAAAAAUAAAUCUUAUAAUAAGUUACGUUAGAACAUAACAAAUAUUUAAAAUGAUAUAUAUAAUUAUUUAAGAAGUCUUUUAACAAUAAUUUUUUUUUUCUUUUUCAGUUGAUCAUGUCAUAGCGUUAUCUAAAAUGCUAGCGAUAUCAUUAUUCCCCACUUUUCUCAAAAAAAAGAAAAAGAUAAAGAAAAAAGAAAUAUGAUUAACGUUUGGAGAAAAGUCAUGCCUUUUAAAAAGAAUAUGUAUACAAUACCAAUUCAUACUUUAUCUUACCAUAAAAAAAUUGUUUAAAAUAGAUUUAAUGCACAAAUAUGAUGACUUUUGGCAGAAAUGAGUUUCGGAAAUAUUGGGAUGAAAACCAUAUUGGUUCAGACUUAAAAUUACUUAAUAAAAUUACUUAACUACCAUUUAAUAAAUAAAAAUCAUAUUAGUUGAAAGUUAAAUUAAGAUUUAAAUGUUGAGAUAUCUAACGUUACUCAAUCAGAAUAAACAAUAAUCAAUUCAAAUUAUGACUAUCAUGUAGAAGCAAAUGUUUAUGCUUGGGUCUUUUACUUCUUGAAUUUGAUUGGAAAAAUUUCUGAGACAGGGAAGUGAGUGUUUUGGAUAAUAUUUUUCGGGAUUGAAACCACAAGUUGGUCGAGGAAAAUAAUUUUGGACAAAUUUUUAUUAUAUUGUAGAACCUUUUUGGUUCCUUUUGUGUCGGCAGCCCCUCACUAUUCUCUUAACCCUGAGUUUUGAGAUAGAAAUUUCCCGAACUCCAACCCCACAUCCACAGACAAGUUGAUUGAAACAAUUGCUCUUGUAAUUAAGAGGAUGAGUUAGGGUUCAGUUCUUAUCAUUGUCUGUUAUUUCUUUGAAUCAUUAUCUUAGUUAAUUACAUCAAUUGUUUCUUUUCUUAAUUUAAAGAAUUUUUCUUUUAAAAAAAUAUUUUAAUAUCAAAAUGCGUUAAAUGGUAUUACUGCCGCAAUCCCAGUAACAGGAUUAAUUAAAAAAAUAUUCUUAGGAAGAUAUUUUGUUUAUUGUAAAAUCUUUUUAACCCAAAGGUUUAUUUAAAAUCGUUAUAAUAAAUAAAAAUAUAAAAAAAAAUAAAUAUCAUAAUUUAAAAUUUUAAUAUUAUUUUAAAUAUUAAAAAUACUUUAAUGCUAUUAGUCUACUACACAGGUUAUAUUACUUAUAUUAUAUUUGUAUAAAUUAAAACUUUUAAAGUUAAAUUUUUAAUUACUAUAUUGAAAAGGUAUUAUGGUUAAAAAAAGUUUUGGCAUUUGUUUUUUGAAAAUUUGAGGGUCUGCAUGACAAUUUGUCCAAAUCCUAGAGGUAUAGGUGUCUUUUUUUUUCGAUAAUUCAUUUUACUUUUGAGGGAAUCCGAUGAGAAAUAAGAUAAGAGAAACGUCAAUUUAACGUUCUCUAGGGAAAACCAAGAACUAUUCAAUUUUGUAUUUUUUGUUUGUAAAACAAAAAACAGUUUGCCAAAAAAGGUACCAAACAUAUCCUUAAUGUCUCACAUGAUUUCUUAUUAAGUCCAUACUCGAUAUAUUUAUACAUUUUAGGUAUUUUAGUUAUAAAAGAAGUUGGUCCUCCCUCUGUUUAUAAAAGGUAACUUUAUUUCGAGAUUACCACUAAAGUCUUACAAAGAAUUAGUGUAAUGUUAAGAGAGACUAACACAGUUUUCCAUUACCAUUUUGAAAAUAGAAAGAUAUGGAUGUGUGCAUUUAAUGGUGCGUUUACUUGCCGGAUUGGGGAAUCAGAAUCUGGAAUCAGAAUGAUUGAUGGUGUUUACUUCACAAAUAUGGAGCAGGAAUCGGAAUUGGAAUGGUGGGGCCCACCACUAUUUGGGAAUGGGAGAUUGAUUCCCAUGGGGGAAGGUGGGAAUGAGUCUCUCAUUCCCUGGAUUGACCAUUUUGCCCUCCCUCAAAAUUAAAAAUGCCUACUUUGUCCUCUUUUAUAAUUAAUUAAUAUAAUAUUAUAAUUAAUUAAUUAAUAUAUAAAUAUUUUAUUAACUAUAAUUAUUAAAAAUUAUAGUUCUUGAAUAAAUAAUCACAAUAAUUAAUUUAUUAUUAUUAUUGUUAAUGAAUUAAUAUAAUUAUUACUAUUAAUUAAUAUAUUAAUAUAUUAUUAACAAUAAUAUAUUAAUAAUUAUUGUUCGUGAAUAAAUAAUCACAAUAAUUAAUAUAUUAUUAUUGAAAUUAAUUAAUUAAUAUACUAUUAUAAUAAUUAUUAUAAUUAAUUCAUAUAUUAUUAUUAAUUAAUUAAUAAAAUUAAAAUUAUUAAUUAAAUAAAUAAUAUAAUUAUUACUACUAAUUAAUAUAUUAAUAUAUUAUUAAAAAUAAUUAUUAAUAAUUAUAAUUUUUGAAUAAAUAAUCACAAUAAUUAAUAUAUUAUUUUAAUUAAGUAAUUAAUAUUAAUAUUAUUAGUUAAUAUAUUUUUAUAAUAAUUUUUGAUAUAGUUAUUAUAAUUAAUUAAAAUUUUUUACAAUUAAUUAAUAUAUUAGUUAAUAAUAAUUAUGACAAUAAUUCAUUAAGUACUUUUUAGUAAUUUGUUACAAUCUAAUUCAUUCCGAUUCCGAUUUCAAGACAAAGUAAACACAUUAAUGGCAAUCUAGCUCAUUCCGAUUUCGAUUCUUACAGUUCAAGUAAACAACUUAUUUUGAUUCCCAUUACCUAUUCCCAUUCCAGCCCAUUCUCAUUUCUGCCCAUUUCAAUUCCAGCUCAUUCCGAUUCCAGUUUAGUAAACGCAGCAUAAGAGUUAUCAUGAAAAUCAUACAAUUUAAUUUCCUGAAAUAUAUAUUUUAUUCACAUGUGCCAAAAGAAUAAAUAGAUAGAAAGUAAAUUUACAAUCCUCACUCCCUCAUAAUUGUUAAAGUGAAUAUGCAUUACAACUGUGAACUGUCACUACUUUAGCCCUUUAUUUGUUUUUUCAAUUAUAGUGUGAUGGAGACAGUGAACAUUAAGGAUAAAGUGCUCUGCUGAAAGCCAAACUUCCUUUGGCUAAUUAAUUUAGAAGUAAAGCAGAGAAUAAAGUCCUUGAUGCCUUCUGAAAUUAGAAAUACAUUUUAUAUGCUUUAAUUAUGAUUAUUUGGUAGACUAUUGACCAAAAGACAUGUUAAAGUAUAAAACAGAGCGAUUAAAGAAAAAAAAAAGGAGCGUUUGUGACGUAGAAUAACAAUUUGUAAGCAAAGUCCUAAUUUGAGUUGUCAAAAAGCAAACAUAACAGAGAAGGUAAGAGAGAUGCAAAAACAGAAAACUAUUAGCUUAUCUUGAUUUUCCCACUAUAUUCAUUUUCGAUGCUUUUCAAACGAGAUUCUUUUAAUCCUUCUGGCGUCUGCAGCCCCUGCUCUUCUUAUAAAUCUCCUUCCCACAUCUGCACUACGAACAAGUUGACUAAAAUUAAAUAAUGUUGGAGACGAGGGGUGAGCCGUCAACUUAUUAAAAAAAACUCAUGUAUAAUAUUAUCAAUAAUAUAAAAUAUAUAAUAAUUAUUAUAAAGAAUCAUAAAUUAGAAAAAUUAAUUAUUUUACAAUUUAUUUCUUAAGUAAGAUAAAUCUCGUAAUAAGUUAAGUUUAAUGUAAAAAAUAUUUUCAAUUUAUAAUCAUUUAAGAAGUCAUUUAACAAUAAAAUCUUUUUUUUGAUCAGGUGGCCAUGCCAUAGAGUAUCAUCUAUAUUCGUGGUGAUAUUAUUAUUACUCAAUAUCCUCAAAAGACACUAUUUAACAUUUAGAGAAAAUUUCUGCCUUUUAAAAAGAACAUGUAUGCAAUAGCUAGCCACACUUUAUUUUACCACGACAAAAUUGAUAGUGAUUAAAUCAAUUUUCUCAAUUAAAGAAAUUUUUUUUAAAUUGAUUUAAUGCACAAAUAUGAUGAGUUUUUGCAAAAAUUAGUUUUGGAAAAUAUAGUGAGAGAGAAUGGUGACGAUUAUUUUUCAGAUGUGCAAAUAGCCUAAACAUAAUCUCUAAUACCAAUAUCCUUGUGCAUCUUAACACCUUUCAUGAUAUUCUUUCAUUCAUAACCAUUUGUUCAAUAUUUGAAUUUGAUUAUUAAAUUAUGUUCAAUAAUGUUAGAGACCCCAACAAUUGGGUACCAACUUAAAUCCCAAUGCUAUGUGUCAAUGUAACAUAGCAAAAUCCCAUUAACAAAUGUUGUGUCAUUUAUCAUUAUUGAAUGAAUAAUUCGUUAAUUUAUUGAUAAAUGAAAAUUUAUUAAUUUAAAGAGAGAUUUUUUUUUUUGGUUUUAAGAAGAGUUUUGUUGGUACAUGUACAUACUUAUAAAGGAAAAACUUGUAAUUAUACUAUAUCUUUCUUUCUUUGUUCAGUUUGGUGGGAUAUUGUGAUAAAUCAUUGGAUUAAAAUGCAUUUCUAAAUUGAAACUUGUUAAAAUCUAAUUUAUUUGGGAAACGCAUAUUAUUUGUCAGUCGUACUUCUCAACUUAGCAAGUUAUUUCUAACUUGUCGGUCUCUAUUGGUUCUCUUAAAACUAAUAGUCUCGUAUCUCCCGCAUUUGAUAUCUUGCCAUUACUGUUGGCAUUAACAUGUUACCUGAGAUUGGGAUUCAUUAAAAUCCUCAAUGUAAUCGGUGGAACGAAUGGAUUUCUUCUGUUCACCAAUCCACCAAAAUUUCUGUAAUUAAAUUCAAAAGUCAAGAUCUAUGCUUAUAAUCUAUUCAACAGCUAAUAUUCUAUUUUAUAUUUACUUAAAUAUGAAGAGCUAUGCUUGUAGUUAACUUCAAAUGUGAUCGAAGCAGCCUUACAUCUAUAUAUUACUUAUGCCCAACCUUUUUUUUUGACUUCAUAUACAUUCUUUUCAUGUUAUUUACUCUUUUUUCCCCCUCUCUGACAAUUGAGGUAGGGGGUCAAACUUGAAAGUAUCUUAAAAUCAGACAAUAAUUUUUUUUUUUUAAAGAUAGCUACUAAUAUGCUCUAUUAGACAAUGAUAAGUAAUAACCUAGUUGUUUGCAUUAGAAAUGAUAUUUUUUGUGGUGCUGAUAAAGAGGUUGAUUAUGAUUCAACAAUUUAAAAUAUGAAAACAUGUGGAAGACGGCCGCAAUUAAAUUGAUUGUAUGAAAAUAUUUCAAUGAAAUUUUAAAAGUUUAGUACUUGUUAUCUUAUCGAGAGUUUUUUUAAAUUAUAUUACUACUUGAACUUGACUGCUUUUGUAUUGAAUUCCUACCGUUGCCAUUGCUUCUACUCAAAAGCCAUUUAAGUUUGUGUAAGCUACCUAUAGUUUGAACAACAAUUUACUCAUGAAUUGUUGUUCAUAUUAGCAAUUUGAUUGAAAGUGCGGCUGCACUAAUUUUCUAGAUGAAUUUUUUCCUACAUGCUUGUUCUCGUAUGACCCAAAAUCCUACUACAUCAGUUGUAUUAGAAAUUAAUCAACUGGGUUACAAUUAUGCAUCCCCACCAAUAUUUAAGCAAUUUAAUUACAGAAAUAUUUCUUGAGGAAAGAAACUCAUAUCGCCACUAGGCUUGUAAUGAGGCUCAUUUUUAUGAAUCUGGAUGGCAUUAGAUAUCUCUACGAAUAUUGGUGGGAGUAGAUCGCAGAUCUCUGGGCUAUACUACAAAGUUUAUGUACGUUGACUCUCAAUAAAUACAAACGAUUCUCUGAUAUGAUUCAAACAUCAGUGCAUGCAUCAUUUUAAUGAGAAAGAAUAUUCUAAGAACGAAAUUGAAGGUGCAAUCAGCAGCUAAAAUGAAGCCAGAAAUGUACAUGCAUGAGGAAUUUUUCCUAGAAGAUUGAUAUUUCUUUGACUAGCAAACCAUACAAGUCCAAAGCUAGCCAAACCAUACCUGCAAGGUGGGGGUUUAAAUGGAAUACUUCUAAGCAUAAAACAUUGAUUAAAACAGAAUACACACAUACAUACCAGCAAAUUCAAAAUAGCAAGAGGAGUGCAAAAGUUCAAGUUUGUAGACAACAUUGCAACCAUGGCAAGUUUAUAGCAAAUCCUCGAAAUCUGCUAAAUAAAACAAUGCCCUGUCUCAUGAAUCAAUGCUUAAUUAAAAUUGAAACUGAAAGUCUGGCUGACGUUGUUUCCCUCUCCAAUUUUGCCUACAUAAGUGAAAAUAAGAAUAAUAAAUGAAAAUCUGCUUUUACAGUUCUUAUUAGAUAGAUAUAAAUGGAUCUUUCUUUGUUUCUCUGCUGUAUUUUGUGGCUAUCCCACUCUGUUUUGCCAGUCAAGCUGAGUCUAUGUUGAGACAUAAUUUUGACAUCAGAAGCAAUCUCAAUUAGUUUGGCACUUUUAUGACCUCCUUAAAGGUUUUACAAUAAACAUAAAUCUACUGAGAAAGUGGGAAAAAAAAGAAAAUGCAUAUAAAAAUAUGAGUUAUCAGAUAAGAUUAAAACUCACCCAAUUCAAUCCAUCAGAUUCCGUAAGGAUAUAACUGGAUGUCAUACCGCCACUCCAUAUCCUUGAAAGUCCGUAGUGUUUGUCUCAACUCUGUCUGAGGCCAAUGUAAAUUCAAUUUGCGCAAGCUCUUUAUGCACCACAGCUCUUCUGGAAGCUUUCUCAAGUAAGCACAUGGGUUGACGAUUAAGCUUUCAAGUUUCGGCAUUGCUCCAGCCCCCAUCGUCCACUCAUCUAGCCAAUACAUUGAUUUCAGGUGCAAAACCUUAAGUUCGGGAAAGCUACUCAAGCCAACACAAGCAAGCUUUCUUCCUAAAUACGAGUUCUGCUUCAGUUUCAGCACUCGAAGGCGUGGAAGAUUUUCCAGAAUUGGCAUGGGAUCCUCCAUUAGCUCAGUAUUUGAUAAGCUCAGUUGGAUCAGACUUGGGGGAAAUUGGUAUUCAGACAGGACCAUCCGUGAGGGCUUGCUCUCAUUCACCAGCUUCAAGCAUUCAAGUUUGUGGACUUCGCAAAGGCUUUUGGAAACCCCAGAUUGAUAGUAACUCAAAUCUCCAGAUAUCCGAAGAGUCUGAACACUAGGUAGUCUGCCCAAUAUUUCAGGAGUACAACUACUAGGGUUUAAAGCUGAUAUAAAAAUGAGUUUUUUCAGAGAGCUAGAAUAAUUUUUUGGAGGUGCGGGUAGAGUGAUAGAACCAAAGUUUAGAUGUAUGAGUUUUUGCAUCAUCCAAAUAUCCUCUGGUGACUGAUCUAUGUAGCUAGAUGGCAUUUCUAGUGUUUCAAGGUUUAAAAGGGUGCAUAGCAGUGGAGGAAGGCAUUUGAGCGAAGGGAUAUUCAUUUUCAAAUACUUCAAAAGAUAUAAAUUUUCUAAUCCAGGUGGAAAUUGGUCGAGAACUGCAGAACCGAAGUUCAGUACCCGAAGGUGUUUGAACUUUUUACAAAAAUUCUCGCAAUCUAUCACAGCGAGAUGAUCGCCUUCUGAACUUUGAUUGAUAAAAGAUUGGAGAUAGAUCUCACCAUGUUCUAAAGAAAUGAACUCAGUCAGAUGCUCCAAAAUGAUGUACCGUUUAACAUUUGCAAAUGGUUCCGCUUCCCUGUCAGGCAUCCAGAGAAAUUUCGUCUUGUCUGCCAUCAAACCCAAUGAAGUAUAUACAAAACUUGGAACAUAGCAAGCUGUAAUUGUGCCGCCGGCUCUUCUCUUACUCACAUGAAUGAAGCCGCGAUGGAUUAGCUCUUUUAAGUAAUGUUCGGCAGUUUCCUCACCGUUGUAUGGAAUAAAGCCUUCAGCUAUCCACAACUGACAUAAUUGCCUGGUAGAUAUCUCAAUGCCUGGACGGAAGACACACAAAUAAAGGCAGCAGACUUUCAAGUGAAAAGGUAACUCCAACACAGAACAAAUUCGACUCAAGAGUGUCAAAACCACUUUUUCAUCCAUAUAAUUUACUAAUGGGGCACUUCCAUAGUGUAGGAUGAAAAAUUUCCAGGCUUCAUGCUUUAAUCUGAUCAAUGGUCCUCCAACAGGCACUGAAUAAAGCGGAAUGAUCCCUCCAUGCUCCAAUUCAAAAAAGGUAAGGAGGAAUGGAUCAGUGACCAAUAUCAAUACUCUGCUUCCAUUCUGCUUAUCAGGAAGAACUUCUUCAAGAUCAUCCCAUAUGUCACUGUCAUUGAAGACAUCAUCAAGCACAAUAAAGUACUUCUUGUUUGUCAGGUAAUCUCGAAGAAUAGAUUUCUUCAAGUGAUAAUCUUCACCGAUAAUUACCCUAGCCCGAGAUGGAGGCAUUAAAGAAUUGAUUAUGUCAUCCAAUAUCUUGCCAAAAUAGUAGCCUAUAGAAACCCUUACCCAAGCAAGACAGUCAAAAUAGAACUUGACAUGAUUAUUAUUGUAAAUAUCUGCAGCAAAAACAGUCUUAUGGAAGCCAUUGCUGUCGAGAAUUGCAAUCACUGAAAGCCCAGAUGGUCCCUCAAUCAAUAGAUCAAACAACUCCUCUCUGCCCCUUUCAAAUUCACUGACAUCAAGCCAGUGUUGUCCCUUACUCAAUAGGCGAAUGAUUUUGUUACUUUGUUCAGUGAUAUCAAAACCAUUGUCGCUGGGUGGAAGUUGUUGCAUUCGAUCUCUAAUAUCAAUGAUUUUACUGUGGAGUCCAACAAGAAGAGCCAUAUUAGUACUGCUUUCACUUUCGUUUUCACUGUUUUGCUGCUGCAUGAUGUUGAUGAAGAAUGUGUCAAUCGCUUCAUCAGAUUCAUGGACAAAGUGAUUGAUGUCGUCCAGAAUUUCCAAAAUGUCCCGUCUUUUUACGUCUUCAUCAGUGUCUUCUAAGUCUAACAGUUGCAGACAAAGCCAAGCCAUUUCAGCUCCAUUGAGUUGUUCUCUAAUGAUGCGUCGAAUCACACGACGAGUCAUGUCACCUUCAUAGUUCCCGAGCAGAGUAGUAAUAAUUUCAGUCUCCGUAAAAAGGUUUUGAAAAAGCGGGGCUAAGUUUGUUGAAUCAGGCAACGUUAACGUGCCUUCUUCACCUGCUACCACCCUUUUCAACCUCUCACAAAAUAGUCGGAGGUGGACGUCCAGCAUAUCUCCUUCUCUCUGUGGCACCCAGAGGUAUUGUUAUUUGCUCCAAGAAAUGUUAAAAGGAUUGGUCCUAUCUCAAAGAGGUUAGUGGUGUAAAGUUAAACACAAUGGAAGAAUUUGAAAGGAAUAUACCAAGAAACUGUGUAAGUGGCUAAAUUCCACAAAUAUGGCAUUGUUGCUCAUUUUUAACUCAAAAAAAUACACGUUAAUUUAGCGAAAAGUCCAAGACACGUGCUUUUUGAAAAGAACAGGUAUCCCAAUAGGUAUCCAACCUUUAUCUUAAUCAAUUACUACCAUGACAUACUUGAUGGUGCUUAAAUCAAUUUUUCUUUUCUUAAUGUAAAGAUUUUAUUUUUUUAAAACAGAUUUUAAUAUCAAGAAAAAAUAUCACUCGUAUAUCCUUAAAUGACACUUGUAUCAAACGUACUACAACACUUUUAACAUGUAUCACUUGUAUACCUUAAGUUGACAAAUUGUGUCUACCAUCCACCAAACCGUUAGUUGCCGUUUGCAAGCGCUGACAUCAUAAAGGUAAUCUAGUCUUUUCAAAUGGAAGAAACUUUGAUUAAAAAAACGACAUGUCAUCCCAUUUACCUCGUAAAAAAUGACAUAUCAUAUGAUAUAUAUUGACAAAAAAUGACAUGUCAUCCCAUUUAUCGGAAGAUGAUGUCAUCUAUGUGAAACAACGUUGUUUCAACGGGACUAAAAAAAAAAUGAUACUCCACAACCGAAUCGACUCCUCCAAACUUUAACUUGAAUAUUUGAAGAUCUACUCAUCCAAGCUCCAACUGGAAUUUUUUAUGGUAUAAUAUGUUGUUAAUAAUUUUUUAUGGUAUAAUAUGGAUUAUUUUUUAUGGAUAAUUGUUAAUAAUACGUACCAUUAAUAAUUCAUUUUUUAAUAAAAAAUGUAUUGUUAAUAAAAAAUAAAAAAUAUAUUGAAAAUUUACGUUAAUUUUUUGGGCAAAUAUGUAUUUUUACCUUAUUUUGAGUUUCAAGGGCGAAAUAGUCAAUUUGUCAUAAUUCUGUUAACUUUCUAAUGGUAGCUAACAGUUUGGUGGACAGCAGACACAUUUUGUCAACUUAGGGUGUACGAGUAAUACAUGUUAAAAGUGCUGCAAUACGUUUGAUACAAGUGUCAUUUAAAGGUAUAUGAGUGAUACAUGUUAAAAGAGUUGUAGUACAUUUGAUACAAGUGUCAUUUAAGGGGAUAUAAGUGAUAUUUUCCCUAAUAUCAAAUUGCCUUCGAUGUUUUUACAGCUACAAGCUCAGUAACAGGAUUAAUUAAAAAGUUUAGAAUUGUUGGGCGUGCAAAGAGUAGUUUUAAACACCAGAAAGCAAAGGUUGUUAUUGACAUAAUUUUAUUUUUGUUUUCGAGGGAAUUUGUUUUUUUUGUUGACAAGAAAAUAGUAUUAUAUUUUACAAUCUAUUAUACAUAUUUUAUCAUAUUAAAGUAAUUUUAAUAUUAAAUGGAAACAUUAAAUUUAAAUUAAUUAAUUAAAAAUUGAAUUAUUUUGAAUAUUAUGUAAAAAAUUAUUUUAAUAUCAUUAAUAAGGAGAUAUUUUGUUAAUUGUAAAAUAUUUUUAACCCAAAUAUAUAUUAAAUUUUUUAUAAUAAAUACAAAUACAAAUAUAAAAAUAAAAUAAAUAUCAUAGUUUAAAAUUUUAAUGUUAUUUUAAAUAUUAAAAAUAAUUUAAUGCUAUUAGUCUAUUACACAGGUUAUAUUAUAUUUGCAUUAAUUAAAAGUUUUAAAGUCAAUUUUCCAGUUUCUAUAUUCAAAGGUAUAAUGGUUAAAAGAAAGUUCUUGGUGUUUCUUUUUAAAAAUUUGAGGGUCUUAAUGAUAAUUUUUCUAAAUCGUAAGGGUAUAGGUGUCUUUUUUUCCGAUAAUUUAUUUCACGGGUAUCCAAUAAGAAACAUGGUAAGAGAACGUCAAUUACUUAUCAUUUUCUAUUUUUUCUAUGAGUCAUUUAUUUUGAGCAUUAGUGAUCUUAUCUGGACUACUCCAACUAUUGAUGCAACUCCAGUGGCUGCAUCCACAGUUAAAUAUAUGAUAGUGUUAGCUCUUAUUUGAGAAUUUAGAGGGAUCUUUCUUUGUUUCUCUGUUGCAAUGUGCUAGUAUAAAUUUCUUUACCUUAAAAUUUAUAUAGUCUUGCAGUUAAAGAAUUCACUGAGGCAUUGUUGAUUCAAUUUCAGUGAAGCAAUUGUGGGUGAAAGAUAAAUGAAGGAAAAGAGAACAGAGCUGAAGUGCUAAAUUGGCUAUUGAAGAAGGAUGUCACAUGAUCACAAUCACAUUGAUGCACAACUCUCUGGAGGCAAAGUUUGUCUAUAUGUACUCUGAAUUCAGCCAAGCCAUACAUGCAUGAACAAAAAUUAAACCGUAGUUCUAAUCACAACAGUAAUUGAAGCUACAAAAGCCAGCAAAUCUGAACGAAGACUUAAAAGAAAGAUCUUAUUCAAGUUUGUCCCCAAAAGACAGCUGAAAUGAAAAAUAUUGACUGUUGAAUGGGCCAAUGCUGAAUUACAUUUCAAAUGGAAAGCUUGGCAGCAGUUACAAUGUUUCCCCCUCUGAUUUUCCUCCAAAACAAAUUCAGUUGUAAACAAUAACCGAAGUAGUAAUAAUUUAUUCAUCAAAGAAAAUGCCCCCAAGUUUUCAAUUAAAAAAUCCUCUUGUCCAAACUAAAAGAACUCAUAUCUCUAAAAUUUAUUUGCAAAAUGUUGGAAAUGAGGAGUGAUCCGUUAACUCUGUAAAUAAACUCAUGCAUAAUGUUAACAAUAAUGAUAAAUUACAUAAUAAUUAUUAUAGAGAAUCAUAAAUUGGAAACGCUAAUCAUUCUACUAUUAUAUAAGUAAGAUAAAUAUCAUAAUAAGUUAAGUUAUAAUGUAAUAAAUAUUUGCAAUAUAUAAUUAUUUAAGAAGUCAUUUAACAAUAAAAUAUUUUUUUAUCCAGUUGAUCAUAUAGCGUUAUCUAAACUCUUGACAAUAUUAUUAUUACUCACUUUUCUCAAAAAAACAUGAUUAACUUUUAGAGAAAGUCAUGUCUUUGAGAAAGAAUAUGUAUACAAGCUAUCCAUACUUUAUCUUACUGUGACAAAAUUGAUGGUGAUUAAUUGUAUUUUUUAAAAUAGAUUUAACGCACAAAUAAGAUGACUUUUGGCAAAAAUUAUUUUCGGAAGAUAUAGUGAUAGAAAAUAGUGAUGAUAAUUAUUGUUUAAAUGUGUAAAUAGCCUAAGCAUAGCCCGUAAUACCAAUAUUCAUUUGCACCUUGAAAGAAACUUAGUUCUAUAUUGUUUGGCAAGCAAGAAAGUAAAGGAAAAUGAAAGAGAACUCUAAAGAACCUUUUUUAUUAUACUCAGAUAUCUCAACUUAAUGAAUACUGAUUGACAUUUAUACUAAGCUACAAUCUUCACUACACACACGAGUUUGUAACAUCACAUAACCAUUUGCUGCAUAACUAACUUUACACAUCAGCUCAACCAGCUAACUAACUUUGACAGGUCAGCUCAGUGAGUUGAUCUGCUACAACCAGCUACACAGCAACAGCAUGCUCUGCUCCAGCUAUACAGCAACAUCAUGCUCUGUUCCAGCUUUAUCCGCUCUGCUUUGCUCUGCUCCAGCUUUGACAGGUCAGCUCAGUGAGUUGAUCUGCUACAACCAGCUACACAGCAACAACAUGCUCUGCUCCAGCUAUACAGCAACAUCAUGCUCUGCUCCAGCUUUAUCCAAUUCACUAACAUCCCCCCUCAAGCUAAAAUGUUUAGGAUGAACAUUCAGCUUGCUUCUGAAGUAACUGAAUUGUUUGAAAGUAAGAGCCUUAGUUAACACAUCUGCUGUUUGAUCUGGACUAGGCACAUAGCAUACUGCAACCUCUUUAGCAGUGACCUUAUCUCGGAUAAAAUGUAUAUCCAAUUCAACAUGCUUAGUCUUAGCAUGAUAAACUGGAUUAUAAGCUAAAGCAAUUGCUCCUUGAUUAUCACACCACAUUAUAGGAGUGGAGCUUAAUGUGAUACUAAGUUCACCAAGUAAGGAUUUAAUCCAGGUAACCUCUGAAGCAGCAUGGGCAAGAGAUCUAUACUCAGCUUCUGUGCUGGAUCUGGAAACAACAACUUGUUUCUUUGACGACCAGGAAACAAGAUUAGGACCUAGAUAAACAGCAAAGCCAGCCACUGACUUCCUAUCAUCAUGAUCACAAGCCCAAUCAGAAUCUGAAAAACAAUGUAAUUGCAGAGCUCCUUGAUUGUAGAAAUGCAGCCCCAGAUGGAUAGUGCCUUUUAAGUACCUCAAUAACCUUUUACAUGCUUCCCAAUGUUGAGUUCUAGGACUGGAAAGGAACUGACUUAACUUGUUUACAGAGAAGGCAAUGUCAGGUCUGGUAAGAGUAACAUAUUGAAGAGCUCCUAUAACACUUCGAUAUUGAGAAACAUUUUCAAGUGGCUCUCCUGAGUCUUUGGUGAGAUAAAAGCCUGUAGACAUUGGAGUUGGCACAGGACUGCAGUCUGUCAUGCCAUGUUUAUCCAGAAUAUUAGCAAUGUACUUUGCUUGUGUCAAGGAAACCCCUUGUGAAGAUUUGCUGACUUCAAUCCCCAGAAAAUAGUGAAGUUCCCCCAGGUCUUUUAAAGCAAAAGCUUGAUGCAUAUGCUGGAUAACUUGUUGAAUUAUGGAUGGACUGGAACCAGUGAUGAUAAUAUCAUCAACAUAGACCAAAACAACAGUUAGAUGACCACUGUUCCAGGCAUAAAAGAGAGAGUUAUCAGACCUGGAAUGCUGAAAAUGCCACUUGGAGAUCAUUGCAUCCUUAAACCUAUCAAACCAGGCUCUAGGAGCUUGUUUUAAGCCAUACAAAGCCUUAUUUAGCUUGCAGAUAUGAUUAGGUUUAGUUGAAUCAACAAAACCUUGAGGUUGAGCCAUGUACACAUCUUCAAUUAAAAUGCCAUUUAGAAAGGCAUUGUUAACAUCCACCUGCCUUACAACCCAGUGACUCAAUACUGCUAAGCUAAGAAUAACUCUAACAGUGGAGGACUUAACCACUGGACUGAAGGUUUCUGUGUAGUCAAUCCCAUGUGUCUGAUGAAACCCUUUAGCCACAAGCCUGGCUUUAUACCUUGAAACUGAACCAUCUGAGUUAUACUUUACUCGAAAUACCCACUUGUUGCCAACUAUCUUCACUGGAGUAGCAGGUAAGACUAAAUCCCAGGUGUGAUUGGUUUUAAGAGCUAGAUACUCUUCUUGCAUAGCUUUAUACCACAUAGGAUCAGAAAGUGCUUUGGAAACAGAGGUUGGUUCUGACUUCUGAGCUAGUAAAGCUGACAAGUAGAUCUUGGGCUUGAAGAUACCUGCUUUUGACCUGGUUAUCAUUGGAUGACCAGAUGAUGCAGGUUGUGACAAGGUAUGUGGAGGUGAAUGAUGGGAUGGUGAAGAAGGAGAAGAAGAAGUGGAAUUGAAAUUAUCAGAAAAGUAAACUGGAGUAGAAUUUGGGAAGGAAAUAGAAGCAUGUGACUGAGAAUCAUUAAGAAGAUAUUCUGAUGAUGCUGCUAAAGGUGCUUGUAACUGAGUAACAAAAGGAGUAGAAGAAUUAAAAGAAGACUCAGAAUGAGUUGAUGACUGACAGUUUGAAGAAACUGAAGAAAAAUCUGUUCCUGACUCAUAAGGAAAAGAACGUUCAUAAAAGGUUACAUGAUUUGAAAUAUAGACCCUCCCAGAAGAGUGAAGACACUGAUAUCCCUUGUGUUGUGAACUGUAGCCAAUGAAUAUACAUCUAGCUGUUCUGAAAUCAAACUUAUGUCUAUUGUAUGGUCUGAGUGUUGGAUAACAAGCACAGCCGAAAAUUUUAAGUGUUGAAUAAUCUGGUUGGGAAUGAAACAACUUUUGAAAAGGAGAAAUGCUGUUUAGAACUGGAGUUGGAAGUCUGUUUAUCAAGUAGACAGCUGUAUGGAAUGCAUUCCACCAAAAUUUGAGUGGUAAAUGUGCUUGAGCUAAUAAAGUCAGUCCUACAUCAACUAUGUGUCUAUGUUUCCUCUCAAUUUUUCCAUUUUGAUGAUGAAUGUGGGGGCAAGGAUGUCGAAAAUGGAUGCCAGAAGUGGUGAGUAAUGAUGAAAAUGUUCUGAACUCCCCUCCCCAGUCAGUUUGGACAGUUUUGAUGGAAAGUUGAAGAUGCUUCUCAAUGAAUAUUUUGAAAUUGGUAAAAACUUCAAGAGCAUCAGAUUUUGCUGAUAAGGGAAAAAUCCAGGUAAACCUACUGUAAUCAUCUAGGAUUGACAAGUAGUAAUUAUAUCCUUGGGUAGAACAAACAUGAGAAGGGCCCCAAAGAUCUGCAUAUAUCAGUUGUAAAGGUGCUGAAGUUUUUGUUUCUACUGAAUCAAAAUGCAGCAUGUGAUUUUUACCAUAUUGGCAUGCUGAACAAAAUUUCAAACUGUCAACUUUAUUAAAAGCAGUAGAGUUGUUACAAGCUUUGAGAAUGGUUUUGAGAGUAUAAGAUGCUGGGUGUCAUAAUCUUCUAUGAAGAAGAUUUACAUCAAUAGAACCCUUUACAACAACUGACAGACAUGACUUUUUAUUCAACUCAUAAGAGCUAACAGUAGAGAGCUGAGCAGAAUUAAAAACAGGAGAACAAGCAAAAAGAGACUGAAUUUUGUUUUGACCAACUGAACUGAGAAAGACUGAAUGAACAGCAGCAUGAGAAGAGACUUUAUACAAGCUGUUGUGCAAAUUUUAAUGUACUCGCAAGCGCACGAAUCUAUUAUAGUAUAGAUCAAUGGUGACGAGUGUCGAUCCCACGAGGAGGUAGAUUUUAAUUGUGUAUAGAAUUAAUUUUGCAAAUGGUUGAUUGGAUUUGUAGUGGAAAUGAUUAGGAAUAUGCUAAAACUUAAAUUAAAAUGGCGAGAAUAAAUUCUAAAAUUGGAAUUGCAAUGGCGAGAAUAAAUUGAAGAGAAAUGUAUUGAAAUGACGUACUUGGGUAUCUGGAUCCGUAUCAACAUGCAUCAUGGGCUAAAUAAUCCGUAUUAAUGCCAAUUAAAUCAUGAGGGGGGAAUCCACACCUCAUGAACCACGCUCUAAUCAAUAUGGUGCUAAGGGCUUAUCGUGCCAAAUAAUAAUAACCUUAUACUAGAGAGCCGGUGUAACCAAGGCGGUAUCUAGACAAGAUCAGUAUUAUUUGUCGACGAUAAGUCAAAUCAUCCACAAAAACUAGAGGGGAAAAGAAAAUAAAUUUACCAAAUAAAGCCCAUGACACAUGUUGAGACUUCACCUUCAACCCAAGCUUGAAAGGAAAUUAGCUACUCAUAAUUGAACUAGGGGCAAAAUGGGAAUUUAUUAAAAUACAAAGAAAAUACAAGAUGGAGAGGGAAUUACAGAAAAUGGAUCCCAAAAAUGGAUUCAGAGAUAUCAAAUUAGGGGGGGAGGCCCAUUUUUUAUAGAUACAUGGAGUAAAUCAUGGCCAUCGGAUUAAAAACAGUUUGGACGCUCAGGAUUGCGCCACGUCAUCAGUCAACAGUCAACGGUUUGACCACGCGGAUGAACAGUAACAUGGUUUGGUUGAAAAUAAUCCUGUGUGAUGCAUACACCGUACGCGAGAUUUUUCGUCCACUGAUAUGCUGCCACGUCACCAUCAACAGUACAUAAGAAUUUUAGUCCAACAGGAUCGUGACACCUCAUCAGUCAAUGCCACAUCAUCGGUCAAUGCCACGUCAUCGAUCCGUCUAUGUGAACAGUGUCGUGAACAGUAACGUAGACAGUACCGUAUACGUGAAUAGUACCGUACAUGUGAAUAGUGCCAUUUUUCCUUUUAUGCUCCUCCUAAGGUUUUCGACCGUCCUGAGUUCAAAAGUGAUGUCCGUUUUGCCGUCUGAUCUCUCCUUUAUUGUGAAAUGACUAUAAUGCCCCUAAAAUACAUAAAAUACUUAAUUAAAAUAACACACACGUAAUUACAUCACAAGAGGGUUAAAUACAUAAAAGUAAGGGUUGUUAGUAAGACUUGAAACGUAAAAUGACGGUUUUCUCCUUUAUAAAUAUGCAUUUUCUAACACUCAACACAAGCCACCUUUAGCAACACCUUCAAGUAAAAUUUUCCCUGUGUUCCUGGCCUUUAUAAAACACAAAUUACCAAGAAAUUCAACAGUAACUGGAUUGUCAGCCAACAAUUUUGAGAUGCUAAGCAAAUUCUUAGUAAUAAAAGGGACAUGAAGAACAUGGUUAAGAAAUAAGGAUUGAGAAGCUGAAGUAUUUAGCACAACUGACCCUACAUGUGUAAUAGCUAAUGCAUUUCCAUCUCCAACAAAUAACCUUUCAGUACCAGUGUAAACUUUUGAAUCCAGAAGCUUACCUAGAUCAUUGGUAAUAUGAUUUGUUGCUCCACUAUCAAUAUACCAGGAAGGAUCUUCAAUGUGUUCAGGUGGGAGUGAAGAAGACAUAGCAGAGGAGGAGGAAGCACUUGACUGUUCCAGAUUAUUAUGUCCUAGACAGAAACAAAAUUAGAUGAUCCAGGGUUGAAUGAGAAAUAAGCAGAUGGGUUGCUUUCUGGAUAUACUAUAUUUCCUUGAUAGCCAAAACCCCUGGGGGCAUUACCAAAACCAACAUUUUGUCCAAAACCAGCAUUUGAACCAAAACCUCCAAAACCUCUUCCACUAUUACCAUUAAAGGCUCUUCCUCGACCAUAUUGCCCUUGAUUAAAACCUCUGCCACCAUUCAUAUUACCUCUACCAUGGUUCCUCUGUGGAACAAAAGAUGAGUUGUACCUAUUUCUGCAUUUAUAGGCUGCAUGACCAGGUAUGAAGCAAAUUUGGCAAACAACUUCAGAGAAAUUACUAUUAUUAUUAAACUGACCAUAUCCAUAUCCAGAAUUAUUACCACCUCCAGAGUUAUUUCCAUACUGUUUCUGAAAAUUUCCAUUAUUCUUUCCAGCAUAUGAGUUCUUCUGAACAAUAUUUGCUGUCAUGUUAUGCAUCACAUCACCAGCAAUUUUUCCUUUCUUUUGCUCAACUCUAUUUUCAUGAUUCAACAGCAAAGAAUAUAGUUCAUCUAAUGUUAUCUUUUCACCUCGAGCUAACACAGCAGUGACUAAAGAUUCAUAAUCUGAUGAAUCAAGACCAGUUAAUACAUGCAUCACAAGAUCAUUUAACUCAACAGGUUUUCCAGCUAGAGCUAAAGUAUCAGCUAUACGUUUUACUUUUACAAAGUAAUCAGACAUAUGCAUUGCACCUUUCUUAAUAGUUUGAAUCUGCAUUCUAAGUGUUUGAAUUCUAGCUUGUGAUUGAGAGAUAAACAUACUAGCAAGAGUCUCCCAAAGCUGUUUUGAGGUUGUUGAGUCAAUCACAGUAGCAAGCAGAUUUUGUUGUAUCAAUGACAUCAUCCAACUCAGCAGAAGUUGAUCAGCCUUCAUCCAAGCUACGAACUCUGGAUUAACAGAUCUGGAUCCAGAUUCAGUAACAGAUCUGGAUCCAGAUUCAAUUAAGAUUUCAGCUCCAUUGUUGUUGCCAGAAGAAAGAAACUGCUCAGGACAUUCUCGAUCACCAUUGAUAAAACCUUCCAAACCAUUUCCUUUGAUCGAAGCUAGAAUUUGUGUGCGCCACAAAAUAUAGUUGUUUUGAUCUAGCUUUACAGGCGUAACAAAACUAAAAGAGUUGUUGUUUUGAACUGUAUUUGCCAUUUAUGGCUCUGAUACCAUGAAAGAAACUUAGUUCUAUAUUGUUUGGCAAGCAAGAAAGUAAAGGAAAAUGAAAGAGAACUCUAAAGAACCUUUUUUAUUAUACUCAGAUAUCUCAACUUAAUGAAUAUUGAUUGACAUUUAUACUAAGCUACAAUCUUCACUACACACACGAGUUUGUUACAUCACAUAACCAUUUGCUGCAUAACUAACUUUACACAUCAGCUCAACCAGCUAACUAACUUUGAUAGGUCAGCUCAGUGAGUUGAUCUGCUACAACCAGCUACACAGCAACAGCAUGCUCUGCUCCAGCUAUACAGCAACAUCAUGCUCUGCUCCAGCUUUAUCCGCUCUGCUCUGCUCUGCUCCAGCUUUGACAGGUCAGCUCAGUGAGUUGAUCUGCUACAACCAGCUACACAGCAACAGCAUGCUCUGCUCCAGCUAUACAGCAACAUCAUGCUCUGCUCCGGCUUUAUCCAAUUCACUAACACACCUUCAUUUGUGUUAUCACAUUUCAUGAUAUUCUUUCAUUUAUGACCAUUGUUCAAGAUUUUAAUUUGAUUAUAAACUAAGUUGCAAGGGAGCUUACUUCAGUUUCUAAGCUUUUCAAUCGUGAUUCCUGCAUGCCAAACGUAACUGACCUUAUAAUUGGUCUGUAUAAGAAAUCAAGCCCUUUCAGGAUCGUUUUCUUUUUCUCCCUAUUGUAGUAGUCAACUAAAUAAAGAAUGAACAACUAAACUUGGUCUAUUUCGAGGAAGACUAAGGCUUCCAAUACUAGAUGAACUUUGAAGAAAAUUAAUCCGUUGUUUUUAUUCAUCUUUGGACUAUGAAUUUAUACAAAGACUUUAACAGAAAAUAACAAAGACACAGCUAAAUGAUAGCAAUAAGUGCUGACUUGGUGGACCACUUCUGCAAGUAAAUAAAAACUAAAUAUUUAUUUUGACUAUAACAACAACUACGCUGAUGAAUAGGAUUUCACAGCAGCCACGUGACAACUAAUUUCUCCUUAAUAUUAUUAUUAGUAGAAGUAGAUUUUAAAACUAGUCUUGAUAUAUUUCAAAGUUGUAUUAUCAAUGUAUAUGUGUCUAGAUUGUAACUAUAUUUUAAAAAAUAUAAAAUUUUUAAUUAUUGCACAGUAUAUGUAGCAAAAUAUCUAUAGAAUGAUAUUAUUAGGACUAAGAUUUUUUUUUAUUUUAGAUAAGUUAUUUAUUUAUUAUCGAAUGAAUAAUUUAUUAAUUUACUGAUAAAUGAAUAUUUAUUAAUUUAAAGAGAGAUUUUUUUGGUUUUAACAAGAGUUUGUUUGGUAAAUGUACACACUUAUAAAGAAACAUAAAAAGUGGUUCCUCAAGUCAAUAGUAUUUGCUUCAAUCGCAAUGGUUCAUAAUAAUAUAGCAUAGUUAGGAAAUUUGUAAUUAUAUUAUGGCUCUGUUUGGUAGUAAAACUCAUUUAAGUAGAGUUGUUGUUAAUAGAGCUUUUAUAAAUAAAGCUUUUACUAAAAAAAAUUUAGUUGUUUGCUUGUCAAUGUCCAAAUUGAUAAACUUUUGUUCUUUUGUUAAGAUAUGUUUGUUUUACUUAAUAAUAGCAUCGGCAAGAGUUUUCGAUUGUUGCAACUUGCAAUGCACGCGGUGAGAGAAAAUGAGAAUCUUGUUUAAUUGUCAAUAUAUAAUGACAAACCUAAUCCUUUCAUUAGGAGUAAUUUAAUAAUCGUUUGUUAUAACUGAAUAUGUAUAAAGAAAGGAAAAUUCUAUUCAUAAAUUUCGACUUAUUUUUUGUUUAAAGUAAUUAAUCAUUCAACCAUCUUCAUUUGCCUCUGGCCAAUGCCCUUGUAGAUUAGUUUACUUAAUUAUGAUUAUAUACAUUUUCAUAUAGCAAGUGGCAUUGUAGAUCUAAACUAAGUUGCUAUUUCAAUACCAGCAAAUUCAAAAUAGAAAAGGAGUGCAACUAUUCAACUUUGUAGACAAUAUUGCAACCAUGGCAUAUUUAUAGCAAAUCAUUGAAAUCUGCUAAAGAAAACAAUGCCCUGUCUCAUGAAUCGAUGCUCAAUUAAAAUUUAAAUUGAAAGUCCGGCUGGUGUUGUUUUCCUCUCCAGCGAAAUAAGAAUCAUAAGUGAAAAUAGGCUUUGACAGGUCUUAUUUCUUUGUUUCUCUGCUGCAAUGUGUGGUUAUCCCACUCUGUUUUGCCACUCAAGCUGAGUCUACGUUGAGACAUUAUUUCAGUAUUGAGGUAACAAUAAUUUCGGACUCCGUAAGAAGGUUUUGAAAAAGUGGAGUCACAUUUGUUGAAUCAGGCAACGUCAACGUGCCUUCUUCACCUGCUAACACCCUUUUCAACCUCUCACAAAAUAGUCGGAGGUGGACGUCCAGCAUAUCUCAUUCACAUUUGUUGAAUUUGCAUGGAAUUUGCAAGGAGUAUGCCAAAGAAUUUGCAAGGAAUAUGCCAAGAAUUUGCAAGGAAUAUGCCAAGAAACUGGCCAACCCGCUUAGCUUAAUUCCACAAAUAUGACGUUAUUGCUCAUUUUUCUCUCAAGCACAUAAUACACGUUCUUCGAGACGCGUGCCUUCUGAAAAGGACAGGUAUCCAACCUCAUCUUAAUUACUACCAUGACAUAAUUGAUGGUUGCUUAAAUCAAUUUUUUCUUCUUUUUUUUUUUUAAUUUAAAGAAUUUUCCCUUAAAAAAAAUUUAAUAUCAAAAUGCCUUCAAUGUUAUUACUGCCGAAAGCCAAACUUCCUUUGGGUAAUUAAUUUAGAAGUGAAGCAGAGAAUAAAGUCCUAGAUGCCUUUUGAAAUUAGAAAUACAUUUUAUAUGCUUUAAUUAAUCAAUUCACUGAGGCAUUAUUGAUCCAAUCCCAGUGAAGUAAUUGUGGGUGAAAAAAAAAUAAAGUGCUGAAUUGGCUACUAAGAAAGAGUGUCACUUGAUCACAAUCACAUUGAUCCACAACUCACUCGAGGCAAAUUUCAUCUAUGUGUACUGCAAAUUUAGCCAAACCAUACAUGCAUGAACAAAAUUAGGCCGUAGUCCUCAUCACAACAUUAAUUGAAGCCACAAAAGCCAGCAAAUCCAAACAAAAACUUAAAAGAAAAUGCUUGGUAUAGAGAAGCACGAGAGAAAGACGAGAAAAACAAUGAAGAAAGUGGUAGAGAGAGAGUGAGUGGGUAGAGAGAGAGCAAAAUUCUCUCGUCUUUCUCUCGUGCUUCUCUCUCUCUAUCACUACUCAAACUUAAAAGGAAGAUCUUAUUCAAGUUUGUCCCCAAAAGACAGCUGAAAUGAAAAAUAUUGACUAUUGAGUGGGUCGAUGCUGAAUUACAUUUGACAUGGAAAGCUUGGCUGCAGUUGCGAUGUUCCCCCUUCUGAUUUUCCUCCAAAACAAAUUCAUUUGUAAACAAUAACGGAAGUAGCAACAAUUUAUUCAUUAUAGAAAAUACCUAAAUUUUCAACUAUCAAAUCCUCUUGUCUAAACUAAAAAACUCAUAUCUCUAAAAUCUAUAUACAAAAUGUCAAAAACGGGUGAUCUCUCAAUUCGAUAAAUAAAUUCAUGCAUAAUGUUACUAGUAAUGAUAAAUUACAUAAUAAUUAUUAUAAAGAAUCAUAAAUUGGAAACAUUAAUCAUUUUACAAUAUAUUACAUAAUAAAGAUAAAUUUUAUAACAAGUUAAGUUAGAACAUAUCAAAUAUUUUCAAUAUAUAUAAUUAUUUAAGAAGUCUUUUAACAAUAAUUUUUUUCUUUUUCAGUUAAUCAUGUCAUAUACCGUUAUCUAAAAUGCUGGCGAUAUUAUUAUUCCUCACUUUUCUCAAACAAAAAAGAAAAGAAAAAAGAAACAUGAUUAACGUUUAGAGAAAAGUCACGCCUUUUAAAAACAAUAUGUAUACAAUAGCAAUCCAUACUUUAUAAAAUUGAUGGUGAUUACAAAGAAAAAUUGUUUAAAAUAGAUUUAAUGCACAAAUAUGAUGACUUUUGGCAAAAAUUAGUUUCGGAAAUGUUGGGAUGAAAACCAUAUUAAUUGAGAAUUAAAAUUACUUAAUAAAAUUACUUAACUACCAUCUAAUAGAUGAAAACCAUAUCAAUUGGGACUUAAAUUAAGAUUUAAAUGUUGAAAUAUCUAGCAUUACUCACAAUAACCAAUUCAAAUUAUGACUAUCAUGUAGAAGCAAAUGUUUAUGCUUGGGUUUUUUACUUCUUGAAUUUGAUUGGAAAAAUUUCUGAGAUAGAGAAGUGUUUUGGAUAAUUUUUUCGGGAUUGAAACCACAAAUUGGUAGAGGAAAUUAAUUUUGGACAAAUUUUUCUUAUAUUGUAGGACCUUCUAGUUGGAGUAGUGAUGGCUUUGUCUUCAUUUUUGGUUCCUUUUGUGUCAGCAACCCCUUACUAUUCUCUUGACCCUGAGUUUGAGAUAGAAAUUUAUCAACCUCCAACCCCACAUCCACAAACAAGUUGAUUGAAACAAUUACUCUUUUAAUUAAGAGGACCCAAAUGAUUUAGGUUUCAGUUCUUAUCAUUUGUCUAUUAUUUCUUUGAAACAUUUAUUUUGAGCGUUACUGAUCUUAAUUAUCUGUAUUUCUCCAAUUAUUGAAGAAUUUCAAGUGGCCACUUUUUCUCCUUUUUAUAUAUGUUUAUUUUUUGGAGUGAUCAAACGGGUGAAAAAUCAAGUAUUCGCUGGUCUGUAGUUUAGCCAACGAUGGCUGAUCCACACAGUUGAUUAUAUGAUACUAUUAGCUCUCAAAAUCUUUCUUAUUUGAGAACAUAAAUUGCCCAUUGAAGUUAAACUAUGUUACCCAGCUCCAUGCACAUACAUUAAAUGUUUAGGUAGUUUUACAAAAUGAUAACAGCAUGCCAAAACUUGAUGUUGUCAUAUUCGACAUUUCAAAUUGAAAAAUAUGCAAGCAAUCUUCAGUGACCAUUACGUUUUUAUUGAAUAAUUUAAAUGGCCAGUAAAUCAACAGUCCGUGAGUUUUAAAUCUGUUAUGACUUAAUGUAUCUUUCUGUAUUCGUACACAGGUUAUAUUAUCAUAGUUUAAAAUUUUAAUAUUAUUUUAAAUGUUAUAAAUACUUUAAUGCUAUUAGUCUACUACACAGGUUAUAUUAUUUAUAUUAUAUUUGUAUUAAUUAAAACUUUUAAUGUCAACUUUCUAAUUACUAUAUUGAAAAGGUAUUAUGGUUAAGAAAAAGUUUUGGCAUUUCUUCUAAAAAAUUUGAGGGUAUGCAUGACAACACUACAAGAAAAAUGACCUACCAUGACAGUCCUCUGUGUGACAGUUUUUGGUCUGCAGAGCUACUACGAUAGAUGGAUGAUAAAUUUUUUUUCUAUCAUUCAUUUAUGACAUACUUGUGAUAGAAAUUUCAUCUAUCAAGCACUUAUGAUAGACUGAUGAUAAAUUAUUUGGUUAUCAAGAAGUAAUGACAAGUUUGUGAUAUAAUUUAGAUCAUCAAGUAGCUUUUUUAUUUUGACUUUAUUUCACAAGGUUGACUGAAAAUUUUAAAAUGAAUGAAAAAAAUAAAUAAAGAAUAAACGGUACCGUUUGGAUUAAAAGUUUCUCUUUGGACAAGAAACGACACCGUUUAGAUUGAAGCUAAAUAAAAACAAAACCCUCUUCAGUUUUCACUAAUCGAAUUUUUUUUCCCUAAGUGUCGGCACUCUCACUCACUCUCGUCUCUCGCUCAGUCAUUCUCGUCAAUCUCACACUCACAAAGCCCUUUUCACCCGAAAUCCUUGCAUGGGCACUGAACCACUGCCGCCAUUCUCUUGUAUUUGACUAUCAAUUUUGGCUCUCACCGAGAACUAUAUGGAAUACCCACCAAACGCAUGUGCUUCUACUAUUGAAUUUCAAUACCCUAACUGAGAGCCCACGCUCACCCACUAUUGUAACCGUUCGAUCAAUACAGGUAAAUAAUAUUUCUAGUGUUGUGUUCCAUUUCAAUUUUAAUGUUCUUGUCAAACUCGAACCCUAUAUAUGUAAACUUAAAAACCCUAGAUGUGUUCUUGUCAAAUUCGAACCCUACACACCUAAAUCUUGUAAAACCUAGAUGUUUUCUUGUCAAAUUUGAACCCUGUACGUGUAAAACUUGAAAAUCCUAGGUGUGCUCUUGUUAAAUUUGGAUCUAUUUGAUUGGUCUUCUAUGUUUCUUUAUUUAUGGAAUUUUAAACAUUUAUUUGAUUUUUUUGGAAUUUAAUUAUUAUAGUUUUAUUGUUAAAUUAAUUUGAUUUAGGCUGUAAAGAUCCUUGCCAAUUUAAUCGUGAUGGGUGUUGGGAUAUUGUCUAGGCUGCUUUAUCUUUGGGGUUUUCUAAUAACUAAUUUUUUUUUUUCACUUUUUUGUGGAUGCAUGGAACUAUAUAUAUAGAUAAUUCUCAAAUUCGUUCACUGUGAUGCAAAGUCUUUUUUUUUUCAAUUUCAUUGGUUAAAUUCACUAAUUCGUUGAAAUUAGUGGUGAUUGUGGGCCGAGUCGCAUGUGCAGGAAGUGGUGUCAGGUCUGGGCGCACAUUGAGUCAUGCACUUGGUGGGCAAUUGGUAUUGUUUCUAUUGUGUGUGUUGGAAAUAAUGUCAAUAUCAUCCAACCAAUGUGUGUUUCUAGUGGCUGUUUUUGCACCGAGCAGAUAAUUUAUUAUUACAUCAGAGUUCCCCAUCCCUUGUUUCUCUUUUGGGUAAUGCAGGUAUUGACUAGUUCAUUUCCAUUUUCAUUUGUCUUGAGGGAAUGUUAUCAAUUUUUCGAUCUUACAAGAUAUUGAUUGAUACAUAUGUGUACAAUACAUUAAAAAUCAUUAAACAUUUUGCUCUUAGUUACAAUUUUGAAUGAAUGUCACAUGGAAAGAUCCUCUAAGAAUAUCAAUAGUAUUGUGGUUUCUACUCAAUUUCCACUCUCCGCACUCAUAUGAGCAUGGUUUGAAUCUCAAGCCUUUUGUACCAUUCAAAAAUUUAUACCAAUUAACAACAUAGCUUGCUAGCACCACAAAUUGUUUCAACUCCAAGGCAGAGAAUUCCUAGAAGAUAUAUACAUAUUGAUAUAUACUUGCAUGUAGCCGUAUGCUCACUACCUUCGAAUUGGGGAUAUAGUCACUAUUUUUGUAUUCCCUCCAAGUGUUUGAUAAAAAGCAUGAAUGAAUCUUGGCUCUUUAAUUGUUGCAGGCCAUUUCUACCUAUGAGGAGCAAAGGAAUAUGAAGCUUAUUAUAUUCAUUCACAAAGCAAAGCUGAUAUAAUUCAUGGCAAAGCUUGAUGAGGUGUUGUAUUUAAUCUUGCUCAUGAGAUCAAUUACCUAUCUUGUUGGACUUUAUUCUUGUAAUUAAGGUCCAUCCAAAGUUGAUGGCUUGUUUGUCAGAAAGAUAAUCUGAAGGCUAUGAUUGAUUACUUGCGGGCCGAUGGAAAUGUCUCCAUGAUUGGUUUAUGAGGUUGUUAAAUUACUAAAUAGGUAUAUUUACUUUUCAUGAGCUUUAUCUUCGUUUUUCCAUUAUGGAAAUGUCUCUAUGAUUGUAACUUUUAACACGUGGAACUCUUGAACCCUAUGUUUAGUUAUAUACUUAUAUUGGGACUUGUAUAAAUUAAUAUGAUGGUUUUAUUAUUAUUAUUAUUAGUAGUAGUAGUAGUAGUAGUAGCAGCUACAAAAGAUCAAAAGAACUUAAAGGUGUGGCUUGUGGCUUUCUUGCUGUUUGGGCUUUAACUGCUGCCUCACUUGUCAUUGUUGCUAAUCUGGUGUGCCACGUCCAUUUCAGUGUAAUUACAUAAGUUAGUUUGCUUGAUUAAUUAAUUAAUUAGUUAGCGGAUUGAAUAGCCAGAGUACUACAUUUUGCAUAGGUCUGAUGCUGGAUGAAUUUUCAUGUCUUGGCUUUGGGGCUGCUGGAUUUUGCUGCUGGAAGACUAGAUUUUGCAAUUUUGUUGCUGGAAGACUACAUUUUGUGUAGGUUUGUUGCUGGAUGUUGCUGAAUGCGGAGUACUUUGCUUGGUUUUGGAUUGGCCUUUGUUGUCUAUUGGCUCGACUUUGGAAUAUGGAUUAACUAAUGUAAUGUACUUUGGAUAUUUUUAUGGUUAAUAAAGUUCACUAAUUUAGUUCAUUAGUUUUGGAUUUAAUUGCAUUUAGUAAUUUAUUUUCUUUCAUAUAAUUUUAAUAAUUUUAAUAAUUUUAAUUUUUAAAUUUCAUAAUUUUUAUUUUAAAUUAAUAAAUAAAAUAAAUAAUCAAUUUUUUCAAAAAAAAUGUGAUAGAAAAUACUAGUCAUACACACAAUUGAUAUCCCAAAAAAAAAUACAAUCCAAAAAUUUCUAAAAAAAUGAAAAUAUAAAAUAAAAAAAUAAUUUCCCUCUUCUAAGUAGUAUGACAUAAUUAUGAUAGGUAAAAUCUAUCACAACUUGUGACGCGAUUUUAUCUGUCAUCUUUUCUUGACGCUGACUAUAAUGACAGUAAGGAUAACCGUCAUCUACCCCCUAAGAUGACAGUUUUUACCUAUCAUAAUAGGUCAUUUUUCUUGUAGUGCAAUUUUUCCAAUUCUAAGGGUAUAGGUUUGAAAAUUUAACGUUAUUUAACUUAAUGAAACAAAAGGGGAAACCAAGAACUAUUCAAUUUUGUAUUUUUUGUUUGUAAUUCAAAAAAUACAUCCACCAAACAAGUUUUACACAUUAAUGCUGUCAUAAAACGAAAAACAGUUUGCCAAAAAAUGGUACCGUCACAUGAUUUCUUAGUAAGUCCAUAUUAGAUAUAUUUAUACAUUUUAGGUAUUUUAGUUAUAAAAGAAGUUGGUCCUCCCCCUAUUUAUAAAAGAUAACUUUGUUUCGAUAUUACCACUAAACUCUUACAUAGAAUUAGUGUAAUGUUAAGAGAGAGUAAUGCGGUUUUCCAUUACCAUCUUUGAAAAUAGAAAGAUAUGGAUGCGUGCAUUUAAGAGUCAUCGUGAAAAUCAUACAAUUCAAUUUCCUGACAUAUAUAUUUAUGCACGUAUGCCAAAAGAAUAAAUAGACAGAAAGUAAAUUUAUAGUCCUCACUUCCUCACAAUUGUUAACGUGGAGAUGCAUUACAACUGUGAACUGUCACUACUUUAGCCUUUUUUUUUUUUAAUUAUAGUGUGAUGGAGACAUUAAGGAUGAGCAUAAUAGUUAAAGAUGACUCAUUUCUCAUUUUCUUUUUAAAGUGCUCUGCUGAAAGCCAAACUUCCUUUGGCUAAUUAAUUUAGAAGUAAAGCAGAGAAUAAAGUCCUAGAUGCCUUCUGAAAUUAGAAAUACAUUUUAUAUGCUUUAAUUAUGAUUAUUUGGUAGACUAAAGACCUAAAAGAUAUGUCAAAAGUAUAAAACAGAGCGAUUAAAGAAAAAAGAAAAAAAAAACAGAGUAUUUGUGACGUAGAAUAACAAUUGGUAAAUAAAUCCUAAAUAUUUGAGUUGUUAAAAGCAAAUAUAACAGAGACGGUAAGAGAGAUGCUGAAACAGAAAACUAUUAGCUUAUCUUGAUUUUCCCACUAUAUUCAUUUUCGAUGCUUUUCAAACGAGAUUCUUUUAAUUCUUCUGGUGUCUCUUAUAGAUCUCCAUCCCACAUCUGCACUACGAACAAGUUGAUUAAAAUUAAAUACUGUUGGAGAUGUGGGGUGAGCGGUCAACUUGGUAAAAAAACUAUGUAUAAUAUUGUUAAUAAUAUAAAAUAUAAAAUAAUAAUUACAAAGAAUCAUAAAUUAGAAAAAUUAUUUAUUUUACAAUCUAUUUCUUAAGUAAGAUAAAUCUCGUAAUAAGUUAAGUUAUAAUGUAAAAAAUAUUUUCAAUUUAUAAUCAUUUAAGGAGUCAUUUAACAAUAAAAUCUUUCUUUUUUUGAUCAAUUGGUCAUGCUACAGAGCAUCAUCUAUUCGUGGUGAUAUUAUUAUUACUCCGUAUUCUCAAAAAACACGAUUUAACAUUUAGAGAAAGUUCCUACCUUUUAAAAAGAACAUGUAUGCAACAACUACCCAUACUUUAUCUUACCACGACAAAACUAAUAGUGACUAAAUCAAUUUUCUCGAAUAAAGAAAAAUUUCUUAAAAUUAAUUUAAUAUACAAAUAUGAUGACUUUUUGCAAAAAUUAGUUUUGGAAAAUUAGUGACAGAAAAUAGUAACGAUUAUUGUUUAGAUGUGUAAAUAGCCUAAACAUGAUCCCUAAUACCAAUAUCCACGUGCAUCUUAACACCUUUCGUCAUAUUCUUUCAUUCAUGGUCACUGGUUCAAGAUUUGAAUUUGAUCAUUAAAUCAUGUUCAAUAAUAUUAGAGAUCCCAACAAUUGAGUACCAACUUAAAUCCCAAUGCUAUGUGUCAUUAACAAAUGUUGUGUCAUUUAUAAUUAUUGAAUGAAUAAUUCGUUAAUUUAUUGAUAAAUGAAAAUUUAUUAAUUUAAAGAGAGAUAUUUUUUUUUUGGGUUUUAAGAAGAGUUUUGUUGGUACAUGUACAUACUUAUAAAGAAAUAAACUUGUAAUUAUACUAUAUCUUUCUUUCUUUAUUCAGUUUGGUGGGAUAUUGUGAUAAAUCAUUGGAUUAAAAUGCAUUUCUAAAUUAAAACUUGUUAAAAUCUAAUUUAUUUGGGAAGCGCAUAUUAUUUGUCAGUCGUACUUCUCAAGUCUCAACUUAGCAAGUUAUUUCUAACUUGUCAGUCUCUAUUUGUUCUCUAAAAGCUAAUAGUCUCGAAUCUCCCGCAUUUGAUAUCUUGCCAUUAUUGUUGGCAUUAACAUGUUACCUGAGAUUGGGAUUCAUUAAAAUCCUCAAUGUAAUCGGUGGAACGAAUGGAUUUCUUCUGUUCACCAAUCCACCAAAAUUUCUGUAAUUAAAUUCAAGAGUCAAGAUCUAUGCUUAUAAUCUAUUCUAACAGCUAAUAUUCUAUUUUAUAUUUACUUAAAUAUGAAGAGCUAUGCUUGUCAUUAACUUCAAAUGUGAUCGAAGCAGCCAUACAUCUGUAUAUUACUUAUUCCCAACCUUUUUUUUUGACUUCAUAUACUUUCUUUUCAUGUUAUUUACUCUUUUUUUCCCCUCUCUGACAAUUGAGGUAGGGGGUCAAACUUGAAAGUAUCUUAAAAUCAGACAAUUUUUUUUUUUUUUAAGAUAGCUGCUAAUAUGCUCUAUUAGACAAUGAUAAGUAAUAACCUAGUUGUUUGCAUUAGAAAUGAUAUUUUUUGUGGUGCUGAUAAAGAGGUUGAUUAUGAUUCAACAAUUUAAAAUAUGAAAACAUGUGGAAGACGGCCGCAAUUAAAUUGAUUGUAUGAAAAUAUUUCAAUGAAAUUUUAAAAAUUUAGUACUUGUUAUCUUAUCGAGAGUUUUUUUAAAUUAUAUUACUACUUGAACUUGGGUACUUGUUAUCUUAUCGAGAGUUUUUUUAAAUUAUAUUACUACUUGAACUUGGCUGCUUUUGUAUUGAAUUCCUAGCGUUGCCAUUGCUUCUACUCAAAAGCCAUUUAAGUUUGUGUAAGCUACCUAUAGUUUGAACAACAAUUUACUCAUGAAUUGUUGUUCAUAAUAGCAAUUUGAUUGAAAGUGCGGCUGCACUAAUUUUCUAGAUGAAUUUUUUCCUACAUGCUUGUUCUCGUAUGACCCAAAAUCCUGCUACAUCAGUUGUAUUAGAAAUUAAUACUGGGUUACAAUUAUGCAUCCCCACCAAUAUUUAAGCAAUUUAAUUACAGGAACAUUUCUUGAGGAAAGAAACUCAUAUCGCCCCUAGGCUUUUAAUGAGGCUCAUUUUUAUGAAUCUGGAUGGCAUUAGAUAUCUCUCCGAAUAUUGGUGGGAGUAUAUCGCAGAUCUCUGGGCUAUACUACAAAGUGUAUGUACGUUGACUCUCAAUAAAUACAAACGAUUCUCUGAUAUGAUUCAAAACAUCAGUGCACGCAUCAUUUUAACGAGAGAGAAUAUUCUAAGAACGAAAUUGAAGGUGCAAUCAACAACUAAAAUGAAGCCAGAAAUGUACACGCAUGAGGAAGUUUUCCUAGAAGAUUGAUAUUUCUUUAACUAGCAAACAAUACAAGUCCAAAGCUAACCAAACCAUACCUGCAAGUCCGGGGCUUAAAUGGAGUACUUGUAAGCAUAAAACAUUAAUCAAAACACAGUAUAGACACACACACACACCCCUACAUACAUACCAGCAAAUUCGAAAUAGAAAAAGGAGUGCAACUAUUCAAGUUUGUUGACAAUAUUGCAACCAUGGCAUAUUAAAGCAAAUCCUUAAAAUCAGCUAAACGAAACAAUUCCCUGUCUCAUGAAUCGAUGCUCAAUUAAAAUUGAAAUUGAAAGUCCGGCUGGUGUUGUUUCCCUCUCCAGGUUUGCCUACAUAAGUAAAGGGAAAUGAGAAUCAUAAAUGAAAAUCUGCUUCGAUCACUGUUCACAAAUCACUGUUCACAAAUCCCUAAUUCAAAAAUUACUGUUGAUUAUCGUUUUACAGCAGCGCCUCAGCUCCAGCCUUCACCCCGCAACGCAAGCAGCAGCCAGCGCGAACCAGUCGCGCCCAACGCAAGCCCCAGCAACCCAGAUUGUUAGCUCCAGCCGCGCGCAACGUAGCUGAGCAGCAGCAGACCAGCAGCGCGAACCAGCUCUCGCGCGCAACACAACGCGAACGCAGCAGUGCGUAGAUGCAGCCCAGCAACGCAGCGCGAACCAGCAAUGCAGCCUCACCAGCGCGCAACGCAAGCCCCCGCACGCGCAGCACCAGCAUCCCGUUUCUCGCAGCGCAGCAGCGCGCAACGCAGCGCAGCACCCGCAAAGCAAGCCUCACCAGCGCGCAACGCAAGCCCGCAACGCAGCAACGAGCACGCCCUGCAACGCAACCAGCUUACGCCUUGUAUUCCAGCCGGGUAAAUCGAAAUCCGUGAGUACAAUUAUUGUAACAAUGCCGAAGAGGAAAGCAUCCACUUCCAAGUCAUCGAAAAAGACACCCAUCGCAAAGAAAUCUAAGAUUGCCGCUCCCACUACGGUUCCAUGGAACACAAUUUCAGAUUCACGCCAAGCCGUGAGACAAAGAUCGAAGCAUGGAAAAGGCAUGAGUAUUUUGCCACUUGCGGAAUCCAAUCUCGAAGGGUGCCUUGCAUUCGCGACUCAACAAGAGAAAGAGAGGUACAAAGAUAUUUCCACGGGCAAAAUACUUCCAGCUAAGAAUUUUUGGAUAUGUCUAUGUUUGAAAGAACAUGUGUGGUUGAAUUCAAGGAGGGGAGAUUUCAGUUUACUGAACCAGGACCCACUCAACUUCCGAAGAAGCUUUAUGCUAGGAGUGGUGCUACCUCUGAUGACGAGUUUGACGACGACACUGCUGCCCCGCCAACUAUUCCUUCUACAUCCGCACCACCUUUGAGCAUUCAAUUAGAGAAAAUGGAGCACAAGCUGAACAAGAUGGAGCAGAAUUUGGCCGCAUACUUCGAGAGUGUGGGAUUUACCCCACCAUUUCCGCCAAGCCCAUAGACGUUAUGUGGAUCAAAGCUCACAAUUCAGGGAAGUUUCUUUUUGCCCUUAAUCCUUUAUCCUUACGCUUUAAUUUUUAUGUGAGCUUUGAUUAUCUUACAUUGGGGACAAUGUAAGUUCUUGGUGUGGGGGAGGGAUUUUUGCAUUAUUGAUGUCUGGAAUUAUUGUUUUCACUCUACUUAUUUUUUUUUUUCACUCUACUCAUCCUUAAAUGAUUUUGGAGUUAGUAUGCUUUAUAUAUUAUUAUUUUUUCUUUUCUUUUAUUUCUCACAACUUUUUUUUUCCCAUCUAUCUCAAAUUAUUUACAUCUAUUUUUAUUCUAUCAUACUGUUUCAUCGCUCACAUUUUAUCUUUCACUUUUCAUCUUUCUCACUUCUUAUCAUUUUUACCUUUCCUUUUAUAUAUCACCCAUACCUUCUUCUCAUUCUACACCACUAUUGAUGGUUGAUUCAUUUGAAGAGUGUACAUGAUUUGAUGGCAAAUUUACCAACUUUGUGAGGAUUUGAGCCUAUGAGCAACCACUUUGCUCUAAUAUUUUUGUUAUGUGAAUAUCAAUCUUAGUUUGUUUAUUCUAGAACUUGCUUUGUUAUGCAUGUUGAAGCCGCAUUACGGGAUUUUAUGCACUAAAAUGAUAAGGGCAAACCCUUUUCCAUUUUUCUAUUCUCGCAUUUUUUUUCUCUACCCGAAGAUCUUUAUUUGCUAUCUUUGUUUGAGCCUUAACAAUUACCCAUCUAAUUCUCUCCGUCUACUUAACCAUUUUUCUUCUUUUUUUUGAGCCUCAAUUUAAGGAGAUUUUUGGACUCAUUGUGUGGAUAUAUUUUGUUGCUUUUUCUACCUUGUAAUAAAGUUUCUCAAUUAGAUCAACAAGCAUUAUGCUUGAAUUAAAUUGUGCAAGGUUCGUUUCUUUUGUUUGAUUCAAAAACAAAAACAAAAAAAAAAAAACAAAAAACAAAAAAAAAAAAGAAAAAAAAAGAAAAAAAAAAAGAAAAAGAAAAAUCACAAAAAAAAAACAAAAAAAAAUGUUUACAUUCUUGGUGACUUAAGUAGAAAUAAGCAUUUUGAUAUCAUAAGUUCAUUCAAUGAGUUCAUUUUUCUCGUUUUAAUCUCUUUUUCUUUCGUAAACCUUUCUUUUUCAUUUAACCCAUUUAACCCCAUUACAACCCUCUUAAGACCCUUAGAUUUUUGCAUUUUAUUCAUGUUUUGUGGAUUGAGAUGUGAUAUAUGAGCAAGCUUAUGGUAAUAGCAUUCUUUGAUUUGAUUUGAGUGGAUAAAUGACACCCUAAAAACUUUGAGUGCAUGGAGUGAAGUUAUUGAGAGGGCUAUUAAAUCUUGUUGCACUUGAAUUUUGAAUGGAUCUCCUUGGUGGUUGAAUGUUCUUAUUCUAUCUUAUGAAAUUCUAUGCUUUAAAAUCCUUGUCUCUCGAAUGUUAAUCGACUUAAUUUCUUGAGGUAUGCUUUCUUAAAAUUGUUUUUGGAUGAGUUGAGAUGAGAAUUGAGUGGAGAUUUGAGAUUAAUCUUGAGUUAUAUGCUUGAGGACAAGCAUCAUCUUGGUGUGGGGGAAUUUGUUAGAGUGCAAUUUAUGCACUAGUUUUGCAUUGUUUACUUCCCUUAAUAUCGAUGUUUUACACUUAAUAAUAAUGUUUUACUUGUGUUUUACUUUUGUAGGUGCAAUUCUAUUGAUUGGUGAUAAAAUUGAGCUAAAAGAUGAUGUUUAAGGAGGAUUGUUCUCUUGGAGAAAUUAUGAGCGUCGAAAGAACUUUGUUGAUAAGGCGUGGGCGCGUGCUGUCAACUGCGGACCUGCAGUUUUUAGUUUAACGUGUUUUGUAUUUUUGGUUAUUUUUGUAAUUACGAAUUUAAUAUUUCAGAUAUUAGUAUUUUAUUUUAAAUAGAAUUCUAAAAGAGAAGAGAGAGAGAGUAUUUAAGGGAGGAAUCUAUUGUGAAAAGGGGGAUUUGGAUUGGAGAAAAAGAAAGAAACCCUAGAUCUAAUUUUUCUCUUCUCUCUAUGAAGAACUAAACCUAUUUUUCUGGUUGAAGGAUAAUGACGCUUUGAUUCAUCACUACUGUGAGAUUUUUCUUAUGCUUUAAUUGUUUUAUUACUUUUUGGGUAUUUGUUUAUUCUCUGAAUUAGUUUCAUGAUUAUGUUUGUUAAUUAGGUAAUUGUCCACUAUUUAAUUAUCAACUUAAUCUAUUGUCAAUUAAAGGAUUCAUCGUAUGAAGAAUUUAAUGUUUGUGACAAAUAACAUAGCAGAGAGUUGUGUUGUGAGAAUAAACAAUCUAAUUUAAAUGAAUCAUCAUAUGUGUUGAUUAGGAUUUGGGUCUCUCUGGUUUUUCAGGCUGUCAAUUGAUUAAAUCCUAUGAUCGUAUCAAGGGUUGUCUAUUGAUUAGGGAAAUAUCCAACGGUCGUACCUUGGUUAUCGACUAGUUAAGGAGAGAUUGGCUAUUAGAGGGUCUCAAUAGCUAUAACCGGUCUAUUCAUAAGUAAUAAUAAUAUAUAUUUGAAUCAAUGAUCAGUAGUCGAAUCAAGCUGAGUUAAUUCCUUCAACCAGAGCUUUCUCCAAUUUGAAUUACAACUUUAAUUUGCAUUUUGUAUUUAAUUUGAUUUUUAUUAUUGUCUACAAUUCCCCCAUUUUAUGUUUUACGUUUCAAAAGGAUUUAAAUAAUUACCGAUCUCUGUGGACACGACCCUGCUCAAUCACUAUACACAAUUUAUUUAGAGUAGGAAUUUAUUUUUGUUGGCUUCGACACCCAUCAGUUGAUUUGUGUUGUUUAUUGCUAGAUUUCGCAUAAUUGUUUGCUGAUUACUAGAACUGGCUCUGUUUGGAUCUGAUACCAUGUUUAAAAACAUAAAAAAUCACUGAUCAGUUUGUUUGGUUGCUAAGAAAAUUUGCUCUGUUUGCUGAGAAAGUUUCAAAGAAGAUUCUCGAUUUUUUUUAUUUCAUCUUUCUUACUUCACGAAUGAUUACAAACACACCUUUUAUACACAACUCAACUAGCUAACAGAAAGAAAGCUACAAAACAGAAUCUCAGUAAGCUUAACUAAUUUUGCUGAGCUGGCAUUACACACUUAACUAACUUCGGCUAACUAAAUUCUCACAUGUGCUAAGCAUGAGCAGACUGUUUGUACACAUUAUGUGCUUCUUUAACACAAUGGAGUUUUAAAAAUUUGGUACUUGUUAUCUUAUCGAAAGUUUUCAAAAUUAUAUGAAUGUUCAAACUUAGCCCCUCCCGGCACUGCCACUGCUUCUACGUGAAAGUCAUUUAAGUUUGUGUUAGCUGCCUAUAGAUUGAAUAACAAUUUUACUCCGGAUUUUUUGUCCAUUAUGAAAAUUUGAUUGAAAGUGCGGCUGCACUAAUUUUCUAGAUGAACUUCCCUACAUGUUUUUUCUCAUAUGACCCAGAAUACUGCUAUAACAAUUGUAUUGGAAACUAUUCAACUGGGUUACUAUUCUACAUCCCCACCAAAAUUUAAACAGUCGACAUUGUGGAAAGAAACUCAUUUCGCCACUAGGCUUUUAGUGAGGCUAAUUUCUCUGAAUUUGGACAGAGUAGAUUUCUAAGCUAAUGCUUGGAAGAUCUCUGGCGAUAUUACAAAGUGCAUGUACAUUGAGUCUUAAUAAAUAUAAACGAUUCUCUAAUAUGAUUCAAAACAUCACUACAUGCAUAAGUUAAUAAGAGAAAAAAUUAUAAGAUUAUUUAUGCAUCACCAUUUAUAGUUGCACCCUCUCUAAUGAAAUUGAAGGUGCAGCCAGCAAUUAAAAUGAAGCAGAAAUGUACAUUGACCCUUAAUAAAUAGAAACUAAGGCGUUAUCGAUUCAACUUCAGUUGAUCAAUUGCGGGUGAAAGAUAAAUAAAGGAUAAGAGAAUAGAGCUGGAGUGCUAAAUUGGCUAUUGAAGAAGGGUGUCACAUGAUCACAAUCACAUUGACGCACAACUCUUUGGAGGCAAAUUUUGUCUAUGUGUACUCUAAAUUCAGCCAAACCAUACAUGUAUGAACAGAAUUUAAACCGUAGUUCUCAUCACAAUAGUAAUUGAAGCUACAAAAGCCAGAAAAUCUGAACAAAAACUUAAAAGGAAGAUUUUAUUCAAGUUUGCCCCCAAAAGACAGUUGAAAUGAAAAAUAUUGACUAUUGAAUGGGUCAAUGCUGAAUUACAUUUCAAAUGGAAAGCUUGGCAACAGUUACAAUGUUUCCCCUCUGAUUUUCCUCCAAAACAAAUUCAGUUAUAAACAAUAACUGAAGUAGGAAUAAUUUAUUCAUCAAAGAAAAUACCCUAGUUUUCAACUAACAAAUCCUGCUAUCCAAAUUAAAAAAACUCGCAUCUCUAAAAUUUAUUUGUAAACUGUUGGAAAUGAGGAGUGAUCUGUCAACUCCGUAAAUAAACUCAGGCAUAAUAUUAAUAAUAAUUAUAAAUUACAUAAUAAUUAUUAUAAAGAAUCAUAAAUUGGAAACGCUAAUCAUUCUACAAUCUAUUAUAUAAGUAAGAUAAGUCUCAUAAUAAGUUAAGUUAUAAUGUAAUAAAUACUUUCAAUAUAUAAUUAUUUAAGAAGGCAUUUAACAAUAAAAUAUUUUUUUUUCUAUUCGGUUGAUCAUAUAGUGUUAUCUAAACUCUUGACGAUAUUAUUAUUACUCACUUUUCUAAAAAAAAAACAUGAUUAACGUUUAGAGAAAAGUCAUGCCCCUUAAAAAUAAUAUGUAUACAAGCUAUCCAUACUUUAUCUUACCAUGACAAAAUUGAUGGUGAUUAAAUCUACUUUUAAAAUAGAUUUAAUGCACAGAUAUUAUGACUUCUGGCAAAAAUUAGUUUUGGAAGACAUAAUGGUAGAAAAUAGUGAUGAUCAUUAUUUAAAUGUGUAAAUAGCCUAGGCAUAGCCUGUAAUACCAAUAUCCAUUUGCCUUUAUUUGGAUUAUCACAUUUCAUGAUAUUCUUAUAUUUAUGACCAUUGUUCGAGAUUUGAACUUGAUCAUAAAUUAAGCUGCAAGAGAUUUUACUUCAGUUUCUAAGCUUUUCAAUCGUGAUUCAUCCAUGCCUUUCUUGGAUACCAUUAUGUUACGUGCCAAUGUAACUGACCUUGUAAUUGGUGUGUAUAAGGAAACAUGCCCUUUCAAGAUUGUUUUCUUUUGUUUCCUUAUUGUAGUAGUCAAAUAAAUAAAGAACGAACAAUUGAACUUGGUCUACUUCGAGGAAAACCAAGGCCUGCAAUAUUAGAUGAACUUUGAACAAAAUUAAUCUACUGCUUUUAUUCAUCUUUGGACUAUGAAUUUAUACAAAGACUUUAACAAAAAAUAACAAAGACACAACUGAAUGAUAGCAACAAGUGCUGACUUAGCGGACUACUGCAACAACUAAAUAAAAACUAAAUAUUUAUUUUGACUGUAACAACAAUUGCCCUGAUGAAUAGGACUCCACAGCAGCCACGUGACAACUAAUUUCUCCUUAAUAUUAUUAUUAGUAGAAGUAGAUUUUCAAACUAGUCUUGAUAUAUUUCGAAGUUGUAUUAUUAUCAAUGUAUAUGUAUCUAGAUUGUAACUAUAUUUUAAAAAAUAUAAUUUUUUUAAUUAUUGCACAGUAAAUGUAGAAAAAUAUCUAUAAAAUAAUAUUAUUAGGACUAAGAAAAAAAUAUUAUUUUAUAUAAGUUAUUUAUUUAUUAUUGAAUGAAUAAUUUAUUAAUUUAUUGAUAAACGAAUAUUUAUUAAUUUAAAGAGAGAUUAUUUUGGUUUUAAGAAGAGUUUGUUUGGUACAUGUACACACUUAUAAAGAAACACAAAAGGUGCUUCCUCAAGUUAAUAGUAUUUGCUUUAAUCGCUAUAGUUCACAAUAAUAUAGCAUAGUUUGGAAAAUUGUAAUUAUACUAUGUCUACGUUUGGUACAAUUUUUCAAGAAGAACUUAUUUAAAUAGAGUUUUUGUUAGUAGAACAUUUAUAAAUAAAAUUUUUACUGAAAAAAUUUAAGUUAUUUGGUUGUCAUUGUCAAAAUUGAUGAACUUUUGAUCUUUUGUUAACAUGUGUUUUUUUUACUAAAUAAUAAAUGUUAGGUUACAAUUAUUUUCAAUAGUUUUUGAAGGAAUCAAGUUAUGAAAUUUUUAUCAAUGAACUUUCAAUAUGUCAGCAUAUGGUCUGUAAAAUUUGAGAGUUUUCCAAUGAGGGAAUAAUUUAUUAAAAAUAAGAGAAUAUGGAUUGUUCUGUUUUAAGGGCCGAUUAUUGAGGACAUUUGAGGUUGAGCUUAGGAGAUGUUUAAAUUGAGAUAUUUGAGGACAUUAUGUUAGCCUAAAGGGCUACACAUAAUGUAAUUUUGAUGAUAACAAACAUGUGUCUUAAGUAAAAAUAAUAAAUAUUGUAUUUCACAUUUUCACUAGUUUUUGAAGGAUAAUAUUUAUGCAAGUGAAUCAAGUGAAAUCAAGAUUGAAGAUACUCAACGGACAACGGCGACAUCAAGAAUAUAGUUUAGAGCUCAAUGAACAAAUUAGUGCGAUAAAUUCUUGUAAAGCCGGUAUGAUUUAAUUGAUGCAUGAUUUAGCAUUUGAGAAGCUCAAGAGAUUAAUUUAAUUAAAUACUUUUCAUAAACUAAAAGGUUUUAUUUUUAUAAAGUAAAGUAUUUUGUGGAUUUGAGUAAUUUGGACUUAAAUGCUAAGAUUUGAAAUCUUUGAUUUUAAUAAGUAUUAAAUUUCGGAGUUGGACGUUUUGAUAAACAUUUGAAAUGUUUUGGGUCAUACUAUAAUUUAUAAAUAUUUUGGACUAAAGUGAAAGGUUUUGAGAACUUUGAAAAAUAUGGGUAUUAUGUUGAAAAGGACCUUUGUGCGAACUAAAAAUUUCUUUGGGGCCAUAUCAUAAUUUCAGAAAGUUUGGGAAGACAACUACUCUUAGGAAGUUCUGAAAUUGGACCUAUUUGCAAAGUUUUAUGACAUUUUGAGCCAUAGUAUAAUUAUAGAAAGUUUUGAGCCAAAGUAUAAUUUUAGUGAACAGUGUUACUAUAGCAAUUCAAAAAUAACGGUAAUAUCACUGUUCCUGAGCGGCUAGCCGGAUAAAUCAAGCGGCUAACUGCUUGGGCGAGGGAAUUUGCCUAUAACGGCUAGUUUUCAGGCUUUAACUAUAAAAACUCAGCUCAAACUUCAUUCUAAGUACUAAUGCAUGCAAAUAUAAGAUCAUACAACAUAUAUUGAGCUUCCAAAAUGCAAAUCAUCAUUGAUUGAAUCAUUGUUGAGCUAUUAGUUGCAUAUCCACUCUUAAAGAGAGUUUUUGUUGUAAUUUUCAUUUCUUAUCAAAUUGUGAGUGUGUGAGUGUGUAAGUGUGGGAAACACUUGGGGUGAAGAGAUUGGGGAGAUAAUCUCUUGGUUGUAAAGGUUCAUUGACACCUUGGAAGUCAAUUGUAAAAACUUGAACCCUUGAGAGGCUUGGAUAGUGAAAUCCUCGAGCAUGGUUGGCUUGGAGGCGUGGACGUAAGCAGGGAUUGCCGAACCACGUAAAAAUCCGCGUGUUUGUUUCUCUCUUCCCUUGCUCUUUUAUUUUUACGCUUGUUUGAAUUUAUUGUUCUCUAUUUCAUUAAGGCGUUAGAUUGAUUUAUUGUGCGAAUUGUAUUGCAUUAUUUUUAAAAACUCAAUUCACCCUCCCUCUUGGGUUGCAUUACUUGCAUUUACAUUAGAGUUUAUGAUUGAGACUCGAUUAUAUCUUAUGAGAAAUUUAUUGAUGAUUUUAGGUUGAUGAUAACAGUACGCAUUUGUUACAUGAGGAUGCCAAGAGGUAAGUAAACUAGACUUAAAAACGAAUCACAAUAAACAAUAUAUAUGUUUGACUUGUAUGAAAAGUCUAUUUUGAUAUGUACGAAUAUAGAUUUAUAUGUCUCUACUCAUGUGUUUAUGUGAUGUGUUGUUAUGUAUUGGGCGUGAUUAUGUACAUAGGCAUAUGUAUGUGUGAUGGUUCAUUGUCAUGAGCACGAAAAUGCAUUGAGUUUUCUAUGAAUGAAAAGUGGAUUUUAGCAAAUGAGAUUUCUCUUUUAUGAGAUUUUGCAUUGGGGGCCACCUCUUGAGGGCCAGAGUGCCGCAAAGUACCACGCACAACACAAAGUGCCACAUUGCAGGAUACGUAUUUUAUUGAAAGGAAAUAUGAAAGUUUGAAAGCGACAGAAAGAGAUUUUUAUGAAUUUGUUUUACAGUAUUUCCAAAAGAUCAUGGCAUAGCAUCCAUCUACAUUAUGUAUAAGUAUGCAUGUUUGCUUAUUGAGUUUUGUACUCAUUAUAGUUUAUUAUGAUUCAGUUUCCAGAAGUCAGGAUUGAUUCGUGAUGAGUGAGAAGAUGAAUUUAAAUUGAGGAUGGUAGAUGGUUUGGCUAAAUUUUUAAGUUAUUCCGCUGGCUUUUGUAUUCGAGGCUCGAAUUUUAUCGGUUGUAAAGAGUUAUUUAAAUUCAUAUGUGAGUUGUAGUCAGAUUUGCCCUCGGAGUUCGGGUUGGGGCGUUACAGAUGCAGAAACAGAAAACUAUUAGCUUAUCUUGAUUUUCCCACUAUAUUCAUUUUCGAUGCUUUUCAAACGAGAUUCUUUUAAUCCUUCUGGCGUAUGCAGCCCUUGCUCUUCUUAUAAAUCUCCAUCCGACAUCUGCACUAGGAACAAGUUGAUUGAAAUUAAAUAACAUUAGAGAUGACGGACGGUUGAGCCGUUAACUCGGUAAAAAAACUCAUAUAUAAUAUUACUAAUAAAAAAAAAUAUAAUAAUCAUUACUAAGAAUCAUAAAUUAGAAAAAUUAAUUAUUUUACAAUCUAUUUCGCAAGUAAGAUAAAUCUCAUAAUAAGUUAAGUUAUAACGUAAAAAACAUUUUCAAUUUAUAAUCGUUUAAGAAGUCAUUUAACAAUAAAAUCUUUCUUUUGGUCAGUUGGCCAUGCCACAGAGUAUCAUCUAUAUUCGUGGUGAUAUUAUUAUUACUCCGUAUUCUCAAAAAACUUGAUUUAACAUUUAGAGAAAAUUCCUACCAUUUAAAAAGAACAUGUAUGCAGCAGCUACCCAUACUUUAUCUUACCCCGACAAAAUUAAUGGUGACUAAAUCAAUUUUCUCGAUUAAAGCAAAAUUUUCUUAAAAACGAUUUAAUGCACAAAUAUGAUGACUUUUUGCAAAAAUUAGUUUUGGAAAAUAUAGUGAGAGAAAAUAGUGACGAUUAUUGUUUAGAUGUGUAAAUAGCCUAAACAUAAUUGCUAAUACCAACAUCCACGUGCAUCUUAACACCUUUCGUGAUAAUCUUUCAUUCAUGGUCACUGGUUCAAGAUUUGAAUUUGAUCAUUAAAUCAUGUUCAAGAAUAUUAGAGAUCCCAACAAUUGAGUUCCAACUUAAAUCCUAAUGCUAUGUGUCAUUGACCAAUAUUGUGUCAUUUUUUGUUAACUGGGUGAUGAAUUUCUAGUUGAUAAAAUUACUUAAAAAUAUCUUAAAAAUCAGAUAAUAGUUAGCUUAAUUUUUUGAAGCUAACUGCUCAAGAUGCUCUAUUAGAAAUGAUAACCUAAUUAUAUAAAAAAAAAAAUGAUGUAUUUUUUUCGGUGUUGAUAGUGAGAUUAUCAUUCAACAUGUUAAAAUAUGAAAACAUAUGGAAGAAGGUUGUAAAUUGAUUGAAUGAAAAUAUUUCAGUGAAGUCUAAAAAAUUUGGUACUUGUUAUCUUAUCGAAAGUUUUCUAAAUUACAUUCGUGGCACUGCCACUGCUUCCAUGUGAAGGUCAUUAAAAUUUGUGUUAGUUACCUAUAUGUUGAAUAAUAAUUUUAUUCAUGAAUUGUUGCUCAAUAUAGCAGUUUCUAGAUGAAUUUUCCUACAUGUUUGUCCUCAUAUGACCUAGAAUGCUGCCAUAUCAAUUGUAUUGGAAAUUAUUCAAGUGGGUUUGUGCUCUAUACCCCCACCAAAAUUUAAGCAAUCUACAGAACAUUCCUUGUGGAAAGAAACUUAUUUCGCUACUAGGUGGGAGUAGAUUUCUAAGCUAAUGCUCGGCAGAUCUCUAGGCUAUACUAAAAAGUGUAUGCACUUUGACUCUCAAUAUAUACGAGUGAUUCUAUGAUAUGACUGAAAACAUCAGUACAUGCAUGAUUUUAUAAGAAAGAAUAUUCUAAAAUUAUUUAUGUAUCACCAUUUGAAGUUGUACCCUCUCGAAUGAAGGUGCAAUCAGCAACUAAAAUGAAGCCCGAAAUGUACACGCGUGAAGCAGUUUUUCUAGAAGAUUGAUAUUUCUCAAACUAGCAAACCGUACAAGUCCAAAGCUAGAAAAAGGAGUGCUUCUAAGCAGAAAACAUUGAUUAAAACAGAAUGCACACAAACAUACCAGCAAAUUCAAAAUAGAAAAAGGAGUGCAACUGUUCAAGUUUGUGGACAAUAUUGCAACCGUGGCAUAUUUAUAGCAAAUCCUUGAAAUCUGCUAAAUAAACAAUGCCCUGUCUCAUGAAUCAAAGCCGAAUUAAAAUUGAAAUUGAAAGUCCGGCUGGUGUUGUUUCCCUCUCCAGUUUUGCCCACAUAAGUGAAGGGAAAUGAGAAUCAUAAACUAAAAUCUGCUUUUACAGUUCUUAUUAGAUAGAUAUAAAGGGAUCUUUCUUUGUUUCUCUGCUGCAAUUUGUGGCUAUCCCACUCUGUUUUGCCACUCAAGCUUAGUCUACGUUGAGACACAAUUUUGACAUCAGAAGCAACCUCAAUUAGUUUGGCAUUUUUAUGACCUCCUUGUACGUUUUACGAUAAACAUAAAUCUACUGAGAAAGUGGGAAAAAAAGAAAAUGCAUAUAAAAGUAUGAGUUAUCAGACAUGAUUAAAACUCACCCAAUUCAAUCCAUUAGAUUCCGUAAGGAUAUAACUGGAUGUCAUACCGCCAUUCCAUAUCCUCGAAAGUCCGUAGCCUCUGUCUCAACUCUGUCUGAGGCCAAUGUAAAUCCAAUAUGCGCAAGCUCUUUAUGCACCACAGCUCUUCUGGAAGCUUUCUCAAGUAAGCACAAGGGUUGACAAUUAAGCUUUCAAGUUUUGGCAUUGCUCCAGCCCCCAUCGUCCACUCAUCUAGCCAAAACAUUGAUUUCAGGUGCAAAACCUUACGUUCCGGAAAGCAACCAGGGCCAACGCAGGCCAGCUUUCUUCCUAAAUACGAGUUUUGCUUCAGUUUCAGCACUUGAAGGCGUGGAAGCUUUUCCAGCAUUGGCAUGGGAUCCUCCAUUAGCUCAGUAUUCGAUAAGCUCAGAUGGCUCAGACUUGGAGGAAAUUGGUAUUCAGACAGGAUAAUCCGUGAGGGCUUGCUCUCAUUCACCAGCUUCAAGCAUUCAAGUUUGUGCAGUUCGCAUAGGCUUUUGGAAACCCCGGAUUGAUAGUAACUCAAAUCUCCAGAUAUUCUUAGACUUUGGACAAGAUAUUCUUAGACUUUGGACAUUUGGUAGUCUGCCCAAUAUAGCUGGACUGCAACUACUAGGAUGUAAGGCUGAUAAGAAAAUGAGAUUUUUCAGAGAGCUUCAAUAAUUUUUUGGAGGUGCGGGCAGAGUGAUGCAACCGAAGUUUAGAUGCAUGAGUUUUUGCAUCAUCCAAAUAUCCUCUGGUGAAUGAUCUAUGUAGCUAGAUGGCAUUUCUAGCGUUUGAAGGUUUAAAAGGGAGCAUAGCAGUGAAGGAAUGCAUUUGAGCGAAGGGAUAUUCAAUUUCAAAUACUUCAAAAGGAAUAAAUUUUCUAAUCCGGCUGGAUAUUGGUCGAGAACUGCAGAACCCAAGUUCAAUACCCGAAGGUAUUUGAACUUGUCGCAAUCUAUCAGAGCGAGAUGAUCGCUUGCCGAACUGUUAUUCAGAAAAGAUUGGAGAUACAUGUCAGAAUGUCCUAAAGAUAAAAACCCAGUCAGAUCUUGGGCAAUGACGCACCGUUUAACAUUUGCCACUGGCUCCUCUUCCCUGUCACGCAUCCAUACAAAUUCCGUCUUCUCUGCCACCGAGCACAGUAAAGUAAAUUCAAAACCUGGAACAUAAAACGCUUUAAUUGUGCCGCCGGCUCCUCUUACUCACUUGAAUGAAGCCGCAAUGGAUUAGUUCUUUCAAGUAAUGUUCUGCCGUCUCCUCACUGUUGUAUGGUAUGAAACCUUCAGCUACCCACAACUGAUAUAAUUGUCUCGUAGAUAUCUCAAUGUCUGGACGGAAGACAAACAAAUAGGUGUAGCAGACUUUCAAGUGAAAAGGUAACUCCAUCACAGAAUAAAUUUGUCUCCAAAUUGUCCGAAUCGCUUAGGCUUGAAGAUAAUUUUCUAAUGGCAUACUUCCAUAGUGUAGGAUGAAAAAUUGCCAGGCCUCAUACUUUAAUCUGAUCAAUGGUCCUCCAACGAGCACAGAAUCAGGCCGAAUCUUCUCUCCAUUUUCCAUUUCCAACGACACAAGGAGUUCUGGAUCAGUGACUGUUAUCAAUACUCUGCUUCCAUUCUCAUUAUCAGGGAGACCUUCUUCGAGAUCAUCCCAUAUCUCACUGUUAUCGAAGACAUCAUCAAGCACAAUAAAGUACUUCUUGUUUGUUAGGUAAUCUCGAAGAAUAGAUUUCUUCAAUUGAUAAUUGAAAGAGUUUGUAUAUAGUGUUUGGUUUAAGAGAAACUAACAAGAAAAUAAAAGAAAAUCAUAAAGAACCAGAUCUGAAAAUGAUCAUAUUCUCAUUUUUUGACUAAUGAUUACAACUUGUUAUUUAUAGUAAAGAUCAGAGGCGUCACGUAGCUUGUCAGUUUGUUGGAUCUAAUAUGCAUGCAGUACAGUUCGUUAUCUUUGCUGCUGAGCUGGAUAACUAACUCAACACACGUAAGCAUCAGCAGCUCCAUUUAAUCAGAUGCUCUCAUCUAUACCAUAUUAUCAUACUCUAUAACAUCCUCCCUCAAGCUGAACUGACCUGGAUGGACAUUCAGCUUGCUUCUUAGAUAGUGAAACUGAUUGAAGGUUAGUGCCUUGGUAAGAACAUCGGCAUUUUGGUCUUCACUGGGAAUGAACUGAACUGUAAUUUGCUUAGCUGUUACUUUGUCUCUGAUGAAGUGAAUAUCAAGCUCAACAUGCUUAGUUUUAGCAUGAUAAACAGGAUUGUGAGCUAAAGCUAUGGCACUUUGAUUAUCACACCACAUUAUGGGGGCUGUGACAAGAUGAAUAUGUAGCUCUUUCAGUAAGGACUGAAUCCAAGUAACCUCAGCUGUAGCUUGAGCCAAAGCUCUGUAUUCAGCUUCAGUGCUUGAUCUGGAAACUACUGCCUGUUUCUUAGACGACCAAGAAACCAAAUUUGAACCAAGAUAAACAGCAUAACCAGCCACUGAUUUGCGAUCAUCCUUAUCACAUGCCCAAUCUGAGUCACUAAAACAAUUUAUCUGCAUAGUGCCGUAAUGAUAAAAAUGUAAUCCAAAAUGAAUUGUUCCUUUCAAAUAUCUAAGAAGCCUCUUACAAGCCUCCCAGUGCUCUGCUGUUGGUGAAGCUAAAAACUGACUAAGUUUGUUUACAGAGAAAGCUAUUUCUGGCCUAGUGAGAGUCACAUAUUGUAAAGCUCCAACUGCACUUCUAUAUUGAGAACUAUUUGAAAUAACACUUCCUGACCCCUUUGUAAGAUAAUGACCAGUGGCCAUGGGAGUAGGAACUGGACUGCAGUCAGCCAUAUUGUGUUUGGCUAGAAUAUCAGCUAUGUAUUUAGAUUGAGAGAGAUAAAUUCCAGAUGCUGUUUUGGUAACUUCUAUCCCAAGAAAAUAACUCAAUUUGCCCAGAUCCUUCAAAGCAAAAGCAUUUUGCAUAUUGGUAAUCACUUGCUGCACCAUUUGAUCACUUGAGCCUGUUAUGAUUAUAUCAUCCACAUAGACAAGAACAAAAAUUACUUGAUCACCUAUCCACUUGUAGAAAAGGGAGUUGUCUGACCUUGAAUUUUGGAAACCCCAUUUCACAACCAUAGCAUCUUUCAGUCUCUCAAACCAUGCCCUGGGGGCUUGUUUUAAACCGUAGAGAGCCUUUUUCAACUUACAGACAUGAAGAGGUCGAGAUGGAUCAAUGAAGCCCUCUGGCUGCCCCAUGUACACAUCUUCAACUAAUAUGCCAUUCAAAAAGGCAUUAUUCACAUCCACUUGUCUGAGCUCCCAUUUAUUCAUAACUGCCAAACUUAAAAUAACUCUGACUGUGGAUGCUUUAACAACUGGACUGAAUGUUUCUGUGUAAUCAACUCCUUGUGUCUGAUGAAACCCCUUAGCCACUAACCUGGCUUUGUAUCUAGAAAUGGUUCCAUCAGCAUGAUAUUUUAUCUUGAAUAUCCAUUUGUUACCAACUACCUUAACUGGUUCACUUGGCAAAACCAGAUCCCAUGUAUGAUUAUUCUGAAGUGCUUGAAAUUCUUCUUGCAUUGCCUUAAACCAUUUUGGAUUAGAUAAAGCAGCUGAAACAGAAGUAGGUUCUGAAGGUAUGGCUAGUAAAGCAGCUAAAUAAGAUUUAGGCUUAAAUAUACCAGCCUUGGAUCUGGUUAUCAUGGGAUGACCUAUAGGUGGUGCAGCAGGUAAUAUAUGAGGAGGAGAUUGUGUAUGAUGUAUAGGAUGUGUAUGUGAUGUCAAAGUAGAAGAUGAAGAGGAGGUUGAAGAAGGAGAGAAUACCUGUGGAGUGUCAGCAGGUAGGUAAUCACUUGCUAGAGAUUGUUGCAGGGGGGAUUGUACUUGUGGGAUUGGAACAAGAGUAACUUUGGACUCUGAAGAAAUAUCUGAGGGACUGCAAGACUGAGCAAUGGAAGAGAAGUCUAAUCCAGAUACAUAUGGAAAAGAUUGUUCAUCAAAGAUGACAUGAUUGGACACAUACACACGACCAGAUGAAUGAAGACACUGAUACCCUUUAUGAGAAGAGCUAUACCCAAUAAAAACACAUCUGUUUGAUCUAAAACUGAGCUUGUGUCUGUUAUAAGGUCUGAGAUAAGGAAAGCAAGCACAACCAAAGACCCUAAGAGAGACAUAAUCUGGUACUUGCUGAAAAAGUUUUUGGUAAGGUGAAAUGUAUUCAAAGUUGGUGUGGGUAGUCUGUUAAUAAGGAAUACAACAGUAUGAAAGGCAUUCCACCAGAACUUAAGUGGUAAAUUAGCUUGAGCUAACAGAGUGAGGCCAAUGUCCACUAUGUGUCUAUGUUUUCUCUCAAUUCUUCCAUUUUGAUGAUGGAUAUGUGGACAAGGAUGCCUGAACUGAAUUCCAAACUGAGUGAGAUAUGAUGCAAAGGUUCUAAACUCCCCUCCCCAAUCUGUUUGAACUGUUUUGAUGUGUUGUUGUAAGUGUUUUUCAAUAAAAGAUUUGAAUUCUGUGAAAACUUGGAGUGCAUCUGAUUUGGCAGUCAAAGGAAAAAUCCAUGUGAAUCUGCUAAAAUCAUCUAAAAUGGACAAAUAAUAUAUAUAGCCUUGAGUGGAUGCAACAUGUGAUGGUCCCCACAAAUCAGCAUAUAUAAGUUGUAAUGGUGCUGUUGUUUUUGUUGGAAUAGAUCCAAAAUGUAAAAGGUGACUUUUACCAUGUUGACAGGCAUUGCAAAAGUUUGGAGUUUUAUUGAGUACAUUGAAACUAUUACAAGCUUUCAAUACAGAUUUGAGUGUGUGUAAGGCAGGAUGUCCUAGCCUUUUAUGGAAAACAUUGACAUCGACUGAGCUAGUAUUGACAGCCAAGGCUGAUUUACACAGCAAAUGAUGAGACAAAGUACUCUUACUUAUUUCAGGAGAAAUAUCACUAGACAAAGGAGAAUGAAAAGCAAACAAAGACUGAGGUUUAUUGGAAGAAAGUUGACAAGACAAGGCUGAGCUAGUUUCAGAGACUUGAGCUGCAGAUUGGACUUGAUACAAUCCCCCUGUUGCAAUUCCUCUAAGCAAAGUGAUCCCUGAGUUCCUGGCCUUGACAACACAGACAUUUGCAAAAAACUCAAGUGUCACAUUAUUAUCUACUAAGAGCUUUGAAACACUGAGUAAAUUUUUCUUAAUAUUUGGAACAUGAAGAACAUGGUUUAAACACAAGGGUUUAUUUGCAGUAGUAGCUAGCAAUACUGAUCCAAUAUGCUGAAUAUGCAAUGCAGAACCAUUCCCAACAAGCAAUUUGUCAGUUCCAACAUAUGGCUUGAGAUCCAGUAAUUUACCUGGGUCAUUUGUGAUGUGGUUAGUAGCACCACUGUCAAUGUACCAAGCUGGAUCUUCAAUCAUCUCAGGUGCAUGAGCUGGAACAGGGACUGAAGGAGAUCCAGAGUAAUCUCCAGUAGGAGCAAAAGCAUGAGCAGGAGAGUAACCACCAUGAGAAUUAGAUGGUUGAUAAACAUUGAAAGCAGCUGGAUCUGAAUACAUCAAAUGGCCUUGAUAACCAGGUGCUCUUGGUAUGUUGAAAUUACCAAACUGAGAGUUACCAAUUCCAGCACCAUAUUGAGGAUUAAGAUUUCUACCAAAAUUACCAAAAUUUCCAUAAGCCAUAGAAGACCUAUUGCCAUUAGCAUAGCCAAAACCUCUACCAUACUGCCUCUGACCAGGCCUAAAAUUUCCAUUAAAACCACCUCUUCCUUGAUUUCUUGAAGGAACAAAAGCUGAGUUAAACCUAUUCCUGCAUUUAUUGGCACCAUGACCAGGAAUGAAAUAGAUCUGACAUACAAUUUGUGAGAAGUUACCAUCACUAGAUCCAGCUCCAGAAUUAUAACUUCCUCCAUACGAUCCAAUGUUAAACUUCUGAUUACCACUAGUGUUUUUACUAGGAUUGAACUGCUUUUGAGCAACAUUAGCUGACAAGUUAUGUGUAACAUCACUUGCAAUUUUUCCUCUCUUUUGUUCCACAUGAUUUUCAUGACUCAAUAACAAUGAAUAAAACUCAUCAAGACUGAUAUUAUCUCCUCUAGCUAACACAGUAGUAACUAGUGAUUCAUAAUCAGAGGAAUCCAAUCCAGUCAAAACAUGUUGAACGAAAUCAUUCACUUCAACAGGUUUUCCAGCUAAAGCCAAGCUAUCAGAUAUCCUUUUCAUUUUUGCAAAAUAAUCAGUUAUGGACAUCGAGCCUUUUUUAAGAGUUUGGAUUUGCAUUUUUAGAGGCAUUAUUCUAGCUUGUGACUGGGAAACAAACAUACUUGUAAGUGUAUCCAGCAGCUCCUUUGCAGUUGAGCAGUGGAUCACAGUUGUCAACAGAUUCGGCUGAAUAGAUGAGAGCAUCCAGCUCAGAAUCAAUUGAUCCGUCUUUAUCCACAUUGUGUAAGCUGGAUUGAUCUCUUGAUUCUCUGUUCCAGUUGAGAAACCAGCAGCAGAGCUUAUAGCAGAGAAAAAUUUUCCCGGACAGACUUGAUUUCCAUUGAUGAAAUCUUCUAAACCAUUUCCUUUAAUGGAUAUGAGAAUCUGAGUUCGCCAAACAAUGAAGUUAUUAUGAUCUAGUUUUAUCGGAGUAAUAAAACUAUAGGAUCCAGAAUUUUGAUUCGAAUUUGCCAUUUGUUAGCUCUGAUACCAUGAAAGAGUUUGUAUAUAGUGUUUGGUUUAAGAGAAACUAACAAGAAAAUAAAAGAAAAUCAUAAAGAACCAGAUCUGAAAAUGAUCAUAUUCUCAUUUUUUGACUAAUGAUUACAACUUGUUAUUUAUAGUAAAUAUCAGAGGCGUCACGUAGCUUGUCAGUUUGUUGGAUCUAAUAUGCAUGCAAUACAGUUCGUUAUCUUUGCUGCUGAGCUGGAUAACUAACUCAACACACGUAAGCAUCAGCAGCUCCAUUUAAUCAGAUGCUCUCAUCUGUACCAUAUUAUCAUACUCUAUAACAUCCUCCCUCAAGCUGAACUGACCUGGAUGGACAUUCAGCUUGCUUCUUAGAUAGUGAAACUGAUUGAAGGUUAGUGCCUUGGUAAGAACAUCGGCAUUUUGGUCUUCACUGGGAAUGAACUGAACUGUAAUUUGCUUAGCUGUUACUUUGUCUCUGAUGAAGUGAAUAUCAAGCUCAACAUGCUUAGUUUUAGCAUGAUAAACAGGAUUGUGAGCUAAAGCUAUGGCACUUUGAUUAUCACACCACAUUAUGGGGGCUGUGACAAGAUGAAUAUGUAGCUCUUUCAGUAAGGACUGAAUCCAAGUAACCUCAGCUGUAGCUUGAGCCAAAGCUCUGUAUUCAGCUUCAGUGCUUGAUCUGGAAACUACUGCCUGUUUCUUAGACGACCAAGAAACCAAAUUUGAACCAAGAUAAACAGCAUAACCAGCCACUGAUUUGCGAUCAUCCUUAUCACAUGCCCAAUCUGAGUCACUAAAACAAUUUAUCUGCAUAGUGCCGUAAUGAUAAAAAUGUAAUCCAAAAUGAAUUGUUCCUUUCAAAUAUCUAAGAAGCCUCUUACAAGCCUCCCAGUGCUCUGCUGUUGGUGAAGCUAAAAACUGACUAAGUUUGUUUACAGAGAAAGCUAUUUCUGGCCUAGUGAGAGUCACAUAUUGUAAAGCUCCAACUGCACUUCUAUAUUGAGAACUAUUUGAAAUAACACUUCCUGACCCCUUUGUAAGAUAAUGACCAGUGGCCAUGGGAGUAGGAACUGGACUGCAGUCAGCCAUAUUGUGUUUGGCUAGAAUAUCAGCUAUGUAUUUAGAUUGAGAGAGAUAAAUUCCAGAUGCUGUUUUGGUAACUUCUAUCCCAAGAAAAUAACUCAAUUUGCCCAGAUCCUUCAAAGCAAAAGCAUUUUGCAUAUUGGUAAUCACUUGCUGCACCAUUUGAUCACUUGAGCCUGUUAUGAUUAUAUCAUCCACAUAGACAAGAACAAAAAUUACUUGAUCACCUAUCCACUUGUAGAAAAGGGAGUUGUCUGACCUUGAAUUUUGGAAACCCCAUUUCACAACCAUAGCAUCUUUCAGUCUCUCAAACCAUGCCCUGGGGGCUUGUUUUAAACCGUAGAGAGCCUUUUUCAACUUACAGACAUGAAGAGGUCGAGAUGGAUCAAUGAAGCCCUCUGGCUGCCCCAUGUACACAUCUUCAACUAAUAUGCCAUUCAAAAAGGCAUUAUUCACAUCCACUUGUCUGAGCUCCCAUUUAUUCAUAACUGCCAAACUUAAAAUAACUCUGACUGUGGAUGCUUUAACAACUGGACUGAAUGUUUCUGUGUAAUCAACUCCUUGUGUCUGAUGAAACCCCUUAGCCACUAACCUGGCUUUGUAUCUAGAAAUGGUUCCAUCAGCAUGAUAUUUUAUCUUGAAUAUCCAUUUGUUACCAACUACCUUAACUGGUUCACUUGGCAAAACCAGAUCCCAUGUAUGAUUAUUCUGAAGUGCUUGAAAUUCUUCUUGCAUUGCCUUAAACCAUUUUGGAUCAGAUAAAGCAGUUGAAACAGAAGUAGGUUCUGAAGGUAUGGCUAGUAAAGCAGCUAAAUAAGAUUUAGGCUUAAAUAUACCAGUCUUGGAUCUGGUUAUCAUGGGAUGACCUAUAGGUGGUGCAGCAGGUAAUAUAUGAGGAGGAGAUUGUGUACACACUGAUCCAUGUACAACACAUCUCUUGAUUAUCUGUGUGUGUGCUGCUCAUCAAUGAUUAACAAGAUACAGUAGUUUUGUGAAGUCUCAUGUCUUGUGUUACAAAAUUUUGUGAUGGAAAGAAGGAAUAAUUCAACUAAAAAAAAAAAACACACGCGCGCAGCACACACACAGAGGGCCGCAACUAGCCCUUGAACCCCUAUUGAACUCGCACAAGAUACUAUUGAACUAAAUUCAAAAACAGCUGUUAAUAGCAUCUUAAAAUAUGGGUUCUAUCCAUACUCCCACCUGAAUCAUUUCUUGCGGCAUGACUCAAAAAUAACAAUAAGCCUGUCGCACCGAUAACUCAUUAGUGCAAUUUUUUUAACUCAAAAAAUUGAUACGCGUUCAUUUAGCGAAAAGUCCAAGACGCUUGCCUUUUGAAAAGAAGAGGUAUCCAAUAGAUAUCCAACCUUUAUCUUAUUUAAUUACUACCACGACAUGAUUGAUGGUGCUUAAAUCGAUUGUUUCUUUUUUAAUUUAAAGAAUUUUUCAUUAAAAAAUAUUUUAAUAUCAAAUUGCCUUCAAUAGCGUAACUGCCGCAGGCCCAGUAACAAGAUUAAUUAAAAUUUUUUGAAUUUUUGGGCAUGGAAAGAGUAGUAUUAGACUUCAGAAAGCUUAAGGUUGUUAUGUUAAAGAAUUGAUAUUGACAUAAUUUUAUUUUGGUUUUCGGGAAACAAAUUAUUUGUUGACAAGCAAGAAAAUAUUUUUGUAUUUUACAAUUUAUUAUACAUAUUUUAUCAUAUUAAAGUAAUUUUAAUAAUAAAUAGACACAUAAUAUUACAACAAAUAAAGUAAAGUUUAAAUUAUUUUGAAUAUUAUAAAAAUAAUUUUAAUAUUAUUAAUAGGAAGACAUUUUGUUAAUUUUAAAAUCUUUUUAACCUAAAGGUUUAUUUAAAAUCUUUAGAAAUCUCCAUCCCACAUCUACCCUAUUAAACAAGUUGAUGGAAAUUGAACAAUUGCUUUUUGAAGUGGACCCAUUGAGUUAUGUUCAUUACUGGUCAUUGUCUAUUCUUUCUAAGAGCCACUUGUUUUGAGCAUUAGCAAUCCUAUCUGGACUACUCCAAUUAUUGAUGUAACUCCAAUGGUUGCAUCAACAGUUGAAUGUAAGAUAGUGUUAGUUCUUUUUUGAGAAUAUAGAGGGAUCUUUAUUUGUUUCUCCGUUGUAGCGUAUUAGUAUAAAUUUCUUUACCUUACAGUUCCUACAGUCUUCCUGUUAAUGAAUUCGCUGAGGCAUUAUUGAUCCAAUCUCAGUGAAGUAAUUGUGGGUGAAAAAAAAAAAUAAAGGAUAAGAGAACGUAGCUGAAGUGCUGAAUUGACUAUUAAAGAAGAGCGUCACCUGAUCACAAUCACAUUGAUGCACAACUCACUCAGAUCAUUACAACGUCCUUUUCGCUAAUUAAUUAUGAUUAUAUACAUUUUCAUAUGGCAAGUGGCAUUGUAGAUCUAAACUACGUUGCUAUUUCAUUACGUUAAUUAAGUGAUUCUCCUCAUUGUCAUCAGCGCUUUUUGGGCAUGGAAAGAGUAGUAUUAAACAUUAGAAAGCAAAGGUUGUUCUGUCAAAGAAUUGAUAUUGGCAUAAUUUUAUUUUUGCUUUCGAGUAAAAAAAAAAAAAUUGUUGACAAGCAAGAUACUGUUUUUAUAUUUUACAGUCAGUUAUACAUAUUUUAUCAUAUUAAAGUAAUUUUAAUAAUAAAUGGAAACAUAACAUUACAAUAAAUCAAUUAAAGUUUAAAUUAUUUUGAAUAUUAUAAAAAAUAAUUUUAAUAUUAUUAAUAGGAAGAUAUUUUGUUUAUUGUAAAAUCUUUUUAACCCAAAGGUUUAUUUAAAAUCGUUAUAAUAAAUAAAAAUAUAAAAACAAAAUAAAUAUCAUAAUUUAAAAUUUUAAUAUUAUUUUAAAUAUUAAAAAUACUUUAAUGCUAUUAGUCUACUACCCAGGUUAUAUUACGUAUAUUAUAUUUGUAUAAAUUAAAACUUUUAAAGUUAAAUUUUUAAUUACUAUAUUGAAAAGUUAUUAUGGUUAAAAAAAGUUUUGGCAUUUCUUUUUGAAAAUUUGAGGGUCUGCAUGACAAUUUGUCCAAAUCCUAGAGGUAUAGGUGUCUUUUUUUUUUUUCGAUAAUCAUUUUACUUUUGAGGGAAUCCGAUGAGAAAUAAGAUAAGAGAAACGUCAAUUUAAGGUUCUCUAGGGAAAACCAAGAACUAUUCAAUUUUGUAUUUUUUGUUUGUAAAACGAAAAACAGUUUGCCAAAAAAGGUACCAAACAUAUCCUUAAUGUCUCACAUGAUUUCUUAUUAAGUCCAUACUCGAUAUAUUUAUACAUUUUAGGUAUUUUAGUUAUAAAAGAAGUUGGUCCUCCCUUUGUUUAUAAAAGGUAACUUUAUUUCGAGAUUACCACUAAAGUCUUGCAAAGAAUUAGUGUAAUGUUAAGAGAGAAUAACACAGUUUUCCAUUACCAUUUUGAAAAUAGAAAGAUGUGGAUGUGUGCAUUUAAUAUUGCGUUUACUUGCUGGAUUGAGGAAUCGGAAUCUAGAAUCGGAAUGAUUGAUGGUGUUUACUUUGCAAAUAUGGAGCAGGAAUCGGAAUUGGAAUGGUGGGGGCCACCACUAUUUGGGAAUGGGAGAUUGAUUCUCAUGGGGGAAGGUGGGAAUGAGUCUCCCAUUCCCUGGAUUGACCAUUUUGCCCUCCCUCAAAAUUAAAAAUGCCUACUUUGUCCUCUUUUAUAAUUAAUUAAUAUAAUAUUAUAAUUACUUAAUUAAUAUAUAAAUAUUUUAUUAACUAUAAUUAUUAAAAAUUAUAGUUCUUGAAUAAAUAAUCACAAUAAUUAAUUUAUUAUUAUUAUUGUUAUUUUAAUUAAUUAAUUAAUAUACUAUUAUAAUAAUUAUUAAUAUAAUUAAUUUAUAUAUUAUUAUUAUUAUUAAUGAAUUAAUAUAAUUAUUACUAUUAAUUAAUAUAUUAAUAUAUUAUUAACAAUAAUAUAUUAAUAAUUAUUGUUCGUGAAUAAAUAAUCACAAUAAUUAAUAUAUUAUUAUUGUAAUUAAUUAAUUAAUAUACUAUUAUAAUAAUUAUUAAUAUAAUUAUUAUAAUUAAUUCAUAUAUUAUUAUUAAUUAAAUUAAUAUUAUUAAAUAAAUAAAUAAUAUAAUUAUUACUACUAAUUAAUAUAUUAAUAUAUUAUUAAAAAAUAUUAAUAAUUAUAAUUUUUGAAUAAAUAAUCACAAUAAUUAAUAUAUUAUUUUAAUUAAGUAAUUAAUAUUAAUAUUAAUAUUAUUAGUUAAUAUAUUUUUAUAAUAAUUUUUAAUAUAGUUAUUAUAAUUAAUUAAUUUUUUUUACAAUUAAUUAAUAUAUUAGUUAAUAAUAAUUAUGACAAUAAUCCAUUAAGUACUUUUUAGUAAUUUGUUACAAUCUAAUUCAUUCCGAUUCCGAUUUCAAGACAAAGUAAACACAUUAAUGGCAAUUUAGCUCAUUCUGAUUUUGAUUCCUACAGUUCAAGUAAACAACUUAUUUUGAUUCCUAUUACAUAUUCCCAUUCCAACCCAUUCUCAUUUCUGUCCAUUCUCAUUUCUGCCCAUUCCGAUUUUAGCUCAUUCCGAUUUCAGUUUAGUAAACGCAGUAUAAGAGUUAUCAUGAAAAUCAUACAAUUCAAUUUCCUGAAAUAUAUAUUUUAUUCACAUGUGCCAAAAGAAUAAAUAGAUAGAAAGUAAAUUUACAAUCCUCACUCCCUCACAAUUGUUAAAGUGAAUAUGCAUUACAACUGUGAACUGUCACUACUUUAGCCCUUUUUUUUUUUUCAAUUAUAGUGUGAUGGAGACAGUGAACAUUAAGGAUAAAGUGCUCUGCUGAAAGCCAAACUUCCUUUGGCUAAUUAAUUUAGAAGUAAAGCAGAGAAUAAAGUCCUAGAUGCCUUCUGAAAUUAGAAAUACAUUUUAUAUGCUUUAAUUAUGAUUAUUUGGCAGACUAAAGACCUAAAAGAUAUGUCAAAAGUAUGAAACAGAGAGAUUAAAGAAAAAAGAAAAAAAAAAAAAAACAGAGUAUUUGUGACGUAGAAUAACAAUUGGUAAAUAAAUCCUAAAUAUUUGAGUUGUUAAAAGCAAAUAUAACAGAGACGGUAAGAGAGAUGCAGAAACAGAAAACUAUUAGCUUAUCUUGAUUUUCCCACUAUAUUCAUUUUCGAUGCUUUUCAAUCGAGAUUCUUUUAAUUCUUCUGGUGUCUGCAGCCCCGGCUCUUCUUAUAAAUCUCCAUCCCACAUCUGCACUACGAACAAGUUGACUGAAAUUAAAUAAUGUUGGAGAUGAGGGGUGAGCCGUCAACUUGUUAAAAAAAACUCAUGUAUAAUAUUAUCAAUAAUAUAAAAUAUAUAAUAAUUGUUACAAAGAAUCAUAAAUUAGAAAAAUUAAUUAUUUUACAAUCUAUUUCUUAAGUAAGAUAAAUCUUGUAAUAAGUUAAGUUAUAACGUAAAAAAUAUUUUCAAUUUAUAAUCAUUUAAGAAGUCAUUUAACAAUAAAAUCUUUCUUUUGAUCAUGUGGGCAUGCCAUAGAGUAUCAUCUAUAUUCGUGAUGAUAUUAUUAUUACUCAGUAUCCUAAAAAAAACACGAUUUAACAUUUAGAGAAAAUUCCUGCCUUUUAAAAAGAACAUGUAUGCAAUAGCUAGCCAUACUUUAUUUUACCACAACAAAAUUGAUGGUGAUUAAAUCAAUUUUCUCAAUUAAAGCAAAAUUUUAAAAAUUGAUUUAAUGCACAAAUAUGAUGAGUUUUUGUAAAAAUUAGUUUUGGAAAAUAUAGUGAGAGAAAAUGGUGACGAUUAUUUUCAGAUGUGCAAAUAGCCUAAACAUAAUCUCUAAUACCAAUAUCCAUGUGCAUCUUAAUACCUUUCAUGAUAUUCUUUCAUUCAUGGCCAUUUGUUCAAGAUUUGAAUUUGAUUAUUAAAUCAUGUUCAAUAAUGUUAGAGAUCCCAACAAUUGAAUACCAACUUAAAUCCCAAUGCUAUGUGUCAUUAACAAAUGUUGUGUCAUUUAUAAUUAUUGAAUGAAUAAUUCGUUAAUUUAUUGAUAAAUAAAAAUUUAUUAAUUUAAAGAGAGAUACUUCUUCUUUUUUUGUUUUAAGAAGAGUUUUGUUGGUACAUGUACAUACUUAUAAAGAAAUAAACUUGUAAUUAUACUAUAUCUUUCUUUCUUUGUUCAGUUUGGUGGGAUAUUGUGAUAAAUCAUUGGAUUAAAAUACAUUUCUAAAUUAAAACUUGUUAAAAUCUAAUUUAUUUGGGAAACGCAUAUUAUUUGUCAGUUGUACUUCUCAACUUAGCAAGUUAUUUCUAACUUGUCAGUCUCUAUUGGUUCUCUAAAAGCUAAUAGUCUCGAAUCUCCCGCAUUUGAUAUCUUGCCAUUACUGUUGGCAUUUGUUAAGUAUAGCUGAAGCUGGUGACGUGUAUAAGCUGCUGAUGAAGCUGCUGAGUUGGCUGGCUGGUGAUGUGUAUAAACUGAAGGUGCUGAGCUGGAUUGGGUUGUUGUUCACACCAACUAAAGAUGUAACAGAUUAUCCAGCUGGCUUGUUAUGAUUGGAAGUUAGAUUAGUUUGUUAAUACAGCAAACAAUGAGCUCUGUUUUGGUAGUUAGUUUUGAGUGUAACUAUAAAUACUGGCUAACAUGUUUUCAGUGUUAAGCUUGAGUUUUAAUCAAUAAAAAUCAAUUCAGUUAAAGUUUCUUUGUUAACUUUCUUUCACUUUCUCACUUGCCAAACAACCUAUUAAUUCUAAAAUGGUAUCAGAGCUUGCACCUAUGUCAGGAUCUAAUCAUAUAGCUUCCUCAUCACUUUCAUUCAAUUUUGUUCAACCUAUAAAACUCGAUAGAUCAAACUACUUGGUGUGGAAAGCUCAAGUUAGAACAUCGAUCAUUGCUAAUGGACUUGAGAGCUUCAUCAAUGGUGAGAGUGUAUGUCCAAAAUGUUAUCUCAUUGAUUCUAUUCAAGAACUUCAAAGAUCUGGAGCUGAAACAUCACAGAAGCAGGAAAAUCCAGAGUAUAUCUUAUGGAUGAAAACUGACAAACUUCUGCAGAGCUGGAUGCUUUCGUCAAUGGUGGACAAUGUAUUAAUCAUGGUGAUCAAUUGUGAAACAUCACUUGAACUUUCGGAGAUGCUUGCUAGAAUCUUCAUGUCACAAUCCAAAGCGAGAUAUCUGCCUUUGAAGAUGCAGAUUCAAUCAACAAAUAAAGGAUCUCUCUCCAUCAGUGAUUACUUCAAAAGGAUGAAGAAAAUUGCUGAUAGCUUGGCCAUUGGAGGUAAUCCAAUUACUUCGAAUGAACUGAUUAUUCACUUGCUUACUAGAUUGGAUGAAAACUAUGAAUCCAUAGUCACAAAUAUACUUACUAGACUGGAAAAAGAGAGACUUACUGCUGAAGAGGUGUACUCUAUGUUACUUAGUCAUGAAACUAGGUUGGAAAUGAGCAAAGGAAAAUCACAUAAUGAACCUCUGCAUGAUAUGACAUCAAAUUUUGCUCAGAAAGGCCAAGGUUAUAAUACUGGUCCUGGAAGAGAUGUUGUGUGUCAAAUCUGUUACAUUCCAGGCCAUGGAGCUUAUAAGUGUAAACAUAGAUUCAAUCAAGGGUUUAUUCCUAGAAACAAAGGCUUUGGUGGUUUCAGGCCAAGAGGUGGAGGUCAGAAUUAUAGAGGAUUCCCUAGAAAUAAUCAGAAUUAUUUUGGUAGAGGUUCUGGAUACAAUAGUUCUGCUUUUGGAUCUGGAUUCAGACCUAACUUUCCCAGGCAAGCCGGACCUACUGGACCUUUCUUUGGCUAUGUUGCCUAUCAGAAUCCAGGAUUCAUGAAUCCUCAAGGUGCCUUUGACUUUCCAAGUGCAAAUGGUGAUUAUACUGGUGUUCCAACAGCAAACAUGUAUGUUGGAAAUUAUGGCAUUCCUCAUAAUGUCUCUCCCUCUGCACAAUUGGCAAACUUCAGCAAUGUAGCUGAUUCAGCCUGGUACCUUGACUCUAGAGCAACAAAUCACAUUGCUCAAGAUGCAGGUAUACUUUCUAAGUGCUCAACUUACCAUGGCCUUGAAAAACUACAUGUAGGAAAUGGUAUGGGGCUGCCUGUUCAUAAUGUUGGUUUUGUUGCUGUUAAAACCUUGACUACAACACCUAUAUACCUAAAUCAUGUUCUGCAUGUCCCUAAAAUUACUAAAAACCUUAUCAGUGUUUCCAAAUUGCUUGCUGAUAACAAUGUUUUUAUUGAGUUUUACAACCAUGUUUGUUUUGUUAAGGACAAGAAUUCAAGAAUCACAUUGCUCAAGGGGAUUGUUAGAGGAGGUCUUUAUCAAGUUUCAAGCUUAAAUACAGUCUGUGAUAACUCCAGUUCAGUGUUCCCAGUGUCAACCACUUCUGAGUUUGUUUUUACUUCAAUAAGUACAUUCCCAGCAACUCCAGUGUCUAUGUUUACUCAACUAAGUUCAUUUGAUACUAAGUUUCACUCUUGUAUGCUUGUAAAUAAUUCUCAAAUCAAUAAGAAUGUCCCUGUGGCUCACUUUGCUUCAUAUAACAAGCCUAUUGAUUAUAGUUUACUGCACAAAAGAAUGGGUCAUCCAACUACUCAUGCUUUAAAACAGAUCAUGAAAUGCCUGAACUCAAAUUUUAUUCUUCCCAAAGAUUUCACAACACAGUUCUGUGAUGCCUGUCAACUAGGCAAGUGCCAUACGCAGCAUUUUCCCUCCAUAGAAACUUCAACCACUCAGCCCCUUGAAUUACUACAUGCUGACCUUUGGGGACCAGCUCCCAUUACCUCUUCACAAGGUUACACCUACUAUCUAUCUAUCUUAGAUGACUACACUCGAUACACUUGGAUUUUUCCUCUCAUUGCCAAAUCCAAAACCUUGUCAGCCUUUAUUGAAUUCAAAAACAUGAUUGAAAACUGCCUGAACUUGAAAAUUAAAUGUUUACAAACUGAUUGGGGUGGAGAAUUCAGGCCUUUUGUGUCAUAUCUUUCUAACCAGGGUAUACAAUUUUGACAUCCCUGCCCUUAUAUCCAUCAUCAACAUAUUACCUGAGAUUGGGAUUCAUUAAAAUCCUCAAUGUAAUCGGUGGAACGAAUGGAUUUCUUCUGUUCACCAAUCCACCAAAAUUUCUGUAAUUAAAUUCAAGAGUCAAGAUCUAUGCUUAUAAUCUAUUCAACAGCUAAUAUUCUAUUUUAUAUUUACUUAAAUAUGAAGAGCUAUGCUUGUCAUUAACUUCAAAUGUGAUCGAAGCAGCCUUACAUCUGUAUAUUACGUAUUCCCAACUUUUUUUUGACUUCAUUUACUUUCUUUUCAUGUUAUUUACUCUUUUUUCCCCCUCUCUGACAAUUGAGGUAGGGGGUCAAACUUGAAAGUAUCUUAAAAUCAAACAAUUUUUUUUUUAAGAUAGCUGCUAAUAUGCUCUAUUAGACAAUGAUAAGUAAUAACCUAGUUGUUUGCAUUAGAAAUGAUAUUUUUUGUGGUGCUGAUAAAGAGGUUGAUUAUGAUUCAACAAUUUAAAAUAUGAAAACAUGUGGAAGACGGCCGCAAUUAAAUUGAUUGUAUGAAAAUAUUUCAAUGAAAUUUUAAAAAUUUAGUACUUGUUAUCUUAUCGAGAGUUUUUUAAAUUUUUCUACUUGAACUUGACUGCUUUUGUAUUGAAUUCCUAGCGUUGCCAUUGCUUCUACUCAAAAGCCAUUUAGUUACUCAUGAAUUGUUGUUCAUAAUAGCAAUUUGAUUGAAAGUGCGGCUGCACUAAUUUUCUAGAUGAAUUUUUUCCUACAUGCUUGUUCUCGUAUGACCCAAAAUCCUGCUACAUCAGUUGUAUUAGAAAUUAAUCAACUGGGUUACAAUUAUGCAUCCCCACCAAUAUUUAAGCAAUUUAAUUACAGAAACAUUUCUUGAGGAAAGAAACUCAUAUCGCCACUAGGCUUUUAAUGAGGCUCAUUUUUAUGAAUCUGGAUGGCAUUAGAUAUCUCUCCGAAUAUUGGUGGGAGUAGAUAUGCUACAAAGUGUAUGUACGUUGACUCUCAAUAAAUACAAACGAUUCUCUGAUCUGAUUCAAAACAUCAGUACAUGCAUCAUUUUAAUGAGAAAGAAUAUUCUAAGAACGAAAUUGAAGGUGCAAUCAGCAGCUAAAAUGAAGCCAGAAAUGUACACGCAUGAGGAAGUUUUCCAAGAAGAUUGAUAUUUCUUUGACUAGCAAACCAUACAAGUCCAAAGCUAGCUAAACCAUACCUGCAAGUCGGGGGUUUAAAUGGAGUACUUCUAAGCAUAAAACAUUGAUUAAAACAGAAUACACACAUACAUACCAGCAAAUUCAAUAUAGCAAAAGGAGUGCAAAAGUUCAAGUUUGUAGACAACAUUGCAACCAUGGCAUGUUUAUAGCAAAUCCUCGAAAUCUGCUAAAUAAAACAAUGCCCUGUCUCAUGAAUCAAUGCUGAAUUAAAAUUGAAACUGAAAGUCUGGCUGGCGGUGUUUCCCUCUCCAAUUUUGCCUACAUAAGUGAAAAUAAGAAUAAUAAAUGGAAAUCUGCUUUUACAGUUCUUAUUAGAUAGAUAUAAAGGGAUCUUUCUUUGUUUCUCUGCUGUAAUUUGUGGCUAUGCCACUCUGUUUUUCCAGUCAAGCUGAGUCUACGUUGAGACAUAAUUUUGACAUCAGAAGCAACCUCAAUUAGUUUGGCAUUUUCAUGACCUCCUUGAAGGUUUUAUGAUAAACAUAAAUCCACUGAGAAAGUGGGAAAAAAAGAAAAUGCAUAUAAAAGUAUGAGUUAUCAGAUAAGAUUAAAACUCACCCAAUUCAAUCCAUCAGAUUCCGUAAGGAUAUAACUGGAUGUCAUACCGCCACUCCAUAUCCUCGAAAGUCCGUAGUCCUUGUCUCAACUGUGUCUGGGGCCAGUGUAAGUCCAAUUUGCGCAAGCUCUUUAUGCACCACAGCUCUUCUGGAAGCUUUCUCAAGUAAGCACAUGGGUUGACAAUUAAGCUUUCAAGUUUCGGCAUUGCUCCAGCCGCCAUCGUCCACUCAUCUAGCCAAUACAUUGAUUUCAGGUGCAAAACCUUAAGUUCGGGAAAGCUACUCAAGCCAACACAAGCAAGCUUUCUUCCUAAAUACGAGUUCUGCUUCAGUUUCAGCACUCGAAGGCGUGGAAGAUUUUCCAGAAUUGGCAUGGGAUCCUCCAUUAGCUCAGUAUUUGAUAAGCUCAGUUGGAUCAGACUUGGGGGAAAUUGGUAUUCAGACAGGACCAUCCGUGAGGGCUUGCUCUCAUUCACCAGCUUCAAGCAUUCAAGUUUGUGGAGUUCGCAAAGGCUUUUGGAAACCCCAGAUUGAUAGUAACUCAAAUCUCCAGAUAUCCGAAGAGUCCGAACACUAGGUAGUCUGCCCAAUAUAUCAGGAGUACAACUACUAGGGUUUAAAGCUGAUAUGAAAAUGAGAUUUUUCAGAGAGCUAGAAUAAUUUUUUGGAGGUGCGGGCAGAGUGAUGCAACCGAAGUUUAGAUGCAUGAGUUUUUGCAUCAUCCAAAUAUCCUCUGGUGACUGAUCUAUGUAGCUAGAUGGCAUUUCUAGUGUUUCAAGGUUUAAAAGGGUGCAUAGCAGUGAAGGAAGGCAUUUGAGCGAAGGGAUAUUCAAUUUCAAAUACUUCAAAAGAUAUAAAUUUUCUAAUCCGGGUGGAUAUUGGUCCAGGACUGCAGAACCCAUGUUCAAUACCCGAAGGUAUUUGAACCUUUUAAAAAAAUUCUCGCAAUCUUUCGGAUUAAGAUGAUUGCUUUUUGAACUGUGAUUCAGAAAAGAUUGGAGACACAUGUCAGAAUGUUCUAAAGAAAAGAACUCAAUCAGAUCAUCGUCAAUGACGCACCGUUUAACAUUUGCCACUGAUUCCUCUUCCACGUCAUGCAUCCAGACAAAUCCCGUCUUCAUUGCCACAAUAUACAAUGAAGUGUAUACAAAACUUGGAACAUAACACGCUUUAAUUGUGCCUCUGGCUCUUCUCUUACUCACUUGAAUGAAGCCGCGAUGGAUUAGUUCUUUCAAGUAAUGUUCGGCAGUUUCUUCACCGUUGUAUGGUAUGAAACCUUCAGCUACCCACAACUGAUAUAAUUGCUCCGUAGAUAUCUCAAUACUUGGAGGGAAGACAUACAAAUAGAUGCAGCAGACUUUCAAGUGAAAAGGCAACUCCAUCACAGAAAAAAUUUGUCUCCAAACUGUCAGAACCACUUCGCCUUGAAGAUAAUUUUCUAAUGGCAUACUUCCAUAGUGUAGGAUGAAAAAUUGCCAGGCCUCAUGCUUUAAUCUGAUCAAUGGUCCUCCAAAGAGCACUGAAUCACGCCGAAUCUUCUCUUCAUUUUCCAUUUCCAACGACGCAAUGAGGCCCGGAUCAGUGACUGUUAUCAAUACUCUGCUUCCAUUCUCAUCACCAGGAAGAAGUUCUUCGAGAUCACUCCAUAUCUCACUGUUAUCGAAGACAUCAUCAAGCAAAAUAAAGUACUUCUUGUUUGUUAGGUAAUCUCGAAGAAUAGAUUUCUUCAAUUGAUAAUCUUCACCGAUAAUUACACUAACCCGAGAUGGAGGCAUCACAGACUUGAUUAUGUCAUCCAACAUCUUGCCAAAAUCAUAGAAUAUAGAAACCCUGACCCAAGCAAGACAGUCAAAAUAGAACUUGACAUGGUUAUUAUUGUAAGUAUCUUCUGCAAAAGCAGUCUUAUCGAAGCCACUGCUGUCGAGAAUUGUAACCACUGCAAGCCGAGGGCGUCCUUCAAUCAAUAAAUCAAACAACUCCUCCCUGCCCCUUUCAAAUUCAUUGAUAUCAAGCCGAGGUUGUCCCUCACUCAAUAGGUGAAUGAUUUCGUUACUUUUUUUACUGAUAUCAAAACCAUUGUCGCCGGGUGGAAGUUGUUGCAUCCGAUUACUAAUAUCAAUGAUUUUACUGUGGAGACCAGCAAGAAGAGCCAUAUUAGUACUGCUUUCACUUUCGUUUUCACUGUUUUGCUGCUGCAUAAUGUUGAUGAAGAAUGUGUCAAUGGCUUCCUCAGAUUCAUGGACAAAGUCAUUGAUGUCCUUCACAAUGCCCAAAAGGUCCGCUCUUUCAACUUCUUCUUCAUCGCUUUCUUCUAAGUCCAACAGUUGCAAAAAAGGCAAAGAUAUUUUGGAGUCAUCGAAUUCUUCUCUAAUGAGUUGAAAGAAAUGCCGAGCCAUGUCAGCUUCAUAUUUUCCCAGCAGGGUAGUAGCAAUAAUUUCGGACUCCGUAAGAAGGUUUUGAAAAAGUGGGGUUAAAUUUGUUGAAUCAGGCAGCGUUAACGGGCCUUCUUCACCUGCUAACACCCUUUUCAACCUCUCACAAAACAGUCGGAGGUGGAAUUCCAGCAUAUCUCCUUCUCUCCGUAGCACUCAGAGGUAUAGCUGAAAGAUUAAACACCAUGGAAGAAUUUGAAAGGAAAAUGCCAAGACAUUAUUGCUCAUUUUUUAACUCAAAAGAUUGAUACGCGUUCAUUUAGAGAAAAGUCCAAGACGCGUGCCUUUUGAAAAGAACAGGUAUCCCAAUCGGUAUCCGACCGAUAUCUUAUUAAAUUACAACCAUGACAUAAUUGAUGGUGCUUAAAUCAAUUGUUUCUUUUUUAAUUUAAAGAAUUUUUCAUUAAAAAAAUAUUUUAAUAUCAAAUUGCUUUCAGUGGCGUAACUGCCUCAAGCCCAGUAACAGGACUAAUUAAAAAUUUUACAAUUUUUGGGCAUGGAAAUAGUAGUAUUAAACAUUAGAAAGGUAAGGUCGUUCUGUUAAAGAAUUGAUAUUGACAUAAUUUUUUUUGGUUUUCGGGGGAAAAAAAAUUGUUGACAAGCAAGAAAAUAUUUUUAUAUUUUAUAAUUUAUUAUACAUAUUUUAUCUUAUUAAAGUAAUUUUAAUAAUAAAUAGAAACAUAAUAUUACGAUAAAUAAAUUAAAGUUGAACUUAUUUUGAAUAUUAUAAAAAAUAAUUUUAAUAUUAUUAAUAGGAAGACAUUGUAUUAAUUUUAAACUUUUUUAACCCAAAGGUUUAUUUAAAAUCUUUAUUAGAAAUACAAAUAUAAAAUUAAAUAUCAUAAUUUAAAAUUUUUAAUAUUAUUUUAAGUAUUAAAAAUAUUUUAAUGUUAUUAGUCUACUACAUAGAUCAUAUUACUUAUAUAAUAUUUGUAUUAUUAAAAAUUGUUAAAAUCAAAUUUUUAGUUAGUAUAUUCAUGAGCUAUUAUGGUUAAAAAAAAAAAGACCUUAUUAUUACUUUUUUAAAAAUUGAGGGCCUGCGUGAUAAUUUUUUCAAAAAGAAAAUGCUUGGUAUGUAGGAGGGGUACAGAAACAGGACUCCCAAAAUCUCUCACCCUUUUUUAAUUAAAAAAAAAAAUUAAAAUAUCAAUAAAAAGUAAUAAAGAAAAUAGAAUUUUAUCUGCUCCUUACUCCAUUUUUGCAACUCUCUCACCAUCCCUAUCGAGCAGCCCUCUCUCUCACUGUCUCACUCACACAGUCCUUUUCACGAUUUGAAAUUCUUUGGCCCUCUGCAUUACAAGAAAUUAACGCUUUGGUUCUCCCAAGGGUAGAUUGGUUUUAUUGGGAAGCUAUUAAUUUUUUUUUUUUUUGAAUACUGAUUAAUCAUCAGAUUACUGCAUUACACAGAUAUUUACAACAACUGCUAUUGUAGCAGAGAUAUUAUACUGAUAUUUACAAUCAGAUAUACAUAAUUGGGACUUAUAUUAUGACAUUGAAUUCUAUGAAGUACAUGCCCAAACAAAUAACCCCUCACAGGAGAGGGAUGUCCAUACUCCACUCGCAUUUCGCAAGGGAGAAUGAUUUUUUGGAAGUAUAAAGAACAUUUAGCCCCCACAAUACUUUUGUGGGGGCUAGAACCGCUGCAGCAUUGUGAGGGCAGCAGCCCACCACUUCGGCCUUGGCCGAAGUGGCGGGAAGCUAUUAAUUAGAAGGAGGAAAAAGGACUAUAUUUAGAAUAUGAUUUGUUGGAGAAUCUCAGAGUUAGUCAAUUUUCAAGCCACACUUUCAAUAGCCAAUUGAUUUAGUAACCAUUAAUUACUUUAAUUUCCAUAAAUUGUAAUGACAGUGCAAAUGCAUCUGGUUGUGAUAGCUAAGGGUUAGCUUGAAGAAUUAAAUUUCAUAAGAUAUUACUGGAAAAUGCUUUGCAGAUAACGUGCUGCUUCCUUUGCUAGACUACAAUUUCAAAAAUCUCACGAGUUUUCCAUUGUUGUCACAAACCGAGAAAUUAUAAAAUACAUGGCCUGGUUCUUUGGCAAUGACCAUCUCAUCGUCGGCGGUCGUGUCGUCAUUGUCACUGUUCUUGCUCGACCGAGACAGUGAGAGAGAGGUUUGUUAGAUGGAGUUAGUGAGAGAGAGUUGUAAAGAUGGAAUGAUGAUAAAAGGAUUCUAUUUGUUUUUAUUGUUUUUUAUUAAUAUUUUAAUUUUUUAAAUUAAAAUGUGCUGCCGUUUCUCUAGCCUUUUUAGCUGCUUAACUUAACAGUAUUCUUUUCAAAAUUUAAGAAUGUAGUAGGUGUCCUUUUCUCUAAUAAUUUAUUUCAUUUUUAGGGAAUCCAAUGAGAAAUAUGAUAAAAGAACGUCAAUUACUUGUCGUUUUCAAUUUUUUCUAUAAGCUAUUUAUUUUGAGCAUUAGUGAUCUUGUCUGGACUACCCCAAUUAUUGACGUAACUCCAGUGGCUGCAUCCACUGGAAAAAGUGGAUGAGACCAUUUUUUUUUUCAUAAAGGUAACUACUCCAAUUAUUGACAUAAUUGAUGGUGCUUAAAUCAAUUUUUUCUUUCUUUUUUUUAAUUUAAAGAAUUUUGCUUUAAAAAAUAAUUAAUAUCAAAAUGCCUUCAAUGUUGUUACCGCCACAAGCCCAGUUAGAGGACUCAUUAAAAAUUUUAGAAUUUUUAGGCCUGGAAAGCAUAGUAUUAAACAUCAGAAAGCAAAGGUUGUUAUGUCGAAGAAUUGAUGUCGACAAAAUUUUAAUUUUGUUUUCGGAAAAAAAAAAAAAUUUUGUUGACAAGCAAGAAAAUAUUUUUUAUACUUUACAAUCUGCUAUACAUAUUUUAUCAUAUUAAAGUAAUUUUAAUAAUAUAUGGAAACAUAAUAUUAUAAUAAAUAAAUUAAAAUUACUUUGUAUUAUUGAAUAUUACAAAAAGAUAAUUUUAAUAUUAUUAAUAGGAAAACAUUUUUUAAUUGUAAAAUCUUUUUAAUACAAAAAUUCGUUUAAAAUCUUUAUAAUAAAUACAAAUAUAAAAUUAAAAAAUAUCAUAAUUUAAAAUUUUUAAUAUUAUUUAAAUAUUAAAAAUACUUUAAUGUUAUUAGUCUACUACAUAAAAUAUAUUAUUUAUAUUAUAUUCGUAUUGAUUAAAACGUUUUAAAGUCAAAUUUUUAAUUAGUGUAUUCAAAGGUACAAAAGAUUUAAGUAUUAUUUUUUAAAAAUUUCAAGAUACGAAUGAUAAUUUUUUCAAAUUUUAAAGAUGUAAAAAUCUUUUUUUCUGAUAAUUUAUUUCACUUUUGAGAGAAUCCGAAAACGUUAAUUUAACAUUCUUUACCUUUGUAAAAAAAGUGAAAAUCAAGAACUAUUCAAUUUUGUUUUUAUUUGUAAUUCAAAAACUUUAUUCAUUUUCGAUGCUUUUCAAAAGAGAUUCCUUUAAAUGUCUGCAGCUCCUGCUUUUCUCAUAAAUCUCCAUCCCACAUCUACACUAUCAAGUAUCAAACAAGUUGAUGGAAAUUCUUAUAAAAAAAAAAAAAAAAUUGAUGGAAAUUGAUCAAUUGCUUUUUGAAGUGGACCCAUUGAGUCAUGUUCAUUUCUGGUCAUUGUCUACUCUUUCUAUCAGCCAUUUAUUUUGACCAUUUGCGAUCUUAUCUGGACCUACUCCAAUUAUUGUUGUAACUCCGAUGGUUGUAUCUACAGUGGAAUGUAAGAUAGUGAAAGCUCUUUCUUUGAGAAAAUAGAGGGACCUUUCUCUGUUUCUCCGUUGCAACGUGCUCGUAUAAAUUUCUCUACCUUACAGUUUAUACGGUCUUGCUGUUAAUGAAUUCGCUGAGGCAUUAUUGAUCCAAUCUGAGUGAAGUAAUUGUGGGUGAAAAAUAAAUAAAGGAUAUGAGAACGUAGCUGAAGUGCUGAAGGGGCUAUUAAAGAAGAGUGUCACUUGAUCACAAUCACAUUGAUGCACAACUCACUCGUGGCAAAUUUCGACUAUACGUUCUGCAAAUUCAGCCAAACCAUACAUGCAUGAACAAAACUAAAAUGUAGUUCUAAUCACAACUGCAGUUAUGAUGUUUACCUCUCUGAUUUUUCUCCAAAACAAAUUCAGUUCAAAACAAUAAUCAAAAUAGCCACAUUUUGUUCGUCAAAAUAAAUGCCCAAAUUUUCAAUUAACAAAUCAUCUUCUCUAAACUAAAAAGCCCACAUCUCUAAAAUCAAUCUACAUAAUGUUGGAGAUGAGGGUUGAAUUGUUAACUCAGUAAAAAAAAAAAAACUCAUGCAUAAGAUUACUAAUAAUAUAAAUUAUAUAUUAAUCAUUAUAAAGAAUCAUAAAUUAGAAAAAUUAAUCAUUUUAUAAUUUAUUACACAAGUAAGAUAAAUCUCAUAAUAAGUUAUAACAUAAAAAACGUUAUCAAUAUAUAAUCAUUUAAGAAGUCAUUUAACAAUAAAAUCGUUCUUUGAUCAGUUGGCCAUGUCACAUAGUAUCAUCUAUAUUUAUGGUGAUACUAUUAUUACUCAGUAUUCUCAAAAAACAUGAUUUAACAUUUAGAGGAAAUUCUUGCCUUAAAAAAAAAACAUGUAUGCAACAGCUACCCAUGCUUUAUCUUACCAUGACAAAUAUUUUCUCAAUGAAAGAAAUUUUUUAAAAAAUUGAUUUAAUGCACAAAUAUGAUGAUUUUUGCAAAAAUUAGUUUUGGAAAACAUAGUGAGAGAAAAUAGUGACGAUUAUUGUUUAAAUGUAUAAAUAGCCUAAACAUAAUCCUUAAUACCAAUAUCCAUAUGCAUCUUAUCAUCUUUCAUGAUAUUCUUUCAUUUAUGUCCAUUGGUUCAAGAUUUGAAUUUGAUCAUUAAAUCAUGUUCAAUAAUAUUAGAGAUUCCAACAAUUGAGUACCAACUUAAAUCCCAAUGUUAUGUGUCAUUGACCAAUUUUGUGUCAUUGACCAAUUUUGUUAUUAACUAGGUGAUGAAUUUCUAGUUGAUAAAAUCACUUAAAAAUAUCUUAAAAAUUAGACAAUAGUUUGCUUAAUUUUUCCAAGUUAACUGCUCAAGAUGCUCUAUUAGAAAUGAUAACCUAAUUAUAUACAUAAAAAAUGAUGGAAAUUGAACAAUUGCUUUUUGAAGUGGACCCAUUGAGUUAUGUUCAUUACUGGUCAUUGUCUAUUCUUUCUAAGAGCCACUUGUUUUGAGCAUUAGCAAUCCUAUCUGGACUACUCCAAUUAGGAUAGUGUUAGUUCUUUUUUGAGAAUUUCUUUAUUUGUUUCUCCGUUGCAGCGUAUUAGUAUAAAUUUCUUUACCUUACAGUUCCUACAGUCUUCCUGUUAAUGAAUUCGCUGAGGCAUUAUUGAUCCAAUCUCGGUGAAGUAAUUGUGGGUGAAAAAAAAAAAAAAGGAUAAGAGAACGUAGCUCAAGUGCUGAAUUGACUAUUAAAGAAGAGCGUCACCUGAUCACAAUCACAUUGAUGCACAACUCACUCGAGGCAAAUUUCAUCUAUAAAUAAAAGAUCCCUUACUAUUCUCUUAACCCUGAGUUUUGAGAUAGAAAUUUCCCGAACUCCAACCCCACAUCCACAGACAAGUUGAUUGAAACAAUUGCUCUUGUAAUUAAGAGGAUGGGUUAGGGUUCAGUUCUUAUCAUUGUCUGUUAUUUCUUUGAAUCAUUAUCUUAAUUAAUUACAUCAAUUGUUUCUUUUUUUUAAUUUAAAGAAUUUUUCUUUAAAAAAAUAUAUUUUAAUAUCAAAAUGCCUUAAAUGGUAUUACUGCCGCAAUCCCAGUAACAGGAUUAAUUAAAAAUUUUAGAAUUUUUGGGCAUGGAAAGAGUAGUAUUAAAUAUCAGAAAGCUAAGGUUGUUCUGUCAAAGAAUUCAUAUUGGCAUAAUUUUAUUUUUGCUUUCGAGUAAAAAAAUAUAUAUAUAUAUAUUUGUUGACAAGCAAAAUACUGUUUUUAUAUUUUACAAUCAGUUAUACAUAUUUUAUCAUAUUAAAGUAAUUUUAAUAAUAAAUGGAAACAUAACAUUACAAUAAAUCAAUUAAAGUUUAAAUUAUUUGGAAAAUUAUAAAAAAUAAUUUUAAUAUUAUUUAUAGGAAGAUAUUUUGUUUAUUGUAAAAUCUUUUUAACCCAAAGGUUUAUUUAAAAUUGUUAUAAUAAAUAAAAUAUAAAAACAAAAUAAAUAUCAUAAUUUAAAAUUUUAAUAUUAUUUUAAAUAUUAAAAAUACUUUAAUGCUAUUAGUCUACUACAAAGGUUAUAUUACUUAUAUUAUAUUUGUAUAAAUUAAAACUUUUAAAGUUAAAUUUUUAAUUACUAUAUUGAAAAGGUAUUAUGGUUAAAAUAUGUUUUGGCAUUUCUUUUUAAAAAUUUGAGGGUCUGCAUGACAAUUUGUCCAAAUCCUAGAGGUAUAGGUGUCUUUUUUUUUCGAUAAUUCAUUUUACUUUUGAGGGAAUCCGAUGAGAAAUAAGAUAAGAGAAACGUCAAUUUAACGUUCUCUAUGGAAAACCAAGAACUAUUCAAUUUUGUAUUUUUUGUUUGUAAAACGAAAAACAGUUUGCCAAAAAAGGUACCAAACAUAUCCUUAAUGUCUCACAUGAUUUCUUAUUAAGUCCAUACUCGAUAUAUUUAUACAUUUUAGGUAUUUUAGUUAUAAAAGAAGUUGGUCCUCCCUCUAUUUAUAAAAGGUAACUUUAUUUCGAGAUUACCACUAAAGUCUUACAAAGAAUUAGUGUAAUGUUAACAGAGAGUAACAUAGUUUUCCAUUACCAUUUUGAAAAUAGAAAGAUAUGGAUGUGUGCAUUUAAUGGUGUGUUUACUUACCGGAUUGAGGAAUCAGAAUCUGGAAUUAGAAUGAUUGAUGGUGUUUACUUCGCAAAUAUGGAGCAGGAAUCGGAACUGGAAUGGUGGGGCCCACCACUAUUUGGGAAUGAGAGAUUGAUUCCCAUGGGGGAAGGUGGGAACGAGUCUCCCAUUCCCUGGACUGACCAUUUUGCCCUCCCUCAAAAUUAAAAAUGCCUACUUUGUCCUCUUUUAUAAUUAAUUAAUAUAUAAAUAUUUUAAUAACUAUAAUUAUUAAAAAUUAUAGUUCUUGAAUAAAUAAUCACAAUAAUUAAUUUAUUAUUUUUAUUUUUAUUUUAAUUAAUUAAUAUACUAUUAUAAUAAUUAUAAAUAUAAUUAAUUUAUAUAUUAUUAUUAUUAUUAAUGAAUUAAUAUAAUUAUUACUAUUAAUUAAUAUAUUAAUAUAUUAUUAAAAAUAAUAUAUUAAUAAUUAUUGUUCGUGAACAAAUAAUCACAAUAAUUAAUAUACUAUUAUUUUAAUUAAUUAAUAUAAUUAAUUUAUAUAUUAUUAUUAUUAUUAAUGAAUUAAUAUAAUUAUUACUAUUAAUUAAUAUAUUAAUAUAUUAUUAAAAAUAAUAUAUUAAUAAUUAUUGUUCGUGAACAAAUAAUCACAAUAAUUAAUAUACUAUUAUUUUAAUUAAUUAAUAUACUAUUAUAAUAAUUAUUAAUAUAAUUACUAUAAUUAAUUCAUAUAUUAUUAUAAUUAAUUAAUUAAAUUAAUAUUAUUAAAUAAAUAAAUAAUAUAAUUAUUACUACUAAUUAGUAUAUUAAUAUAUUAUUAAAAAUAAUUAUAAUUUUUGAAUAAAUAAUCACAAUAAUUAAUAUAUUAUUUUAAUUAAGUAAUUAAUAUUAAUAUUAUUAGUUAAUAUAUUUUUAUAAUAAUUUUUAAUAUAGUUAUUAUAAUUAAUUAAAUUUUGUUACAAUUAAUUAAUAUAUUAGUUAAUAAUAAUUAUGACAAUAAUCCACUAAGUAUUUUUGAGUAAUUUGUUACAAUCUAAUUCAUUUUGAUUCCGAUUUCAAGACAAAGUAAACACAUUAAUGACAAUCUAGCUCAUUCCGAUUUCGAUUCCUACAGUUCAAGUAAACAACUUAUUUUGAUUUUCAUUACCUAUUUACAUUCCAGCCCAUUCUCAUUUCUUCCCAUUCUCAUUUCUGCCAAUUCCAAUUCCAGCUCAUUCCGAUUCCAGUUUAGUAAACGCAGCAUAAGAGUUAUCAUGAAAAUCAUACAAUUCAAUUUCCUGAAAUAUAUAUUUUAUUCACAUGUGCCAAAAGAAUAAAUAGAUAGAAAGUAAAUUUACAAUCCUCACUCCCUCACAAUUGUUAAAGUGAAUAUGCAUUACAACUGUGAACUGUCACUACUUUAGCCCCUUUUUUUUUUUCAAUUAUAGUGUGAUGGAGACAGUGAACAUCAAGGAUAAAGUGCUCUGCUGAAAGCGGAACUUCCUCUGGCUAAUUAAUUUGGAAGUAAAACAGAGAAUAAAGUCCUACAUGCCUUCUGAAAUUAGAAAUACAUUUUAUAUGCUUUAAUUAUGAUUAUUUGGUAGACUAUUGACCAAAAGACAUGUUAAAGUAUAAAACAGAGCGAUUAAAGAAAAAAAAAGGAGUGUUUGUGACGUAGAAUAACAAUUUGUAAGUAAAGUCCUAAUUUGAGUUGUCAAAAAGCAAAUAUAACAGGGAAGGUAAGAGGGAUGCAGAAACAGAAAACUAUUAGCUUAUCUUGAUUUUCCCACUAUAUUCAUUUUCGAUGCUUUUCAAACGAGAUUCUUUUAAUCCUUCUGGCGUCUGCAGCCCCUGGUCUUCUUAUAAAUUUCCAUCCCACAUCUGCACUAGGAACAAGUUGAUUGAAAUUAAAUAACAUUGGAGAUGACGGACAGAUGAGCCGUCAACUUGGUAAAAAAACUAUGUUAAUAUUGUUAAUAAUAAAAAAAAAUAUAAUAAUCAUUACAAAGAAUCAUAAAUUAGAAAAAUUAAUUAUUUUACAAUCUAUUUCGUAAGUAAGAUAAAUCUUGUAAUAAGUUAAGUUAUAACGUAAAAAAUAUUUUCAAUUUAUAAUCAUUUAAGAACUCAUUUAACAAUAAAAUCUUUCUUUUGAUCAAUUGGUCAUGCCACAGAGUAUCAUCUAUAUUCGUGGUGAUAUUAUUAUUACUCCGUAUUCUCAAAAAACACGAUUUAACAUUUAGAGAAAAUUCCUACCUUUUAAAAAGAACAUGUAUGCAACAGCUACCCAUACUUUAUCUUACCACGACAAAACUAAUGGUGACUAAAUCAAUUUUCUCGAAUAAAGCAAAAUUUCUUAAAAUUAAUUUAAUAUACAAAUAUGAUGACAUUUUGCAAAAAUUAGUUUUGGAAAAUAUAGUGACAAAAAAUAGUAAUGAUUAUUGUUUAGAUGUGUAAAUAGCCUAAACAUGAUCCCUAAUACCAAUAUCCACGUACAUCUUAACACCUUUCGUGAUAUUCUUUCAUUCAUGGUCACUGGUUCAAGAUUUGAAUUUGAUCAUUAAAUCAUGUUCAAUAAUAUUAGAGAUCCCAACAAUUAAGUACCAACUUAAAUCCUAAUGCUAUGUGUCAUUGACAAAUGUUGUGUCAUUUUUUGUUAACUGAGUGAUGAAUUUCUAGUUGAUAAAAUUACUUAAAAAUAUCUUAAAAAUCAGACAAUAGUUUGCUUAAUUUUUUGAAGCUAACUGCUCAAGAUGCUCUAUUAGAAAUGAUAACCUAAUUAUAUACAUAAAAAAUGAUGUAUUUUUUGCGGUGUUGAUAGUGAGAUUAUCAUUCAACAUGUUAAAAUAUGAAAACAUAUGGAAGAAGGUUGUAAAUUGAUUGAAUGAAAAUAUUUCAGUGAAGUCUAAAAAAUUUGGUACUUGUUAUCUUAUCGAAAGUUUUCUAAAUUACAUUCGUGGCACUGCCACUGCUUCCAUGUGAAGGUCAUUAAAAUUUGUGUUAGUUACCUAUAUGUUGAAUAAUAAUUUUAUUCAUGAAUUGUUGCUCAAUAUAGCAGUUUCUAGAUGAAUUUUCCUACAUGUUUGUCCUCAUAUGACCUAGAAUGCUGCUAUAUCAAUUGUAUUGGAAAUUAUUCAAGUGGGUUUGUGCUCUAUACCCCCACCAAAAUUUAAGCAAUCUACAGAACAUUCCUUGUGGAAAGAAACUUAUUUCGCUACUAGGUGGGAGUAGAUUUCUAAGCUAAUGCUCGGCAGAUCUCUAGGCUAUACUAAAAAGUGUAUGCACUUUGACUCUCAAUAUAUACGAGUGAUUCUAUGAUGACUGAAAACAUCAGUACAUGCAUGAUUUUAUAAGAAAGAAUAUUCUAAAAUUAUUUAUGUAUCACCAUUUGUAGUUGUACCCUCUCGAAUGAAGGUGCAAUCAGCAACUAAAAUGAAGCCCGAAAUGUACACGCGUGAGGCAGUUUUUCUAGAAGAUUGAUACUUCUCAAACUAGCAAACCGUACAAGUCCAAAGCUAGAAAAGGAGUGCUUCUAAGCAGAAAACAUUGAUUAAAACAGAAUACACACACACAUACCAGUAAAUUCAAAAUAGAAAAAGGAGUUCAACUGUUCAAGUUUGUGGACAAUAUUGCAACCGUGGCAUAUUUAUAGCAAAUCCUUGAAAUCUGCUAAAUAAACAAUGCCCUGUCUCAUGAAUCAAAGCCGAAUUAAAAUUGAAAUUGAAAGUCCGGCUGGUGUUGUUUCCCUCUCCAGUUUUGCCCACAUAAGUGAAGGGAAAUGAGAAUCAUAAAUUAAAAUCUGCUUUUACAGUUUUUUAUUAGAUAGAUAUAAAGGGAUCUUUUUUGUUUCUCUGCUGCAAUUUGUGGCUAUCCCACUCUGUUUUGCCACUCAAGCUUAGUCUACGUUGAGACAUAAUUUUGACAUCAGAAGCAACCUCAAUUAGUUUGGCAUUUUUAUGACCUCCUUGUACGUUUUACGAUAAACAUAAAUCUACUGAGAAAGUGUGAAAAAAAGAAAAUGCAUAUAAAAGUAUGAGUUAUCAGACAUGAUUAAAACUCACCCAAUUCAAUCCAUUAGAUUCCGUAAGGAUAUAACUGGAUGUCAUACCGCCACUCCAUAUCCUCGAAAGUCCGUAGUCUUUGUCUCAACUCUGUCUGAGGCCAAUGUAAAUCCAAUUUGCGCAAGCUCUUUAUGCACCACAGCUCUUCUGGAAGCUUUCUCAAGUAAGCACAUGGGUUGACAAUUAAGCUUUCAAGUUUUGGCAUUGCUCCAGCCCCCAUCGUCCACUCAUCUAGCCAAUACAUUGAUUUCAGGUGCAAAACCCUAAGUUCCAGAAAGCAACCAGAGCCAACGCAGGCCAGCUUUCUUCCUAAAUACGAGUUCUGUUUCAGUUUCAGCACUUGAAGGCUUGGAAGCUUUUCCAGCAUUGGCAUGGGAUCCUCCAUUAGCUCAGUAUUCGAUAAGCUCAGAUGGCUCAGACUUGGAGGAAAUUGGUAUUCAGACAGGACAAUCCGUGAGCGCUUGCUCUCAUUCACCAGCUUCAAGCAUUCAAGUUUGUGGAGUUCGCAUAGGCUUUUGGAAACCCCAGAGUGAUAGCAACUCAAAUCUCCAGAUAUCCGAAGAGUUUGAACAUUAGGCAGUCUGCCCAAUAUAUCUGGAGUACAACUACUAGGGUGUAAGGCUGAUAUGAAAAUGAGAUUUUUCAGAGAGCUGCAAUAAUUUUUUGGAGGUGCAGGCAGAGUGAUGGAACCGAAGUUUAGAUGCAUGAGUUUUUGCAUCAUCCAAAUAUCCUCUGGUGAAUGAUCUAUGUAGCUUGAUGGCAUUUGUAGUGUUUGAAGGUUUAAAAGGGUGCAUAGCAUUGAAGGAAGGCAUUUGAGCGAAGGGAUAUUCAAUUUCAAAUACUUCAAAAGGAAUAAAUUUUCUAAUCCGGGUGGAAAUUGGUCGAGAACUGCAGAACCGAAGUUCAGUACCCGAAGGUGUUUGAACUUUUUACAAAAAUUCUCGCAAUCUAUAAGAGCGAGAUGAUCGCUUUCUGAACUGUGAUUCAGAAAAGAUUGGAGAUACAUGUCAGAAUAUUCUAAAGAAAGGAACUCAAUCAGAUCUUCCAAAAUGAAGCACCGUUUAACAUUUGCCAGUGAUUCCUCUUCCAUGUCAGGCGUCCAGACAAAUCUCGUCUUCUCUACUACCAAAGCCAAUAACGUAUAUACAAAACUUGGAACAUAACACGCUUUAAUUGUGCCGCCGGCGCUUCUCUUACUCACUUGAAUGAAGCCGCGAUGGAUUAGUUCUUUCAAGUAAUGUUCGGCAGUUUCUUCACCGUUGUAUGGUAUGAAACCUUCAGCUACCCACAACUGAUAUAAUUGCCUCGUUGAUAUCUCAUUGCAUGAAAGGAAGACACACAAAUAGAUGCAGCAGAUUUUCAAGUGAAAAGGUAACUCCAUCACAGAAAAAAGUUGUCUCCAAACUGUCGGAAUCGUUUCGCCUUGAAGAUAAUUUUCUAAGGGCAUACUUCCAUAGUGUAGGAUGAAAAAUUGCCAGGCCUCAUGCUUUAAUCUGAUCAAUGGUCCUCCUACGAUCACUGAAUCAAGCCGAAUCUUCUCUCCGUUUUCCAUUUCCAACAGCGUAAGGAGGUGUGGAUUAGUGACCAAUAUCAAUACUCUGCUUCCAUUCUGAUUAUCAGGAAGAACUUCUUCAAGAUCACUCCAUAUCUCACUGUCAUCGAAGACAUCAUCAAGCACAAUAAAGUACUUCCUGUUUGUUAGGUAAUCUCGAAGAAUAGAUUUCUUCAAUUGAUAAUCUUCCCCGAUAAUUACACUAACCCGAGAUGGAGGCAUCACAGACUUGAUUAUGUCAUCCAAUAUCUUGCGAAAAUCGUAGGCUACAGAAACCCUUACCCAAGCAUGACAGUCAAAAUAGAACUUGAUAUGGUUAUUAUUGUAAGUAUCUGCAGCAAAAGCAGUCUUAUCGAAGCCACUGCUGUCGAGAAUUGUAACCACUGCAAGCCGACGAUGUCCUAAAUCAAUAAAUCAAACAACUCCUCUCUGCCACUUUCAAAUUCAUUGAUAUCAAGCCGAGGUUGUCCCUCACUCAAUAGGCGAAUGAUUUUGUUUCUUUGUUCACUGACAUCAAAACCAUUGUCGCCGGGUGGAAGUUGUUGCAUCCGAUUACUAAUAUCAAUGAUUUUACUCUGGAGUCCAUCAAGAAGAGCCAUAUUAGUGCUGCUUUUACUUUCGUUUUCACUGUUUUGCUGCUGCAUGAUGUUGAUGAAGAAUCUGUCAAUGGCUUCCUCAGAUUCAUGGACAAAGCGAUUGAUGUCCUCCAGAAUUUCCAAAAUAUCUGGUCUUUUAACGUCUUCUUCAUCGCUUUCUUCUAAGUCCAACAGUUGCAAAAGAGGCAAAGAUAUUUUGGAGUCAUCGAAUUCUUCUCUAAUGAGUUGAAAGAAAUGCCGAGCCAUGUCAGAUUCAUAUUUUCCCAGCAGAGUAGUUGCAAUAAUUUCGGACUCCGUAAGAAGGUUUUGAAAAAGUGGGGUUAAAUUUGUUGAAUCAGGCAGUGUUAACGUGCCUUCUUCUCCUACUACCACCCUUUUCAACCUCUCACAAAAUAAUCGGAGGUGGGCGUCCAGCAUAUCUCCUCCUGUCUGUAGCAGCCAGAGGUAUUGUUAUUUGCUCCAAGAAAUGUUAAAAGGAUUGGUCCUACCUCAAAGUGGUUAGUGGUGUAAAAUUAAACACCAUGGGAGAAUUUGAAAGGAAGAUGCCAAGAAACUGGCAAAGUGGCUAAAUUCCACAAAUACGGCAUUAUUGCUCAUUUUUAACUCAACAAAUUGAUACGCGUUCAUUUAGAGAAAAGUCGAAGACGCGUGCCUUUUGAAAAGAACAAGUAUCCAAUAGGUAUCCAACCUUUAUCUUAUUUAAUUACUACCAUGACAUGAUUGAUGGUGCUUAAAUCAAUUGUUUCUUUUUUAAUUUAAAGAUUUUUUCAUUAAAAAAUAAUUUAAUAUCACAUUGCCUUCAAUGGCGUAACGGCCGCAAGCCCAGUAACUAGAUUAAUUAAAAUGAAAUUAUGAUUGCACUACUUUUUUAUUUAUUUAUUUAUCUAAUCACUAUAAAAUUUUAACAUAUUUUAUUUACUAUAUUUUUUUUAAAUUUGCAUCAAUUAGUCACUUUUACACUAAUACCGUUAAAUAAUUUAAACGGAAUGAUAAUUUUACCCCUAAAUAAAAUUAAAAGUUCAUUUUAUUUUAUAAAAACUUUGAAAAUAAAAAAUUAUAAUUAUAAAAUAUCCCUAAAUUUAAUAAAGAAAUAAAUCCCAAAAUUAGAAUGUUUAUUUUUAAUAAAAAUUAUUUUAAUAAAAAAUUAUAAUUAGAAAAAUAAUUACAAAAUUUUGGGAUUUAAUAAAAAUCCCCUAAAUGAUUAAAAUUUUAGGAUUUAUUUUUUAAUAAAUAAAUUCAGUUAUUUUAAUAAAAUUUUGCAAAAUUAUAAUUUUUAAUAAAUAAAUUCACUUAUUUUUAUUAUAAUUUUAAAAAAAUUUAAAUUUUUAAUAAAAAUAAUUAUUAAAAUUUUACAACAUCUAAAUUGAAUAAAAAUCAGCUGAGCACCUAUAUUUUGUAUUUAUUUUUAUUAAAUUUAGGGGUAUUUUUAUAAUUAUAAUUUUUUAUUUUUCAAAGCUUUAUAAGAUAAAAUGGUCUUUUAAUUUAUUUAGGGGUAAAAUUAUCAUUUCGUUUUAAUUAUUUAACGGUGUUAGUGCAAAAGUGGCUAAUUGAUACAAAUUUGAAAAGAAAUGUGGCGCAGAGAACAUAUUAAAAUUUUGUGGUGGUUGGAUGAACAUAAGGCAACAGAAAGGUGGUGCAAUAAUAAUUUCCCUAAUUAAAAUUUUAGAAUUUUUGGGCAUGGAUAGAGUAGUUUUAAUUAUGUUAAAGAAUUGAUAUUGACAUAAUUUUAUUUUGGUUUUCAACGAAAAAAAAUUUGUUGACAAGUAAGAAAAUAUUUUUUUUUUACUUUACAAUCGGUUAUACAUGUUUUAUCAUAUUAAAGUAAUUUUAAUAAUAAAUAGAAACAUAAUAUUACAAUAAAUAAAUUAAAGUUUAAGUUAUUUUGAAUAUUAAAAAAAUAAUUUUAAUAUUAUUAAUAGGGAGGCAUUUUGUUAAUUGUAAAAUCUUGUUAACCCAAAGGUUAUUUAAAAUCUUUCUAAUAAAUACAAAUAUAAAAUUAAAUAUCAUAAUUUAAAAUAUUUAAUACUAUAUUCAAUGUAAAAAUAUUUUAAUGUUGUUAAUAUACUACAUAGAUUAUAUUACUUAUAUUAUAUUUAUAUUGAUUAAAAAUUUUUAAAAUUAAUUUUCUAGUUACUAUAUUCAUAAGGUAUUCUGGUUAAAGAAAAUAUCUUGAUAUUACUUUUUGAAAAUUUGAGAGCCUGCAUGACAAUUUUUUCAAAUUUUAAGGAUGUAAUUAUCCUUUUUUCCAUAAUUUAUUUCAAUUUUGAGGGAAUCCAAUAAGAAAUAUGGCAGGAGAAUGUCAAUAGGCGAAUGAUUUUGUUACUUUGUUCACUGAUCUCAAAACCAUCGUCGCCGGGUGGAAGUUGUUGCAUCCGAUUACUAAUAUCAAUGAUUUUACUGUGGAGUCCAUCAAGAAGAGCCAUAUUAGUACUGCUUUCACUUUCGUUUUCACUGGUUUGCUGCUGCUUGUUGUUGAUGAAGAAUGUGUCAAUGGACAAAGUUAUUGAUGUCCUCCAGAAUUCCAAAAAUAUCUGCUGUUUCAACGUCUUCUUCAUCGCUUUCUUCUAAGUCCAACAGUUGCAAAAAAGGCAAAGAUAUUUUGGAGUCAUCGAAUUCUUCUCUAAUGAGUUGAAACAAAAGCCGAGCCAUGUCAGCUUCAUAGUUUCCCACCAGAGUAGUAGCAAUGAUUUCUGACUCCGUAAGAAGGUUUUGAAAAAGUGGUGUCAAAUUUGUUGAAUCUGGCAACGGCAACGCGCCUUCUUCACCUGCCAACACCCUUUUCAACCUCUCACAAAACAGUCGGAGGUGGAAUUCCAGCAUAUCUCCUUCUCUCCGUAGCACUCAGAGGUAUAGUUGAAAGAUUAAACACCAUGGAAGAAUUUGAAAGGAAUAUGCCAAGAAACUGUGUAAGUGGCUAAAUUCCACAAAUAUGACAUUAUUGCUCUUUUUUGAACUCAAAAAAAUGGUACGCGUUCAUUUAGAGAAAAGAACAGGUAUCCCAAUCGAUAUCCAACCUUUAUCUUAUUUAAUUACUACCAUGACAUGAUUGAUGAUGCUUAAAUCAAUUGUUUCUUUUUUAAUUUAAAGAAUUUUUCAUUAAAAAAAUAUUUUGAUAUCUAAUACCCUUCAAUGGCAUAUCUGCCGCAAGCCCAGAACAGGAUUAAUGAAUUUUUUUUUUAAUUUUUUGGGCAUGGAAAGAGCAGUAUUAAACAUCAGAAAGCUAAGGUUGUUCUGUUAAAAAAUUGAUAUUGACAUAAUUUUAUUUUGGUUUCGGGGAAAAAAAUAUUUUCUGAAAAGCAAGAAAAUAUUUUUAUAUUUUACAAUUUAUUAUACAUAUUUUAUCGUAUUAAAUUAAUUUUAAUAAUAAAUAGAAACAAAAUAUUACGAUAAAUAAAUUAAAGUUUAAAUUGUUUUGAAUAUUAUAAAAAAUAAUUAUAAUAUUAUUAAUAGGAAGACAUUUUGUUAAUUUUAAAUUUUUUUAACCCAAAGGUUUAUUUAAAAUCUUUAUUAUAAAUACAAAUAUAAAAUUAAAUAUCAUAAUUUAAAAAAUUUAAUAUUAUUUUAAGUAUUAAAAAUAAUUUAAUGUUAUUAGUCUACUAUAUAGAUCACAUUACUUAUAUUAUAUUUGUAAUGAUUAAAAAAUUUUUAAAUCAAUUUUCUAGUUAAUAUAUUCACGAGGUAUUAUGGUUAAAGAAAAGACCUUGGUGUUACUUUUUAAAAAUUUGAGCGCAUGCAUGAUAAUUUUUUCAAAAUUUAAGAAUGUAUGUGUCCUUUUCUCCAAUAAUUUAUUUCACUUUUGAGGGGAAUCCAAUGAGAAAUAUGAUAAGAGAAUGUCAAUUACUUGUCAUUUUCUAUUUUUUCUGUAAGGUAUUUAUUUUGAGCAUUGGUGAUCUUGUCUGGACUACUCCAAUUAUUGAUGGAACUCCAAUGGCUGCAUCCACAGUUGAAUAUAUGAUGGUGUUAGCUCUUACUUGAGAAUUCAGAGGGAUCUUUCUAUGUUUCUCAAUUGCAAUGUGCUAGUAUAAAUUUCUUUACCUUACAGUUUAUAUAGUCUUGCUGUUAAUGAACUCACUGAGGCAUUAUUGAUUCAAUUUCAGUGGAGCAAUCGCGGGUGAAGGAUAAAUAAAGGAUAACAGAACAGAGCUGAAGUGCUAAAUUGGCUAUUGAAGAAGGUUUUCACAUGAUCACAAUUAUGUAAAAUAAUCAUUUUUCUGAAAUUGUGUUUCCUAAAAUUAAUAAAUUUCCUUUUUUUUAAAAAAAAAAAAAAACUCUUCUACGACGUGGUUGCACAGCAAAUUAGAGAAUUAUAGGGUCUCUAAUCAAUACUCCAACCAAUAAUGAUAUGUGCACAAAAAAUAGUAUCAAUCACAACAAGAUUAAAAUUAAAAAAAGUAACUAUAAGAUGGAAAAAAAAAUUAUUACAAGAAAAUAAUUUUUUUGUCUUUUCUAUCUUUUAUACUAUUUUUGUUUAUAUGUACUCUAAAUUCAGCCAAACCAUACAUGCAUGAACAAAAAUUAAACCGUCGUUCUAAUCACAACAGUAAUUGAAGCUACAAAAGCCAGCAAAUCUGAACGAAGACUUAAAAGAAAGAUCUUAUUCAAGUUUGUCCCCAAAAGACAGCUGAAAUGAAAAAUAUUGACUAUUGAAUGGGUCAAUGCCGAAUUACAUUUCAAAUGGAAAGCUUGGCAGCAGUUACAAUGUUUCCCCCUCUGAUUUUCCUCCAAAACAAAUUCAGUUGUAAACAAUAACCGAAGUAGUAAUAAUUUAUUCAUCAAAGAAAAUACCCCCAAGUUUUCAACUAAAAAAUCCUCUUGUCCAAACUAAAAGAACUCAUAUCUCUAAAAUCUAUCUGCAAAAUGUUGGGAAUGAGGAGUGAUCUGUCAACUCCGUAAAUAAACUCAUGCAUAAUGUUAACAAUAAUGAUAAAUUACAUAAUAAUUAUUAUAAAGAAUCAUAAAUUGGAAACACUAAUCAUUCUACAAUCUAUUAUAUAAGCAAGAUAAAUCUCAUAAUAAGUUAAGUUAUAAUGUAAUAAAUAUUUUCAAUAUAUAAUUAUUUAAGAAGUCAUUUAACAAUAAAAUAAUUUUUUUAAAUCAGUUGAUCAUACAGCGUUAUCUAAACUCCUGACGAUAUUAUUAUUACUCACUUUUCUCAAAAAAAUAUGAUUAAUGUUUAGAGAAAAGUCAUGCAUUUUAGAAAAAAUAUGUAUACUAGCUAUCCGUACUUUAUCUUACCGUGACAAAAUUGAUGGUGAUUAAAUCUAUUUUUAAAAUAGAUUUAAUUCACAAAUAUGGUGACUUUUGGCAAAAAUUAUUUUCAGAAGAUAUAGUGGCAGAAAAUAGUGAUAAUUAUUGUUUAAAUGUGUAAAUAGCCUAAGUAUAGCCCAUAAUACCAAUAUCCAUUUGCACCUUCAUUUGGUUUAUCACAUUUCAUGAUAUUCUUUCAUUCAUGACCAUUGUUCAAGAUUUUAAUUUGAUUAUAAAUUAAGUUGCAAGGGAGCUUACUUCAGUCUCUAAGCUUUUCAAUCGUGAUUCCUGCAUGCCAACGUAACUGACCUUAUAAUUGGUCUGUAUAAGAAAUCAAGCCCUUUCAGGAUCGUUUUCUUUUUCUCCCUAUUGUAGUAGUCAACUAAAUAAAGAAUGAACAACUAAACUUGGUCUAUUUCGAGGAAGACUAAGGCUUCCAAUACUAGAUGAACUUUGAAGAAAAUUAAUCCGUUGUUUUUAUUCAUCUUUGGACUAUGAAUAUAUACAAAGACUUUAACAGAAAAUAACAAAGACACAGCUAAAUGCACUACUAAAAAAAUGAGUUUUACUGACACUAAUUUAGCGUCAGUAAUUACUUUUAUUGACACUUGUUAAUUGUGUCAGUGUUGCUCAAGCCAGAACACACUGACACUAAUUUUUGAUGUCAAUAAUUUUUGUGUCAGUAAUUUGUUUCACUAUAGUAUCACUAAAAUAAUGACACGAUGAUGUUGGUAUUUAAUAAUACUAUUUACACGUCAGUAAUUUAUGUGACUAUAGUAUCAAAAACUGACUCGAUAAUAUAAAAAAUUCUUAUUGUUAUUUUAAAUAUGUAGUGUCAGUAUUUAGUAAUGUUAUGCUGCUUUUGGUUAAUAGUAUAUUUUUUAUUUUAAUUAUAUUUUUCGUGUUUGUUGUACAACCAAAAGAAAACUCGAAAUAUAUUUAUUAUUAAAUAUCUUGCAACACAAUUCAUAUAAUAAACAUCUCAAAUACAUCACUUAAAUUCACACAAUUCAACUACAUCACUAUGUGUAAAAGACUUAACAUAAGUAUCAAAUUAAAUUUUCAACAAUCUCUAAACAACAAGUGCUAACUACUACUCAAUUAAGUUUCCAACCCAAAAGAAAAAAAAAAAAGCACAAGGUCACUCAAUAUCCAUCCACGGCUUCAUUUUGUUCCCACCUACAAAUGCAUAAAAUCAAUUAGUAUACUGUGAAAAAUAAAUCUUAGUUAUUUUGAAGCAAAAAUACUCAUAAAUUACUUCAACAUGGAAGAGUAGGAUUAAAAGAAGCAAGUUAAGGAAUCAGAAAAAGAAAUUGUAGAAUCUACACGUUCCCAAGUUAAUUACAGCCUGCAAUCAUGAUACCACAAAUUGCUUCACCAAAAGUAUUCUAUCAAGUAUUAAAGAGAACACUUAAUAAGUACAUCAAUAUUUAGUAAUGAUGACAUGAACAAUGGUGUCUACAACUUGACAAGCAUAAGUUAUUUUUUUUGUAAUCUAUUUCAUUGUCUAAAUUUAAAGUAAACAAUGCUAUAAUAUAUGAUCAAGUACAUUAAGUUAACAAGCACUAUAACAUUUAUUUAGCCCACAUUCAACGAUGAUCAGUUGGACCGAAAGCCAUAAAUUGAAAAACAAAAGAUAUUUAAUGAGCUUAAAGAGGAAAAAUAAAAGUUAACAAAAUUUAAACGACUAAUGAAGAAAUUAACCAAGCCGAGAUGAAAAACAGAAAUAGAAGGCCACUAUAAGCCAAACAUUACAAAUCAGGUUGCUUUUUAAGACACGAACCCAGUUUCCAAUUACAGUACUUUGCAAUUCUUUAAAAAAAAAAGGGUUUCCCAAUUACUAAAUCUUUUUAGGUUUGAAGUGGAUUGAUAAUUAAAUUGAUGAAAGAAAGGAAAGUGAAGCAAAAAUUAGAUUCAAGUAUGGGUCAAGUAAAAAAGUAAAAGAUAAAAAUCAGAUUCAGUGCAAACCUGGGUUUCAAAUGAUUAGCAAAGGAACAACUUCUUCUUUCUUCAAUCUAAUAUUCUUCUUCGAACAUGGAAUACUAACAAAAUACAAUUAGUAAUUCAUAAACAUAUAGUAAAAUGAGAUAGGUAUUUUUUGAGAGGAGAUUGAGAAAUACAUAUUUGAUUGAAGAAAGAAAACACAACAAAAAAAAAGGACCAGGUCUCCUCAAAGAAAAGCAAAAUGGGAAAAUAGGGGAAUAGUCUAUACAAAAGCCAACCCACCACCCUUGGAGGACCAUCCUUCUUCUGAGCAAAAAUCUAUACAAGAUUAGCCCAAACCUCCAAUAUAGUAAAAUGGGUUCGACAGACUAUUUCUAAUCUGUCAUUUGCAAAGUAAAGCUAAAAUUAGAAUUGUCUACUAACAACCUUCCUAUAGUUUGUCCACUAUAUUAUUACUAUAUUAUUAGAUGUAAAAUGCCCACUAUAAAAGGUAAUUAAUAGAGAAACUUCUCUGUAGUAUUUUCAUACCUGUGCCAAAACAGAGAAGAGAAAGAAAUGGUGUCUGACCUCGGUGGUAAAGGAACCGCUAUGGUAAAGGAUCGAACAUGGAUGAAAAAUAAACUUGUGCAAAUGGAGCCACCAGCAUUUUGCAAGAAUUAAAGAUUUUGGGUGAAAUCCUCUCUUAUAAACACUUAUUUGUAUUGGGAGCAUGCAUACUUCCGAGUAUGAUAUAAUUCUAUAAAAUUUAGACUCCUGAUAGAUAGAUAGAUAACACGUAUUAGCAUUAAUUAAAUGGAAGCAUCAACAAUAAUCAAUAAAUCAUUAUAGAAAAAAAAUUAAAAAUGAAAGGAGCUGAGGCACACCAUUGUGAUGCAAGAUUGACAAUCAAAAGAACCUUUCCUUUGUAGAUGCUAAGAUCAACAUCCUGUCCCUUCGCAUCCUGCAAAUAAGAUAAAUUUUUAUAAAAAUUAAAAAAUAUAUCUGUCAAAUCCCAAAUUGAAUUAAAAAUCAAAACAAGGGAAAGAAAAUGAAAGGAACAUGUCAUCAAAUUGUAGGUGGCUGGUGGUGCUUUUUAGUGAAGUGUUUGUAGAACUGUUAGAUGUAACCAUUCUUUACGCAUCAACUUCGCUAGUGAUUUGAUUUGAUGAAGAGGAUCUUUCCUUAUCUAGUUAUCUUCUUGUGUAGAUCCAUGUAGGAUUCCUUCACGAUUUCUUUUUUUUUUUUUUGGGGGGGGGGGGGGGGAGGUUUAAUUAACAAAACAAUAAGAGUAAAUGAGGAAUCAAUCCCUAAUUUAAGGCCUUCUAAGAUUGCUGAAGCUCUGCAUAAUCAAUGUCUCCAAGAAAAAGGUUUAUUUGCAGGCUGUAGCAGCAAUUUUCUUCCCCAUGAAAUCCAACUGAUCCAUUUGUAUUGAAUUUAAGCACACGCCUGAGGCUGGAAAAGACAAAGAAAUUAAUGAAAACAGGCUAUGUAUCUUUUUUACUUAUCAUUGCUCUAUGAAUUAAUUAUGCUACUAAUCACGACGCCGUUUAAAUCUUAGAACAAUAAUAAUCUUUUAGCAACAAAUAUGACGGUUCAAUAAUAUGUUCCGACUAGGGAUGUCAUAUUGUGAGGGCUGUUAAGUUUAAGAAACGAUCAAAUCUAAUUUUGUGUUCCAAAAACUCAUUGGCUUAACAGAUUAACUCCUCUGUAGUAUUUUCAUACCUGUGCCAAAAGAGAGAAGAGAAAGAAAUGGUUCUUGAUCUCGACGGUAAAGGAGCGGUGGCUGGCUGGGCUGAAGUUGAUGUGACGGCAUAAAAGCGGUAGCAGCGACAUACUGAAAGGUGGCUAGCUAGUCGUAGGUGGCUGAAGCUUGACAACAGUAGAGCAAAGGCGGCAGUGACGUCAAGGAACGGCGGCCGACAGCAGUGAAAGUCGAGGAGCAGCGGCCGGCAGCAGUGAAAGUCGAGGAGCAGCGGCCGGCAGCAGUGAAAGCCGAGGAGCAGCGGCCGGCAGUAGUGAAAGUCGAGGAGCAGGGGAGCGGUCGGCAGCAGUGAAAGUCGAGGAGCAGGGGAGCGGCGGCAGCAACUUAAGAAGUGGUGUGUUUGAUUCGGUUAGAUUUAGGGUUUCUUAUUUUCAUUUUAUACUUUGAAAAAUUAUACAGUGUAAUUGUUCGCAUUGUAAUUUAAUAAAACAACAAACUACAAGUCAACAUGUGGUCAAGUAAAAUUAUUAUUAUUAACAACGAAUUACAAGUUGACAUGUGGCAAAAUAAAAAAUAUUAUUCUCAAAACUAUUAUUAUUAUUAUUAUUAUUAUUAUUAUUAUUAUUAUUAUUAUUAUUAUUAUUAUUAUUAUUGUCCACAAAGUAAUUGUGUAAAAUUUAAUUAAAUAAAAAAAUUAAUCAAAUUGAAAAUUUAAAAACACAUGCAUCAAUGGUUUGCACUCUAAACUUACAAAUUUUAAGUUUAGAGAUCUUGAGUUCGAGUUCAAAUUAAAACAAAAUUAAUAUUAUUAUUUUUUUAUCACUGAUGCUUUAGUAUCAAUAAUCAUUGAAUUUUAAGCUACUGACACCUUAGUAUCAAUGAUUUAUGAUACAUACUUGUUAAAGGCGGAAAAUGGUCCAAACGUACACCAUUUCUGACACUUUUUACUAAGUGUCAGAAACAAAGUGUCAGUAAAUGUCAUUUUUGUAGUAGUGAUGAUAGCAAUAAGUGCUGACUUAGACACUUAGUGGACCGCUUCUACAAGUAAAUAAAAACUAAAUAUUUAUUUUGACUAUAACAACAACUACGCUGAUGAAUAGGAUUUCACAGCAGCCACGUGAGAACUAAUUUCUCCUUAAUAUUAUUAUUAGUAGAAGUAGAUUUUCAAACUAGUCUUGAUAUAUUUCAAAGUUGUAUUAUCAAUGUAUAUGUGUCUAGAUUGUAACUAUACUUUAAAAAAUAUAAAAUUUUUAAUUAUUGCACAAUAUAUGUAGAAAAAUAUCUAUAAAAUGAUAUUAUUAGGACUAAGAAUUUUUUAUUUUAUUUUAGAUAAGUUAUUUAUUUAUUAUCGAAUGAAUAAUUUAUUAAUUUAUUGAUAAAUGAAUAUUUAUUAAUUUAAAGAGAGAUUUUUUUGGUUUUAACAAGAGUUUGUUUGGUAAAUGUACACACUUAUAAAGAAACAUAAAAAGUGGUUCCUCAAGUCAAUAGUGUUUGCUUCAAUCGCAACGGUUCAUAAUAAUAUAGCUUAGUUAGGAAAUUUGUAAUUAUACUAUAACUUUGUUUGGUACAACUUUUCAAGUAAAACUUAUUUAAGUAGAGUUGUUAUUAGUAGAGCUUUUAUAAAUAAAGCUUUUACUAAAAAAAAUUUAAUUGUUUGGUUGUCAAUGUCCAAAUUGAUAAACUUUUGUUCUUUUGUUAAGAUAUGUUUGUUUUACUUAAUAAUAGCAUCGGCAAGAGUUUUCGAUUGUUGCAACUUGCAAUGCACGCGGUGAGAGAAAAUGAGAAUCUUGUUUAAUUGUCAAUAAUGACAAACCUAAUCCUUUCAUUAGGAGUAAUUUAAUAAUCGUUUGUUAUAACUGAAUAUGUAUAAAGAAAGGAAAAUUCUAUUCAUAGAUUUCGACUUAUUUUUUGUUUAAAGUAAUUAAUCAUUCAACCAUCUUCAUUUGCCUCUGGCCAAUGCCCUUGUAGAUUAGUUGAAGCGUUAAUUACUUAAUUAUGAUUAUAUACAUUUUCAUAUAGCAAGUGGCAUUGUAGAUCUAAACUAAGUUGCUAUUUCAAUACCAGCAAAUUCAAAAUAGAAAAGGAGUGCAACUAUUUAACUUUGUAGACAAUAUUGCAACCAUGGCAUAUUUAUAGCAAAUCCUUGAAAUCUGCUAAACAAAACAAUGCCCUGUCUCAUGAAUCGAUGCUCAAUUAAAAUUUAAAUUGAAAGUCCGGCUGGUGUUGUUUUCCUCUCCAGUUUUGCCUACAUAAGUAAAGGGAAAUAAGAAUCAUAAGUGAAAAUAUGCUUUGACAGGUCUUAUUUCUUUGUUUCUCUACUGCAGUUUUGCCUACUCAAGCUGAGUCUACGUUGAGACAUAAUUUCAGUAUUGAGGUAACAAUAAUUUCGGACUCCGUAAGAAGGUUUUGAAAAAGUGGAGUCACAUUUGUUGAAUCAGGCAACGUCAACGUGCCUUCUUCACCUGCUAACACCCUUUUCAACCUCUCACAAAAUAGUCGGAGGUGGACGUCCAGCAUAUCUCCUUCUCUCUGUAGCACCCAGAGGUAACAGGAUUAAUUAAAAAUUUUAGAAUUGUUGGGCGUGGAAAGAGUAGUAUUAAACAUCAGAAAGCAAGGUUGUUCUGCUAAAGAAUUGAUUUGUUGACAUAAUUUUUUUUUUUUUUUUUUGGUUUUCGAGGAAAAAGGCAUAUUUGUUGACAAGCAAGAAAAUGUUUUUGUAUUUUACAAUCUGUUAUACAUAUUUCAUCAUAUUAAAGUAAUUUUAAUAAUAAAUAGAAACAUAAUAUUAUGAUAAAUAAAUUAAAGUUUAAAUUAUUUUGAAUAUUAUAAAAAAAUAAUUCUAAUAUUGUUAAUAGGAACAUAUUUUGUUAAUUGUAAAAUCUUUUUAAUCCAAAGAUUUAUUUAAAAUCUUUAUAAUAAAUACAAAUAUAAAAUUAAAAUAAAUAUCAUAAUUUAAAAUUUUUAAUAUUAUUUUCAAUAUUAAAAUAUUUUAAUGUUAUUAGUCUACUAUGUAAGGUAUCAGAGCCAUACCCAUCCUUGAAUGGGUCAAUGCUGAAUUACACUUGAAAUGGAAAGCUUGCUGCAGUUACGAUAUUUCCCCCUCUGAUUUUUCUCCAAAACAAAUUCAGUUGUAAACAAUAACCGAAGUAGCAAUAAUUCAUUCAUCAAAGAAAAUACUCAAAUUUUCAACUAACAAAUCCUCUUAUCUAAACUAAUUAAAAAAAACUCAUAUCUCAAAAAUCUAUCUACAAAAUGUUGGAAAUAAAGGGUGAUCCGUCAACUCGAUAAAUAUACUCAUGCAUAAUGCUAACAAUAUGAUAAAUUACAUCAUAACUAUUAUAAAGAAUCAUAAAUUGGAAACACUAAUCAUUCUACAAUCUAUUAUAUAACUAAGAUAAAUCUUAUAAUAAGUUAAGUUAGAACAUAAUAAAUAUUUUCAAUAUAUAUAAUUAUUUAAGAAGUCUUUUAACAAUAAAUUUUUUUUCUUUUUCAGUUGAUCAUGUCAUAUAGCGUUAAUGGUGAUUAGUGACUGAUUACAAAGCAAAAUUGUUUAAAAUAGAUUUAAUGCACAAAUAUGAUGAAUUUUGGCAAAAAUUAGUUUCGGAAAUGUUGGGAUGAAAACCAUAUUAGUUGAGACUUAAAGUUACUUAAUAAAAUUAUAUCACUACCAUUCAAUGGAUGAAAACUAUUUUAGUUGAGACUUAAAUUUAGAUUUAAAUGUUGAGAUAUCUAGUAUUACUCAAUCAGAAUAAACAAGAACCAAUUCUGACUAUCAUGUAGAAGCAAAUAUUUAUGCUUGGAUUUUUUACUUCUUGAAUUUGAUUGGAAAAGUUUCUGAGACAGAGAAGUGUUUUGGAUAAUCUUUUUCGGGAUUGAAACCACAAAUUGGUCGAGGAAAUUAAUUUUGGACAAAUUUUUAUUGAGUUGUGCUAAACAUCAAGAAGGGCGAGAGAAUGCUGAGAGAAACGGCAGCUUUGUGCUGCUGUUUCGACUUCUCACUCUCUCGCCAUUCUAAUAAUUUUUUAUUAUUAAAAAUAAAAAAGCGGAGAAAAUGAUAGCAGACAACCCACAUCUACCAAAUCUCCAUCACUCCAUCACUCUCUUUCUCUCUCUCCCUCUCUUGAUUUUCAUCCUCUCUCUGGCUUCCUCACUCUCUACGGCUCCCCAUCAAGCUUCCUCAGUCUCUUCGGCCUCACUAUCUCUAGCCUCACUCUCUCCAGAUUCUUUCAUUUUCUCCUUUUUUUUAUAUUUUUAACAAUAAAAAAUUAGCAUUCUGCUGAGAAAGAGAGUGGUACACGACUCUUGAACAAUUUUUUUUCUGUCGUGAUCGUCUAUCAAACCACCUAAAAAUGAGCCAAGGGGGUUCUCAGCCCUAGCAGCUCACGUACUUUCAAGAUUUAGAGUAUGGUUCCAGUCCAAGCUAUUUAAUUAGUAUUGGGAUUCGAUUUAGUUGUUCUUCUAAUUUAAUAGGAUAAAGAAUUUAAUUGGAGAAAUGUCAUUAAUAUCAUAGGAGCAUAUAUAUUGUUUUGAUUUAAAUAUUGCUAUUUUUUUAUUGUUGAAAAAAAAAACACUAGAAAAUGGGAAGCCAAAAUCUUAGCCCUGUGUUUUUACUUUUACUUUUCUCUUAAACAUUUUAAAGAUGUAAAGGAAAAUGCUCAGAAUGGUGAGAGAGUGAUGGACGUGAUGGGCUAUCUUCUAUCCUUUUUUUAAUAAAUUUUUAAGAAUAAAAAAUUUAUUAAAACAGUAAGAGAGCGAAACCAAAACGGCAGCUUGUGCUGUCGUUUCUCUUAACAUUCUCUCGUCAUUCUUGAUGUUAAGCAUUUUCCAUUUUUAUUAUGUUGUAGCACCUUUUUGGUUCCUUUUGUGUCGGCAGCCCCUUACUAUUCUCUUAACCCUGAGUUUGAGAUAGAAAUUUCCCGAACUCCAACCCCACAUCCACAGACAAGUUGAUUCAAACAAUUGCUCUUUUAAUUAAGAGAAUGAGUUAGGUUUCAGUUCUUAUUGUUGUCUGUUAUUUCUCUGAAUCAUUAAUUUUGAGCAUUACUGAUCUUAGUUAUCUGUAUUUCUCCAAUUAUUGAAGAAUUUAUUAUUGAAUGAAUAAUUUAUUAAUUUAUUGAUAAAUGAAUAUUUAUUAAUUUAAAGAGAGAUUAUUUUGGUUUUAAGAAGAGUUUAUUUGGCACAUGUACACACUUAUAAAGAAACACAAAAAGUGCCUGCUCAAGUCAAUAGUUUUGGUACAUUUACACACUUAUAAAGAAACACAAAAAGUGCUUGCUCAAGUCAAUAGUAUUUGCUUUAAUCGCUAUAGUUCAUAAUAAUAUAGCUUAGUUAGGAAAUUUGUAAUUAUACUAUGGCUCCGAUUGGUACAACUUUUUAAGUAGAACUUAUUUAAUUAGAGUUUUUAUUAGUAGAGUUUUUAUAAAUAGAGAUUUUACUAAAAUAAAAUUUAGUUAUUUAGUUGUCAAUGUCCAAAUUGAUGAAAUAUUGUUCUUGUUAACAUAUGUUUGUUUUACUUAAAAAUAAAAGUUUAGUUUACAAUUACACCAGUAUAAAAUCAGCAGAGCAUUUUUGCUUAAAUAUUUAUUAAUUUAAAGAGAGCUUAUUUAAAUAGAGUUUUUGUUAGCAAAACUUUUAUAAAUAAAACUUUGCUUAAAAAAAUUUAAUUAUUUAAUUGUUAAUGUCCAAAUUGAUGAACUUUUGUUCUUUUGUUAACAUGUGUUUCUUUUACCUAAUAAUAAAAAUUAGUUUACAAUAACACUGGUGUCAAAUCAGCAGAGAUAUUUUCCAGCCAGUCACAUUAUACAUACGGGAGCCUCUAUGUUACAUUGAAUGUACCAUACACAACUAAUAAGAACCACAUAAAUUGUGGGACCCACAUAAUUGUGUGGUUCUUAUUGGUUGUGUAUGGUACAUUCAAUGUAACAUAGCAAAAUCCUAUACAUUAUACUAAUAGCAUCGGCAAGAGUUUUCGAUUGUUACAACUUGCAAUGCACGCGGUGAGAGAAAAUGAGAAUCUUGUUUAAUUGUCAAUAAUGACAAACCUAAUCCUUUCAUUAGUAGUAAUUUAAUAAUCGUUUAUUAUAAUUGAAUAUGUAUAAAGAAAGGAAAAUUCUAUUCAUAAAUUUCGACUUAUUUUUUGUUUAAAGUAAUUAAUCAUUCAACCAUCUUCAUUUGCCUCUGGCCAAUGCCCUUGUAGAUUAGUUGCAGCGUUAAUUACUUAAUUAUGAUUAUAUACAUUUUCAUAUAGCAAGUGGCAUUGUAGAUCUAAACUAAGUUGCUAUUUCAAUACCAGCAAAUUCAAAAUAGAAAAGGAGUGCAACUGUUCAACUUUGUAGACAAUAUUGCAAGUUGCAACCAUCCAAAGGUGAAGAUCUAUGCUUAUUAUCUAUUUAACAGCUAAUAUAUAUAUAUAUAUAUUUAUUUAAAUAUCAAGAGCUAUGCUUUUAAAUAAGUUCAAAUGGGAUGAGAACAGACUUAUAUUUAUUUAUUUAAAUAUGACCCAGGCUAAUUUCUCUGAAUUUGGACAGAGUAGAUUUCUAAGCUAAUGCUUGGCAUAUCUCUGGCGAUACUACAAAGUGCAUGUACAUUGACUCUUAAUAAAUAUAAACGAUUCUCUGAUAUGAUUCAAAACAUCACUACAUGCAUAAGUUAAUAAGAGACAAUAUUCUAAGAUUAUUUAUGCAUCACCAUUUAUAGUUGUACCCUCUCUAAUGAAAUUGAAGGUGCAGCCAGCAACUAAAAUGAAGCAGAAAUGUACACGCAUGAGGCAGUUUUUCUAGAAGAUUGAUAUUUCUUUAACUAGAAAACCAUACAAGUCCACAACUAGCCAAACUGUACCUGCAUGUGUCUAGGGCUUAAAUGGAGCACUUCUAAGCAUAAAACAGUAACUAAAACACAUACACAAACAUACAUACCAAAAAAUUCAGAAAAUAGAGAAAGGAAUACAACUAUUCUUGUUUGUAGACAAUAUUGCAACCAUGGCAUCAGUUAUAGCAAAUCCUUGAAAUCUACUAAACAAAAUAAUGUCCUGUCUCAUGAAUCAAUGUUGAAUUACAGCUGAAAUUGAAAGUCUGGCAUCAGUUAUAGGAAAUAUUGAAUUACAAUAUUUCCCUUGCCGAUUUUGUCUACACAAGUAAAAUGGAAAUAAGAAUCAUAGAUGAAAAUCAACUUUUACAGUUCUAAUUAUUAGAUAGAUACAGAAUGAUCUAUCUUUGUGAGUUUGUUUUUCUGCUGCAAUGUGCGAUCCCACUCUGUUUUGAUACUCAAAUUGAGUCUAUGUUGAGACAUAAUUUUGACAUUGCAAGCAAUCCCAAUUAGUUUGGCAUUUGUAUGACCCUUUGAAGGUUUUACAAUAGAUGCAAAUCUACUGAGAAAAUGGUAAAAAAGGUGCAUAUAAAAUGAGGCAAGUAACAGAAGUAUGAGUUAUCAGAUUAGAUUAAAAGUCACCCAAUUCAAUCUAUCAGAUUCCGUAAGGAUAUAACUGGAUGUCAUAUCGCCACUCCAUAUCCUCGAAAGUCCGUAGUCUUUGUCUCAACUCUGUCUGAGGCCAAUGUAAAUCCAAUUUGCACAAGCUCUUUAUGCACCAUAGCUCUUCUGGAAGCUUUCUCAAGUAAGCACAUGGGUUGACAAUUAAGCUUUCAAGUUUUGGCAUUGCUCUUGCCCCCAUCGUCCACUCGUCUAGCCAAUACAUCGACUUCAAGUGCAAAAUCUUAAGUUCCGGAAAGCCACCAGAGCCAACGCAGGCCAGCUUUCUUCCUAAAUAUGAGUUCUGCUUCAGUUUCAGCACUUGAAGGCGUGGAAGCUUUUCCAGCAUUGGCAUGGGAUCCUCCAUUAGCUCAGUAUUUGAUAAGCUCAGUUGGAUCAGGCUUGGAGGAAAUUGGUAUUCAGACAGGACCAUCCGUGAGAGCUUGCUCUCAUUCACCAACUUCAAGCAUUCAACUUUGUGGAGUUCGCAUACGCUUUUGGAAACCCCAGAGUGAUAGCAACUCAAAUCUCCAGACACUCUAAGAGUUUGAAGAUUAGGUAGUCUGCACAAUAUAUCUGGCGUGCAACUACUAGGGUGUAAGGCUGAUAUGAAAAUAAGAUUUUUCAGAGAGCUGGAAUAAUUUUUUGGAGGUGCAGGCAGAGUGAUGGAACCAAAGUUCAGAUGCAUGAGUUUUUGCAUCUUCCAAAUAUCCUCUGGUGUUUGAUCUACGUAGCUAGAUGGCAUGUCUAGUGUUUGAAGGUUUGAAAGGGUGCAUAGCAGUGAAGGAAGACAUUUGAGCGAAGGGAUAUUCAAUUUCAAAUACUUCAAAUGGAAUAAAUUUUCUAAUCCGGGUGGAUAUUGGUCCAGGACUGCAGAACCCAUGUUCAAUACCCGAAGGUGUUUGAACAUUUUACAAAAAUUCUCGCAAUCUAUCGGAUUAAGAUGAUCGCUUUCUGAACUGUGAUUCAGAAAAGAUUGGAGGUACAUGUCAGAAUGUUUCAAAGAAAAGAACUCAAUCAGAUCAUCGACAAUGAUGUACCGUUUGGCAUUUGCCAUUGAUUCCUCUUCCAAUCCAGGCGACCAAAAAAAUCCCGUCAAUGCUGCCGGCAAAAGUAACGCAACAUAUGCAAAAGUUGGAACAUAGCACGCCUUAAUUGUGCCUCCGGCUCUUCUCUUAUUCACUUGAAUGAAGCCACGAUCGAUUAGUUCAUUCAAGUAAUGCUCGGCAGUUUCCUCACUGUUGUGUGGUAUGAAACCUUCAGCUACCCACAACCAAUAUAAUUGCCUGGUAGAUAUCUCAAUGCCUGGAUGGAACAAACACAAAUAGAGGCAGCAGAUUUUCAAGUGAACAGGUAACUGCAACACAGAAUAAAUUGUACUCCAAGCUGUCAGAAACGCUUUUUCUCCCAUGUAAAUUCUUAAUGUCGUUUUUCCAUAGUGUAGGAUGAAAAAUUGCCAGGCUUCAUGCUUUAAUCUGAUCAAUGGUCCUCCAACGAGAACUGAAUCAGGAUGAAUCGUCUGUCCAUUUUCCAAUUCGAACGAGGAAAGGAAGUCUGGAUCAGUGACCGUCAUUAAUACUCUGCUUCCAUUCUGAUUCUCAGGAAGGACUUCUUCAAGAUCAUCCAAUACAUCGUCACUCUCUUCACAGUAAUCAUCAAGCACAAUAAAGUACUUCUUGUUUGUUAGGUAAUCUCGAAGAAUAGAUUUCUUCAAUUGAUAAUCUUCACCGAUAACUACACUAACCCGAGAUGGAGGCAUCACAGACUUGAUUAUGUCAUCCAAUAUCAUGCGAAAAUCGUAGGCUAUAGAAACCCUGACCCAAGCAUGACAGUCAAAAUAGAACUUGACAUGAUUAUUGUUGUAAGUAUCAGCAGCAAAAGCAGUCUUAUCAAAGCCACUGCUGUCGAGAAUUGCAACCACUGAAAGCUGAGGUUGUCCCUCGAUCAGUAAAUCAAACAACGCCUCUCUGCCGCUUUCAAAUUCACUCUUAUCAAGCUGAAAUUGUCCCUCAAUCAAUAAGUGAGUGAAUUCGUUCCUUCGCUCUUUGAAAUCAAAACCAUUGCCUCCAGGUGGAAGUUGUUGCAACCGAUUUCUAAUAUCAAUGAUUUUACUGUGGAUUCCGACAAGAAGAGCAAUGCAAGUAGUGCUCUCACUUUCACUGUUUUGCUGCUGCGUGAUGUUGAUGAAGAAUGUGUCAAUAGCUUUCUCAGAUUCACGGACAAAGUAAUUGAUGUCUUUCAGAAGUUCCCAAAUGUCUGUUCUUUUAACAUUUUCUAAGUGCAAGAGCUGCCGAUAACGCGAAGGCAUUUCGUCUUCAUCGAAUUGUUCUCUAAUGAGUUGAAUUAAAACUCGAGCCAUGUCAACUUCAUAUUUUCCCAGCAGAGUAGUAGCAAUAAUUUCGGACUCCGUAAGAAGGUUUUGAUAAAGUGGAGUUAAAUUUGUUGAAUCAGGCAACGUUAACGCGCCUUCUUCACCUGCUAACACCCUUUUCAACCUCUCACAAAAUAGUCGUAGGUGGACGUCCAGCAUAUCUCCUUCUGUCAGUAGCACCCAGAUGUAUUGUCAUUUGCUUCAAGAAAUGUUGAAAGGAUUGGUUCUAUCUCAAAGUGUUUAGUGGUGUAAAAUUAAUUAAUUAAACACCAUGGAAGAAUUUGCAAGGAAGAUGCCAAGAAACUGGCGAAGUGGCUAAAUUCCACAAUUAUGACAUUAUUGCUCAUUUUCAACUCAAAAAAAUGAUACGCGUUCAUUUAGAGAAAAGUCCAAGACGCGUUCCUUUCGGAAAGAACAAUUAUCCAAUAGAGAUCCAACCUUUAUCUUAUUCAAUUACUACCCUGACAUGAUUGAUGGUGCUUAAAUCAAUUGUUUCUUUUUUAAUUUAAAGAAUUUUUCAUUCAAAUUUUUUUUAAUAUUAAAUUGCCUUCAAUGGCAUUACUGCAGCAAGCCCAGUAACACGAUUAAUUAAAAAGUUUAGAAUUUUUGGGCCUGGAAAGAGUAGUAUUAAACAUCAGCAAGCUAAGGUUGAUAUGUUAAAGAGUUGAUAUUGACAUAAUUUUUAUUUUGGUUUUCGGGGAAAAAAAAUUGUUGACAAGCAAGAAAAUAUUUAUAUAUUUUACAAUUUAUUAUACAUAUUUUAUCAUAUUAAAAUAAUUUUAAUAAUUAAUGAAAAACAAAAUAUUGCAAUAAAUAAAUUAAUGUUUAAAUUAUUUUGAAUAUAAUAAAAAUAAUUUUAAUAUUAUUAAUAGGAAGACAUUUUGUUAAUUUUAAAAUCUUUUUAACCCAAAGGUUUAUUUAAAGUCUUUAUUAUAAAUUAAAUAUCAUAAUCUAAAAUUUUUAAUAUUAUUUUAAGUAUUAAAAAUAUUUUAAUGUUAUUAGUCUACUACAUAGAUCAUAUUACUUAUGUUAUAUUUGUAUUGAUUAAAAAUUUUUAAAAUCAAUUUUCUAGUUACUACAUUCACGAGGCAUUAUGGUUAAAGAAAAGAUCUUGAUGUUACUUUUAAAAAAUUUGAGGGCCUGCAUGAUAAUUUUUUCAAAAUUUAAGGAUGUAGGUGUCCUUCUCAAAUAAUUUAGGGUGAGGCUAUUUGAAUCCACCAAUCUACUCACUACACCCAUUUACUAAAUAAACCCGCACUUAAGUUUUGAAAUUUUAAAUUUUACUCAACAAACCGACCUAAAUGUCCAAUAUACCCUUAUUGAACCCAAUUAUUAUAAUAAUAUGUUUUUGCUAAUUAAACCCAUUUAAUUCAUUUAAAGUUAAUAAAUGAUUAUAUUUAUUAAAUUGAAAACUAAAAGAUUAUACAAAACAUAAACAAUACUCUCAAUUAUAUAUUUUGGAGCAAAAAUUCCAAAGUGUAGUAAGCAAAGCCAAUGCAAAAUGGCUGGAGCAGCUAAUAAUGGUAAAAGUCAGAGCCUAGUAAUGUGGUACCGCUACUUGACUUUGGGAAAGAAGUGAUAAUUAUAUCAAUUUCUUCAACUUGGAAGUUGGAAGUGCUGUUGAAAGCGGUUGAUGCCAGAAAAAUAAUUAGAUAUCUGUCAAAAAAAAACUUUGGUAUUUUUAGAAAUAAAAUCCUAUAUCCAGUAUUUCAAUAUGAAAAGUCUCUAGUAUUUCUUUCAAUUGAUUCUUCCUUUGUCUUCUUCGACUCCAUGAAGGUUUAAUUAUGAUGAGAAAGCCAAGGGGAAUCAAUAAAGAAUAUCAAUUUAGGGUUUAAGAAAAAUAUCAUAAAGUUGAAUGUAAAAUGGAUUCAAAGAGUAAAUUUUAUUUUUAAAACUAUAUUUUAAUGUCUAAAAUUGUAAUUUAAUUUAGGGAUAUUUUAAUAAUUACAAUUUAUUUUUAAAAGUGAGUUUAUUAAGUAGUUUGAUGGGUUCAAAUAGUCCCAUCCAAUAAUUUAUUUCACUGUUAAGGGAAUCCAAUGAGAAAAAUAAUAAGAUAUCGUCAAUGACUUGUCAUUUUCUAUUUUUUCUAUGAGCUAAUUAUUUUGAGCAUUAGUGAUCUUGUCAGGACUACUCCAAUUAUUGAUGCAACUCCAGCGGCUGCAUCCACAGUGGCUACUCCAAUUAUUCAUGCCUUUUAAAAAGAAUAUGUAUACAAUAGCAAUCCAUACUUUAUCUUACAUUGAUUUUUUUCAAUUAAUGGUGAUUGCAUUGAUUUUUUUCAAUUAAAGAAAAAUUGUUUAAAAUAGAUUUAAUGCACAAAUACGAUGACUUUUGGCAAAAAUUAGUUUCGGAAAUGUUGGGAUGAAAACCAUAUUAGUUGAGACUUAAAUUAAGAUUUAAAUGUUGAGAUAGUAUUGCUCAGUCAGAAUAAACAAUAACCAAUUCAAAUUAUGACUAUCACGUAAAAACAAAUGUUUAUGCUUGGGUUUUUUACUUCUUGAAUUUGAUUGGAAAAAUUUCUGAGACAGAGAAGUGUUUUGGAUAAUUGUUUUGGGGAUUGAAACCACAAAUUGGUCGAGGAAAUUAAUUUUGGACAAAUUUUUAUUAUAUUGUAGCACCUUUUUGGUUCCUUUUCGGCGGCCCCAUACUAUUCUCUUAACCCUGAGUUUUUUUUUUUUUUUUUUUUUGAAAAGUCUUAACCCUGAGUUUGAGAUAGAAAUUUCCCGAACUCCAACCUCACAUCCAGGGACAAGUUGAUUGAAACAAUUGCUCUUUCAAUUAAGAGGAUGAGUUAGGUUUCAGUUCUUAUCAUUGUCUGUUAUUUCUUUGAAUCAUUAAUUUUGAGCAUUACUGAUCUUAGUUAUCUGUAUUUCUCCAAUUAUUGAAGAAUUUCAUGUGGCCACUUUUUCUCCUUUUCAUAUAUGUUUCGUUUUUGGACUGAUCAAACGGUGCAAAACCAAGUAUUUGCUGGUCCUUAGUUUAGCCAAUGAUGGCUGAUCCACAGUUGAAUAUAUGAUACUAUUAGCUCUUAUUUGAGAAUGUAAAGGGAUCUUUCUUAUUUGAGAAUACAAGUUGCCCAAUAGAGUUGAACUAUGUUACCCAACUCCAUGCUCAUACAUUAAAUGUUUAGGUAGUUUUACAAAAUGAUAGCAGCAUGCCAAAACUUGUUGUUGUCAUUUUCGACAUUUCAAAUUGAAAAAUAUGCAAGCAAUCUUCAGUGAACAUUACGUUUUUAUUGAAUAAUUUAAAUGGCCAGCAAAUCAACAGUCCGUGAGUUUUAAAUCUAUUAUGACUUAAUGUAUCUUUCUGUAUUCGUACACAGGUUAUAUUAUCAUAGUUUAAAAUUUUAAUAUUAUUUUAAAUGUUAAAAAUACUUUAAUGCUAUUAGUCUACUACACAGGUUAUAUUAUUUAUAUUAUAUUUGUAUUAAUUAAAACUUUUAAUGUCAAUUUUCUAAUUACUAUAUUGAAAAGGUAUUAUGGUUAAGAAAAAGUUUUGGCAUUUCUUCUUGAAAAUUUGAGGGUCUGCAUGACAAUUUUUCCAAAUUCUAAGGGUAUAGGUUUGAAAAUUUAAUGUUCUUUAACUUAAUGAAACAAAAGGGGGAAACCAAGAACUAUUCAAUUUUGUAUUUUUUGUUUGUAAUUCAAAAAAUGCAUCCACCAAACAAGUUUUACGCAUUAAUGCUGUCAUAAAACAAAAAACAGUUUGCCAAAAAAUGGUACCAAACAUAUCCUUAAUGUCUCACAUGAUUUCUUAGUAAGCCCAUAUUAGAUAUAUUUAUACAUUUUAGGUAUUUUAAUUAUAAAAGAAGUUGGUCCUCCCUCUGUUUAUAAAAGAUAACGUUAUUUCGAGAUUACCACUAAACUCUUACAUAGAAUUAGUGUAAUGUUAAGAGAGAGUAACACAAUUUUCCGUUACCAUCUUUGAAAAUAGAAAGAUAUGGAUGCGUGCAUUUAAGGGUUAUCGUGAAAAUCAUACAAUUCAAUUUCCUGACAUAUAUAUUCGUGCACAUAUGCCAAAAGAAUAAAUAGACAGAAAGUAAAUUUACAGUCCUCACUUCCUCACAAUUGUUAACGUGGAGACAUUAAGGAUGAGCAUAAAAGUUAAAGAUGACUCAUUUCUCAUUUUCUUUUUAAAGUGCUCUGCUGAAAGCCAAACUUCCUUUGGCUAAUUAAUUUAGAAGUAAAGCAGAGAAUAAAGUCCUAGAUGCCUUCUGAAAUUAGAAAUACAUUUUAUAUGCUUUAAUUAUGAUUAUUUGGUAGACUAAAGACCUAAAAGAUAUGUCCAAAGUAUAAAACAGAACGAUUAAAGGAAAAAGAAAAAAAACAGAGUAUUUGUGACGUAGAAUAACAAUUGGUAACUAAAAUCCUAAAUAUUUGAGUUGUUAAAAGCAAAUAUAACAGAGAAGGUAAGAGAGAUGCAGAAACAGAAAACUAUUAGCUUAUCUUGAUUUCCCACUAUAUUCAUUUUCGAUGCUUUUCAAACGAGAUUCUUUUAAUCCUUCUGGCGUCCGCAGCCCUUGCUCUUCUUACAAAUCUCCAGUCCACAUCUGCACUACGAACAAGUUGAUUGAAAUUAAAUAAUGUUGGAGAUGAGGGGUGAGCCGUCAACUUGGUAAAAAAAUUCAUGUAUAAUAUUAUCAAUAAUAUAAAAUAUAUAAUAAUUAUUACAAAGAAUCAUAAAUUAAAAAAUUAAUUAUUUUACAAUCUAUUUCUUAAGUAAGAUAAAUCUCGUAAUAAGUUAAGUUAUAACGUAAAAAAUAUUUUCAAUUUAUAAUCAUUUAAGAAGUCAUUUAACAAUAUAUUUUUUUUAUCAGCAGGCCAUGCCACAAAGUAUCAUCUAUAUUCGUGGUGAUAUUAUUAUUACUCCGUAUUCUCAAAAAACAUGAUUUAACAUUUAGAGAAAAUUCCUGCCUUUUAAAAAGAACAUGUAUGCAACAACUACCAAUACUUUAUCUUACCACAACAAAACCAAUGGUGACUAAAUCAAUUUUCUUGAUUAAAGCUAAAUUUCUUAAAAUUGAUUUAAUGCACAAAUAUGAUGACUUUUUGCAAAAAUUAGUUUUGGAAAAUAUAGUGAGAGAAAAUAGUGACGAUUAUUGUUUAGAUGUGUAAAUAGUCUAAACAUAAUCGCUAAUACCAAUAUCCAAGUGCAUCUUAACACCUUUCGUGAUAUUCUUUCAUUCAUGGUCACUGGUUCAAUAUUUGAAUUUAAUCAGUAAAUCAUGUUCAAUAAUAUUAGAGAUCCCAACAAUUGAGUACCAAUUUAAAUCCUAAUGCUAUAUGUCAUUGACCAAUAUUGUGUCAUUUUUUGUUAACUGGGUGAUGAAUUUCUAGUUGAUAAAAUUACUUUAAAAUAUCUUAAAAAUUAGACAAUAGUUUGCUUAAUUUUUUUAAGCUAACCGCUCAAGAUGCUCUAUUAGAAAUGAUAACCUAAUUAUAUACAUAAAAAAUGAUGUAUUUUUUGCAAUGUUGAUAGUGAGAUUAUCAUUCAACAUGUUAAAAUAUGAAAACAUAUGGAAGAUGGUUGUAAAUUGAUUGAAUGAAAAUAUUUCAGUGAAGUCUCAAAAAUUUGGUACUUGUUAUCUUAUCGAAAGUUUUCUAAAUUAUAUUCGUGGCACUGCCACUGCUUCUAUGUGAAGGUCAUUAAAAUUUGUGUUAGUUACCUAUAGGUUGAAUAACAAUUUUAUUCAUCAAUUGUUGCUCAAUAUAGCAAUUUGAUUGAAAGUGCCGCUGCACUAAUUUUCUAGAUGAACUUUCCUAAAUGUUUGUCCUCAUAUGACCUAGAAUGCUGCGAUAUCAAUUGUAUUGGAAAUUAUUCAAGUGGGUUAGUGCUCUACAUCCCCACCAAAAUUUAAGCAAUCAACAAAACAUUCCUUGUGGAAAUAAACUUAUUUCGCUACUAGACUUCUAAUGAGGCCCAUUUUCCAGAAUCUGGAUACGAGUUAGAUGUCUCCCAAAAUAUUGGUGGGAGUAGACUAUACUAGCACUCGACAACAUACUAACGACGCUAUGGUCCACCAGAAAGACCGGUCUCCGGUCAGCCGAAAAAUCUCACGUUCAGUCUCUUCUCAAUCUCCCUUCUCCCAGCCAAGUCGAUCCCGUAACAUGAUACUAAUCCACAGUUGAAUACAUGAUACUAUUAGCUCUUAUUUGAGAAUAUAAAGGGAUCUUUCUUAUUUGAGAACAUAAAUUGCCCAAUAAAGUUGAACUACGUUACCCCGCUCCAUGCACAUACAUUAAAUGUUAACAGCAUGCCAAAACUUGAUGUUGUCAUAUUCGACAUUUCAAAUUAAUAUGCAAGCAAUCUUCGGUGAACAUUACGUUUUUAUUGAAUAAUUUAAAUGGCUAGUAAAUCUAGAGUUCUUGAGCUUUAAUCUAAAUCAAAUCUAUUAUGACUCAAUGUAUUUUUUUGUGUUCGUACCAGUAAUGCAGGGGAUUAUUUACGCAACUCUUAUUAUUGACUGAGAUGUUCACCUUCAUCCAAUUAGAGAAAGAGUGACUGUAGAGGUGGCAAAAAUACCCGCCCGGUCCGGACCCGGACCGUACCCAUUACCUGGUCCGGGUAUGAAGCCGGGUCGGUCUUGGGCAUCACUUGAUAAACCUGGAACCCGGAUUUUAUUAAAAAAAUUAUAAAAUAUAUAUUAUUUUAAAUAUUUUAUAUUUAUUUGACUCAUUUAUUAUACAUAUAUAAAGUUUUAAACACUUAAAGUUUAUAUUUUCAUGUCAAAUUUUAUUGAAAUAAAUUUAAAACUUAUAAAAUUACUAAAAAAUAAAAAAUAUAUACACAUAAAAUAUUAAAAAAUAUAAAAUUCGGAUACCCGGAUUAAAACCCGGCCCGAACCCGGACCCAGACCGGUUGCAUCCGGGUAGGGUCCAGUCAUGGCAAUACUCGGACCUGGUCCGGGGUUUUGCCAUCUCUAAGUGACUGGGUUCCUAUAAAGGGACUCUUAACCAUUACGAGAGUAUUCAGACUACAAAUCUUUGUAAUUAAAUUCAAAGGUGAAGAUCUAUGCCUAUUAUCUAUUUAACAACUAAUAUAUAGUUAUCUAUUCAUUUAAAUAUCAAGGGCUAUGCUAAUAAUUAAGUUGAAAUGUUGAUGAAAGUAGCCUUACAUCUGUGUAUUACUCAUCUACUCUAAUCUUUUUUUUUUUUAACUUAAUGUACUUUUUCUAAUGUUGUUUACUCUUCCCCCCCCCCCCCCCCCCCCCCCCCCCCCCCCCCCCCCCCCCCCCCCACCUCUCUGACAAAAUAAUAAGAGUUUAGACUUGAAAAUAUCUUAAAGAUCAAACAGUAAUUUACCUAAUUUUUUGAAGCUAACUGCCAAAGAUAUUCUAUUAGACAUUGAUAACGUAGUUAUAUACAUUUAAAAUGAUAUUUUUUUGUGGAAAGGGAUUAUCAUUCAACAUCUUAAAAUAUGAAAACAUAUGGAAGAUGAUUGUAAAUUGAUUGAAUGAAAAUAUUUCAAUGAAGAUGGUUGUAAAUUGUUAUCUUAUUGAAAGUUUUCUAAAUUUACUACUAUUUGAACUUAGCCCUCCUGGUACCGCCACCAUUUCUGCUUGAAAGUCAUUUAAGUUUGUGUUAGCUGCCUAAAGCUUUUUUUUUUUUUUUUUUCUUUUUCUUUUUGAAAAGAGCUGCCUAUAGCUUGAAUAACUAUUUUGCUCACGAAUUGUUGUCCAUUAUAGCAAUUUAUUUAAUUGAAAGUGCGGCUGCAAUAAUUUUCUUGAUGAACUAUUCCACAUGUUUGUUCUCAUGUGAGGCAGUUUUUCUAGAAGAUUGAUAUUUCUUUAAGUCUUUAACUAGCAAAGCAUACCAGUCCAAAGCUAGCCAAACCAUACCUGCUGGUCCAGGGCUUAAAUGGAGUACUUCUAAGCAUAAAACAGUAACAAAAACACAAUAUAUGCAUACAUACAUACACACAUACAUACAUACCAGCAAAUUCAAAAUAGAAAAAAGAGUGCAACUAUUCAAGAAAUUGGUUAUUGUAGACAAACACACAUACAAACACAUACCAGAAAAUUCAAAAAAUAGAGAAAGGAGGCCAACUAUUCAAGUUUGUAGACAAUAUUGCAAUCAUGGCAUUACUUAUAGCAAGUCCUUGAAAUCUACUAAACAAAACAAUGCUCUGUCUCAUGAAUCAAUGUUGAAUUACAGACGAAAAUGAAAGUCUAGCAGGUGUUGUUUCCCUCUUCGAUUUUGCCUACACAAGUAAAGGGAAAUAAGAAUCAUAAAUGAAAAUCAGCUUUUACAGUUGUAAUUAUUAGAUAGAUCUAGAACGAUCUUUCUUUGUUUCUCUGCUGCAAUGUGCUAUCCCACUCUGUUUUGCUACUAAAAUUGAGUCUAUGUUGAGACAUAAUUUCGACACUAGGAGCAACCGCAAUUAGUUUGGCAUUGCAUUACCCCUUGAAGGUUUUACAAUAGUUGUAAACUUACCGAGAAAGUGGAAAAAAAAGGGCAUAGGGAAUUAGGCAAGUAACUAAAGUAUGAGUCAUCAGAUAUGAUUAAAACUCACCCAAUUCAAUCCAUCAGAUUCCGUAAGGAUAUAACUGGAUGUCAUAACGCCACUCCAUAUCCUCGAAAGUCCGUAGCCUUUGCCUCAACUCUGUCUGGGGCCAGUGUAAGUCCAAUUUGCGCAAGCUCUUUAUGCACCAUAGCUCUUCUGGAAGCUUCCUCAAGUAAGCACAUGGGUUGACAAUUAAGCUUUCAAGUUUUGGCAUUGCUCCUGCCCCCAUCGUCCACUCAUCUAGCCAAUACAUUGACUUCAGGUGCAAAAUCUUAAGUUCCGGAAAGCCACCAGAGUCAUCACAGGCCAACUUUCUUCCUAAAUACGAGUUCUUCUUCAGUUUCAGCACUUGAAGGCGUGGAAGCUUUUCCAGCAUUGGCAUGGGAUCCUCCAUUAGCUCAGUAUUUGAUAAGCUCAGAUGGCUCAGACUUAAAGGAAAUUCGUAUUCAGACAGGGCAAUCCGUGAGAGCUUGCUCUCAUUCACUAGUUCCAAGCAUUCAAUUUUGUGGAGUUCGCAUACGCUUUUGGAAACCCCAGAGUGAUAGCAACUCAAAUCUCCAGAUAUCUGAAGAGUUUGAACAUUAGGUAGUCUGCACAAUAUAUCUGGCGUGCAACUACUAGGGUGUAAGGAUGAUAUGAAAAUAAGAUUUUUCAGAGAGCUGGAAUAAUUUUUUGGAGGUGCAGGCAGAGUGAUGGAACCAAAGUUCAGAUGCAUGAGUUUUUGCAUCUUCCAAAUAUCCUCUGGUGUUUGAUCUACGUAGCUAGAUGGCAUGUCUAGUGUUUGAAGGUUUGAAAGGGUGCAUAGCUGUGAAGGAAGACAUUUGAGCGAAGGGAUAUUCAAUUUCAAAUACUUCAAAUGGAAUAAAUUAUCUAAUCCGGGUGGAUAUUGGUCCAGGACUGCAGAACCCAUGUUCAAUACCCGAAGGUGUUUGAACAUUUUACAAAAAUUCUCGCAAUCUAUCGGAUUAAGAUGAUCGCUUUCUGAACUGUAAUUCAGAAAAGAUUGAUUAGUUCUUUCAAGUAAUGUUCGGCCGUCCCCUCACUGUUGUAUGGUAUGAAACCUUCAGCUACCCACAACUGAUAUAAUUGCCUCGUGGAUAUCUCAAUACUUGGAGGGAAGACAAACAAAUAGAUGCAGCAGACUUUCAAGUGAAAAGGUAACUCCAUCACAGAAUAAAUUUGUCUCCAAGCUGUCGGAAUCGCUUCGCCUUGAAAAUAAUUUUCUAAUGGCAUACGUCCGUAGUGUAGGACGAAAAAUUGCAAGCCUUCAUACUUUAUUCUAAUCAGUGGUCCUCCAACGAGCACUGAAUCAAGCCGAAUCUCCUCUGCGUUUUCCAUUUCCAACGAUGUAAGGAGUCUUGGAUCAGCGACCAAUAUCAAUACUCUGCUUCCAUUCUGAUUAUCAGGAAGAACUUCUUCAAGAUCAUCCCAUAUCUCACUCUCAUCGAAGAAGCACAAUAAAGUACUUAUUGUUUGUUAGGUAAUCUCGAAGACUAGAUUUCUUCAAUUGAUAACUUCACCGAGGCAUCACAGACUUGAUUAUGUCAUCCAAUAUCUUGCCAAAAUCGUAGGCUAUAGAAACCCUGACCCAAGCAAGACAGUCAAAAUAGAACUUGACAUGAUUAUUGUUAAAAGUAUCUGCAGCAAAAGCAGUCUUAUCGAAGCCACUGCUGUCGAAAAUUGCAACCACUGAUAUCGAUAGAUCAAACAACUUCUCUCUGCCCUUUUCAAAUUCACUGAUAUCGAGCCGAGGUUGUCCCUCAUUCAAUAGGCGAAUGAUUUUGUUACUUUGUUCACUGAUAUCAAAACCAUUGUCGCCGGGUGGAAGUUGUUGCAUCUGAUUUCUAAUAUCAAAGUGAAAAAUUGCUGCUUUCACUUUCGUUUUCACUGUUUUGCUGCUGCAUGAUGUUGAUAUUGACAUAAUUUUAUUUUAGUUUUUGGGGAUAAAAAUAUUUGUUGACAAAUAUUUUUAUAUUUUACAAUUUAUUAUACAUAUUUUAUCAUUUUAAAGUAAUUUUAAUAAUAAAUAGAAACAUAAUAUUACGAUAAAUAAAUUAAAGUUUAAAUUAUUUUAAAUAUUAUAAAAAUAAUUCUAAUAUUAUUAAUAGGAAGACAUUUUGUUAAUUUUAAAAUUUUUUAACCCAAAGGUUUAUUUAAAAUUUUUAUUAUAAAUAAAAAUAUAAAAUUAAAUAUCAUAAAGUGUAUGCACGUUGACUCUCAAUAUAUACAAACGACUCUCUGGUAUGAUUCAAAGCACCAGUAUAUGCAUCAUUUUAAUGAGAAAGGAUAUUCUAAGAUUAUUUAUGCAUCACCAUUUUUAGUUGUACCGGCUCUAAUGAAAUUGAAGGUGCAAUCAGCAGCUAAAAUGAAGCCAGAAAUUGAAGGUGCAUGAGGAAAUUUUCCUAGAAGAUUGAUAUUUCUUCGACUAGCAAACCAUACAAGUCAAAGCUAGCCAAACCAUAUCUGCAAGUCCGGGGCUUAAAUGGAGUACUUCUACGCAAAAAACAUUAAUCAAAACACAAUAUGAGCACACCCCCGUCAACCCACCCCCCCCCAACACACAUACCGGCAAAUUCAAAAUAGAAAAAGGAGUGCAACUAUUCAAGUUUGUAGACAAUAUUGCAACCAUGGGAUAUUAAAGAAUAUCUUUGAAAUCCGCUAAACAAAACAAUGCCCUGUCUCAUGAUUCGAUGCUCAAUUAGAAUUGAAAUUGAAAGUCCGGCUGUUGCUGUUUCUCUCUCCAGUUUUGCCUACAUAAGUAAAGGGAAAUAAGAAUCAUAAAUUAAAAUCUGCUUUUACAAUUCUUAUUAGAUAGAUAUAAAGGGAUCUUUCGUUGUUUCUCUGCUGCAAUGUGUUGCUAUCCCACUCUGAGAAAGAUCUUUCGUUGUUUCUCUAUGUUGAGACAUAAUUUUGACAUCAGAAGGUUUUAUGACCUCCUUGAAGGUUUUACGAUAAACAUAAAUCUACUGAGAAAGUGGGAAAAAACGAAAAUGCAUAUAAAAGUAUGAGUUAUCAGAUAUGAUUAAAACUCACCUAACAUCAGAUUCCAUAAGGAUAUAACUGGAUGUCAUACCGCCACUCCAUAUCCUUGAAAGUCCGUAGUCUUUGUCUCAACUCUGUCUGAGGCCAAUGUAAAUCUAAUUUGCGCAAGCUCUUUAUGCACCAUAGCUCUUCUGGAAGCUUUCUCAAGUAAGCACAUGGAUUGACAAUUAAGCUUUCAAGUUUGGGCAUUGCUCCAGCCCCCAUCGUCCACUCAUCUAGCCAAUACAUUGACUUCAGGUGCAAAACCUUAAGUUCCGGAAAGCCACCAGAGCCAACACAGGCCAUCUUUCUUCCUAAAUUCGAGUUCUGCUUCAGUUUCAGCACUUGAAGGUGUGGAAGCUUUUCCAGCGUUGGCAUGGGAUCCUCCAUUAGCUCAGUAUUCGAUAAGCUCAGAUGGGUCAGACUUGGGGGAAAUUGGUAUUCAGACAGGAACAUCCGUGAGCGCUUGCUUUCAUUCACCAGCUUCAAGCAUUCAAGUUUGUGCAGUUCGCAUAGGCUUUUGGAAAUCCCAGAUUGAUAAUAACUCAAAUCUCCGGAUAUUCUAAGAGUUUGAAUAUUUGGUAGUCUGCCCAAUAUAGCUGGAGUGCAACUACUAGGGUGUAAGGCUGAUAUGAAAAUGAGAUUCUUCAAAGAGCUGGAAUAAUUUUUUGGAGGUGCAGGGAGAGUGAUGCAACUGAAGUUUAGAUGCAUGAGUUUUUGCAUCAUCCAAAUAUUCUCUGGUGAAUGAUCUAUGUAGCUAGAUGGCAUUUCUAGUGUUUGAAGGUUUAAAAGGGUGUAUAGCAGCGAAGGAAGGCAUUUGAGCAAGGGGAUAUUCAAUUUCAAAUACUUCAAAAGGAAUAAAUUUUCUAAUCCGGGUGGAAAUUGGUCGAGAACUGCAGAACCCAAAUUCAAUACCCGAAGGUGUUUGAAAUUUUUACAAAAAUUCUCACAAUCUAUCAGAGCGAGACGAUCGCUUUCUGAACUGUGAUUCAGAAAAGAUUGGAGAUACAUGUCAGAAUAUUCUAAAGGAAAGAAGUGAAUCAGACCUUUCAAAAUGAAGCACCGUUUAACAUUUGCCAGUGAUUCCUCUUCCAUUUCAGGCAUCCAGACAAAUCCCGUCUUCUCUGCCACCAAACCCAAUGAAGUACAUACAAAACUUGGAACAUAACGCGCUUUAAUUGUGCCUCCGGCUCUUCUCUUACUCACUUGAAUGAAGCCGCGAUGGAUUAGUUCUUUCAAGUAGUGUUCGGCAGUUUCUUCACCGUUGUAUGGUAUGAAACCUUCAGCUACCCACAACUGAUAUAAUUGCAUCGUGGAUAUCUCAAUGCCUGGAGGGAAGACCAACAAAUAGAUGCAGCAGACUUUCAAGUGAAAAGGUAACUCCAUCACAGAAAAAAAUUGUCUCCAAACUGUCGGAAUCGCUUCGCCUUGAAGAUAAUUUUCUAAUGGCAUACUUCCGUAGUGUAGGAUGAAAAAUUGCCAGGCUUCAUGCUUUAAUCUGAUCAAUGGUCCUCCAAAGAGCACUGAAUCACGCCGAAUCUUCUCUCCAUUUUCCAUUUCCAACGACGCAAGGAGGUCUGGAUCAGUGACUGUUAUCAAUACUCUGCUUCCAUUCUCAUCAUCAGGAAGAAGUUCUUCGAGAUCACUCCAUAUCUCACUGUUAUCGAAGACAUCAUCAAGCACAAUAAAGUACUUCUUGUUUGUUAGGUAAUCUCGAAGAAUAGAUUUCUUCAAUUGAUAAUCUUCACCGAUAAUUACACUAACCCGAGAUUGAUGUCCUCCAGAAUUCCAAAAAUAUCUGCUGUUUCAACGUCUUCUUCAUCGCUUUCUUCUAAGUCCAACAGUUCCAAAAAAGGCAAAGAUAUUUUGGAGUCAUCGAAUUCUUCUCUAAUGAGUUGAAACAAAUGCCGAGCCAUGUCAGCUUCAUAGUUUCCCAGAAGAGUAGUAGCAAUAAUUUCGGACUCCGUAAGAAGGUUUUGAAAAAGUGGGGUUAAAUUUGUUGAAUCUGGCAGUGGCAACGUGCCUUCUACACCUGCUAACACCCUUUUCAACCUCUCACAAAACAGUCGGAGGUGGAAUUCCAGCAUAUCUCCUUCUCUCCGUAGCACUCAGAGGUAUAGUUGAAAGAUUAAACACCAUGGAAUAAUUUGAAAGGAAAAUGCCAAGAAACUGUGUAAGUGGCUAAAUUCCACAAAUAUUACAUUAUUGCUCAUUUUUUAACUCAAAAAAAUGGUACGCGUUCAUUUAGAGAAGAGUCCAAGCCCAGUAACAGGAAUAUUUUAUUUACUGGUGCUUAAAUCAAUUGUUUCUUUUUUAAUUUAAAGAUUUUUUCAUUAAAAAAUAUUUUAAUAUCAAAAUGCCUUCAAUGGCAUUACUGCCGCAAGCCCAGUAACAGGAUUAAUUAAAAAGUUCAGAAUUUUUGGGCAUGGAAACUGGAAAGAGUAUUAAACAUCAGAAAGCUAAGGUUUGUUCUGUUAAAGAAUUGAUAUUGACAUAAUAUUUUUUUUUUUGAGGAAAAAAAACAUAUUGGUUGACAAGCAAGGAAAUGUUUUUGUAUUUUACAAUCUGUUAUUAAAUAUUUUAUCAUAUUAAAGUAAUUUUAAUAACAAAUAGAAACAUAAUAUUACAAUAAAUAAAUUAAAGUUUAAAUUAUUUUGAAUAUUAUAAAAAAUAAUGUUAAUAUUAUUAAUAGGAAGACAUUUUGUUAAUUUUAAAAUCUUUUUAAUCCUAAGGUUUAUUUAAAAUCUCUAUAAUAAAUCCAAAUAUAAGAUUAAAAUAAAAAUCAUAAUUUGAAAAUUUUAAUAUUAUUUUAAAUGUUAAAUAUACUUUAAUGUUAUUAGCCUACUACGUAGAUUUUAUUAUUUAUAUUAUAUUCGUAUUGAUUAAAAUUUUUUAAAGUCAAUUUUUUAGUUAGUACAUUCAAGAGGUAUCAUAGUUAAAGAAAAGAUUUUGGUGCAACUGUUUUAAAAUUUCAGAGUGUAAAUGAUAAUUUUUUUUAAGUUUUAAGGAAGUAGGUAUUAUUUUUCCGACAAUUUAUUUUAUUUUGAGGGAAAUCCGAUGAGAAAUAUCAUCAGAGAACAUUAAUUUAACAUUCUUUAUCUUUGUGAAAAAAGUGGAAACCAAGAACUAUUCAAAAUUUUUUUUUUUUUGUAAUUCAAAAAAUGCAUUCACCAAACAAGCUUAUCUUAAUUUUCCCACUUUAUUCAUUUUCGAUGCUUUUCAAAAGAGGUUCCUUUAAUCCAUCUCCAUCCCACAUCUACACUAUCAAACAAGUUGAUGGAAAUUGGAACACAUUAAGUUAUGUUCAUUACUGGUCUUUGUCUUUCUAUGAGCCACUUAUUUUGAGCAUUAGCGAUCUUAUAAGGAAUCAUGCCUUUUCAGGAUCGUUUUCUUUCAUUUCCUUAUUGUAGUAGUUAAUUAAAUAAAGAACGAACAGCUGAACUUGGUCUUUUUGGAGGAAGAACAAGGUUUCCAAUACUAGAGGAACUUUGAAGAAAAUUAAUUGGAAGCCUUUAUUCAUCUUUGAAGAAAAUUACCACACUUUAAAUCCUGGAUAAAAAAAAUUUUAUUCAUCUUCGGACUAUGAAUUUAUAAAAUAAUAUUGUUAGGACUAAGAAAAAAUAUUAUUUUAGAUAAGUUAUUUAUUUAUUAUUGAAUGAAAAAUUUAUCAUGAUAAAUAAAUAUUUAUUAAUUUAAAGAGAGAUUUUUUUUUGGUUUUAAGAAGAGUUUUUUUGGUACAUGCACACAUUAAUAAAGAAACACAAAAAGUGCUUCCUCAAGUCAAUAGUAUUUGCUUUAAUCGCUAAGGUGCAUAAUAAUGUAGCUUAGUUAGGAAAUUUGUAAUUAUAUUAUGGCUCUAUUUGGUAUAACUUUUUAAUUAGAACUUAUUUAAGGAGAAUUUUUAUUAGUAGAGUUUUUAUAAAUAGAGAUUUUACUAAAAAAAAAUUAUAGUUAUUUAGUUGUCAAUGACCAAAUUGAUUAACUAUUGUUCUUUUUGUUAACAUGUGUUUGUUUUACUUAAUAAUAAAAGUUUAUUUUACAAUUACACCGGUGUCAAAUCAGCAGAGCACCGGCAAGAGUUUUCGAUUGUUGCAAUUUGCAAUGCACACGGUGAGGGAAAAUGAGAAUCUUGUUUAAUUGUGAAUAAUGACAAACCUAAUCCUUUCAUUAGGAGUAAAUUAAUAAUCGUUUGUUAUAAUUGAAUAUGUAUAAAGAAAGGAAAAUUAUAUUCAUAGAUUUGACUUAUUUUUUGUUUAACGUAACUAAUCAUUCAACCAUCUUCAUUUGCCUCUGGCCAAUGCCCUUGUAGAUUAGUUGAAGCGUUAAUUACAUAAUUCAGAUAAUUACAACGUCCUUUUCGCUAAUUAAUUAUGAUUAUGUACAUUUUCAUAUAGCAAGUGGCAUUGUAGAUCUAAACUACGUUGCUAUUUCAAUACGUUAAUUAAGUGAUUCUCCUCAUUGUCAUCAGCGUUAUAAACAGGAAUUGUGCAAACAGUACACAAUGCUGCGGCAAGGCGUGGGUGGCUAGAGUUUUGCAACCACCCUCGAGAUCCUGUGCUGCCAGUAGUAAAAGAAUUUUACACCAAUUUGGUAAGCCUUGGUCAGCACAACAUUUGGAUAAGAAACUCACUUGUUCCAUUAGACUCUCGAGUUAUAAAUUUUUUUUAUAAUUUACCUGCCGAAAUUAAUUGUGAGUAUGCCAAGUUGCUUGACAAAUUGACCUCGCAACAAUGGAACAUAAUUUUCACGACACUUACAGUAGAGGGUGCAUCGUGGGCUAAUGAGGAGGAGCGUGUAAUUAACAGGAUAGAUUUAAAACUCAUUGCUAAGGUGUGGGUGAAAUUUCUGAAAUCUAGGCUUAUGCCAACCACCCACACCACUACUGUUUCACAGGAAAGGUUGGUGUUGUUAUAUGCUAUUGUUAGAGGGCUUCCCAUAGAUGUGGGAAGUAUUAUCGAAAAAGAAAUUCGAGAUUGUGCCAUGAAAAACCACAAGGCUGCUGCCUUGUUAUUUCCUUCACUCAUAACCAGCAUAUGUGUAGUAUCAGGUGUUCAUCUUGAUGCAAAGGAUGAAAUUUGUAAUUAUAUUAUGGCUCCAUUUCGUAUAACUUUUUAAUUCGAACUUAUUUAAGGAGAAUUUUUAUUAGUAGAGUUUUUUAUAAAUAGAGAUUUUACUAAAAAAAAAUUAUAAUUAUUUAGUUGUCAAUGUCGAAAUUGAUGAACUAUUGUUCUUUUUGUUAACAUGUGUUUGUUUUACUUAAUAAUAAAAGUUAAGUUCACAAUUACACCGGUGUCAAAUCAGCAGAGCAUUUUUCCAGCCAGUCACAUUAUACAUUUUUGCAACUUGCAAUGCAAGCGAUGAGAGAAAAUGAGAAUCUUGUUUAAUUGUCAAUAAUGACAAACCUAAUCGUUUCAUUAGGUGUAAUUGCAUAAUCGUUUGUUAUAAUUGACUCUGUAUAAAGAAAGGAAAAUUAUAUUCGUAGAUUCGACUUUUUUUUUUUUAAGGUAAUUAAUCAUUCAACCAUCUUCAUUUGCCCCUGGCCACUGCCCUUGUAGAUUAGUUGAAGCGUUAAUUACUUAAUUCAGAUAAUUACAACGUCCUUUUCGCUAAUUAAUUAUGAUUAUAUACGUUUUCAUAUAGCAAGUGGCAUUGUAGAUCUAAAUUAUGUUGCUAUUUCAAUACGUUAAUUAAGUGAUUCUCCUCAUUGUCAUUAAGUGGAAAAUAGCUCAAUUGUUUCCCUGCAUCGAUUUUCAUUGGUAAGUGAUUUCUUAUGAUAUUCGUUUGAGCUUUCCUUAUUAAAAAAGCUUGAGCCUUGAUCACCUAAUACUGAUAUCAAUUUACUUGUGAACGAUUUUGUAAUGAAAUUAGGAGUUAAAUAUACAAGAUUUUUACCUGAUGAAUUUUGAUUUUUUUAAUUUUUUGAUGUAGUCAAUUUGCGAAUUUUAUAUAUUUCAUAUUCAACGGAAUUUGGGCACGGAAAGUUUGGAUUCUAAUAUUUAUAGAGUAAUGAUACAGCCACAAACUCUUGUACAAAAUUGAUGUGGCGUUAAUUCAUUAGUUGAAUUAAAUAUCUUUUUGCCCACAUGAUUUUUUUUUUUAUUUUUUUUUUUCAUUCAAUCAAUGAAUUAAUGCCACAUCAGUUUGUACAAAAUAAGUUUGUACAAGAGUUUGUGGUUAUAUCAUUAUAUUUAUAUAUUUAGCUUUAAUCAGUUUGACUUUAGCAAUCUUUUUCCCUCAUCAUUAAGGGAUUCAGAAUUAGAGAAACGCUAGGAAGAGGAAGAAAAUAACUUUGGAAAUAAGUAAGAGGGAAAAAAUUAUGAAAUUUUGAAUUAUUUUUUGUAAAGUAUGUUGCGUUUACUAAACUUGAAUUAGAAUGAGCUGAAAUCAGAAUGAAUAGGAAUGCGAAUGUGCUGAAAUCGGAAUAGGUAAUGAGAAUAAGAAUAAGUUGUUUACUUGAACUGUAAAAAUCAAAAUCGAAAUGAGCUGAAUUGCAAUUACUUUGUCUUGGAAGCGGAAUUAGAAUCGGAAUGAGUUAGAUUGUAACAAAUUACUAAAAAGUACUUAAUGAAUUAUUGUCAUAAUUAUUAUUUUAUAUUUUAAUUAUAGUGAUUAUUUAUUCAAAAAUUAUUAUUAUUAAUUAUUUUCAAUAAUAUAUUAAUAUGUUAAUUAAUUUUAAAAAUUAUUAAUUAAUUAAUUAUAAUAAUAUACUAAUUAAUUAUAAUAAUUAUAAAAAUAUAUUAAUAAUAAAAUUACUAAUUUAAUUAUAAUAAUAUAUGAAUUAAUUAUAAUAAUUAUAUUAGUAAUUAUUAUAAUAGUAUAUUAAUUAAUUAUAAUAAUAAAAAUAUAUUAAUUAUGUGAUUAUUUAUUCAAAAAUUAUAAUUAUUAAUAAUUAUUGUUAAUAAUGUAUCAAUAUAUUACUUAAUUAUAAUAAUAUAUUAAUUAAGUAUAAAUGAGGACAAAGGGGGUAUUUUUAAUUUCACGUAGGGGCAAAAUGGUCAAUUCUAGUAAUGGGAGACUCACUCCGACCCUCUCCCUUGGGAAUGAGUCUCCCAUUCCUCAUUCCCAAAUUGUGGUGGGCCCCAUAAUUUUGACUCUGAUUUUUGACUCAAUUUUGCGAAGUAAACGCUACCAAUGAUUCUGAUUUCGGAUUCUGAUUCACUUAUCCGAGAAGUAAAAGCAACAUAAAUGUGUAUGAAUAAUUGAUACCUAUGAAUAGUUUUGGGAGUUUUAGUUAGGAGUCGUUUAUUGAAGAUGUUUAGCAAUUAAAGAUCUCUGUCUCAGCAGUUUUCCCAAUCAAAAUCAAGAAGCAAAACAACUUGCCAUUUUUCUACUUGAUAAUUAAUUGAAAUUUAAGAAAAUACAAUGGCAUUUCAAUUAGAAAUGGUAAUUGUUUAUCUUUUUUCAUUGAUCAAAUUCUAAUCGUGAUCCAAUAGUUAUGGAUGAAGGAAAUAUUAUGAGAGGCGAUAGGCCAAGUGAAGACGUACCAGCAAAUUCAAAAUAGUCGGGAGGUGGACGUCCAGCAUAUCUCCUCUCUGUAGCACCCAGAUGUAUUGUUAUUUGCUCCAAGAAAUGUUAAAAGGAUUGGCCCUAUCUCAAUGUGGUUAGUGGUGAAAAAUUAAACACCAUGGAAGGAUUUGCAAGGAAUAUGCCAAGAAACUGGCUAAGUUCCACAAAUAUGGCAUUAUUGCUCUUUUUUUUUAAAGAAAAAUUAUACACGUUAAUUUAGCAAAAAGUCUAAGACACAUGCCUUUUGAAAAGAACAGCUAUUACCAUGACACAAUCGAUGCGGCUGAAACCAAAAUUUUCUUUUCUUAAUGUAAAGAUUUUUUUUAAAUAGAUUUUAAUAUCAAAAUGCCCUUCGAUGUUAUUACUGUCACAAGCCCUGUAACAGGAGUAAUAAAAAAUUUUAGAAUUUUUGGGCAUGAAAAAAGUAGUAUUAAGCAUCAGCAAGCAAAGGUUGUUCUGUUAAAGAAUUGAUAUUUUCGUGAUUUUAUUUUGGUUAUCGAGAAAAAAAAAUAUAUAUUUGUUGACAAGUAAGAAAAUAUUAUUAUAUUUUACAAUCUAUUAUACAUAUUUUAUUAUAUUAAAUAAUACUAAAUAGAAACAUAAAAUUAGAAUAAAAUAAAUUAAAAUUAAAAUUAUUUUGAAUAUUAUGUAAAAAAUAAUGUUAAUAUCAUUGUUACUUCUAAAAUAUAUUUAGCCCAAAGAUUUAUUUAAAAUUUUAUAAUAAAUAAAAAUAUAAAAAUAAAUUAAAUAUCAUAGUUUAAAAUCUUAAUAUUAUUUUAAAUAUUAAAAAUACUUUAAUGUUAUUAUUCUACUACACAUGUUAUAUUAUUUAUAUUAUAUUUGUAUUAAUUAAAAAUUUUAAAGUCAACUUUCUAGUAACUAUAUUCAAAGGUAUUAUGGUUAAAUAAAGGUCUUAGUGUUUCUUUUUCAAAAUUUGAGGGUCUACAUGAUAAUUUUUCCAAAUCCUAAGGUAUAGGUGUCCUUUUUGUCAAUAAUUUGAGAGAAUACGAUGAGAAAUAAGAUCAGAGAAAUGUCAAUUUAAUGUUCUCUAGCUUAAUGAAAAAAAAAAUGGAAACCAAGAACUAUUCAAUUUUGUAUUUUUUGUUUGUAAUUCAAAAAAUCCAUCCACCAAACAAGUUUCACGCAUUUAUGUUGUCAUAAAACAAAAAAACAGUUUGUGAAAAAAUGGCACCAAACAUACCCUUAAUGUCCCACAUGAUUUCUUAUGAAGCCCAUAUUAGAUAUAUUUAUACAUUUUACUGCAUUUAGGACAUAUUUGAUAGCCUGCAUUAUAUAGGAUAAAAACACAAUUUUGUAUUAAAUUAAUGCACACUCACGUUUGGCGCUAAAAGUAACUCCAGCCGCAUUGCAUUAAUGGGCUGCUAAUGCGGCAAUUGCCGCACUAGCUUGCCUCUUUUUCUUUUUAAUUUUAUUUAUAAUAAUAAUAAUAAUAAUAAUAAUAAUAAUAAUAAUAAUAAUAAUAACAUAAUAUAACUUUUUAUUUUAAUAUAAUAUUAUAUAAUAUUAAGUAUAAUUUUUAUUUUUACAUUAUAAUUAUUGAUAUAAAUUAAUAAAUGUAUUAUUUAUUAUUCAAUAAUAUUAUAUUAUAUAUUUUUAUUUUUACAUUAUAAUUUAUUAGUAAAUUUAUAAUUUAAUAUAAUUAAUAAUAAUAGAAAAUAUCAUUACAUGUACUACAAAACUCUUACUUUGAUUAUUUAACACAAUUUAUUUUAUUCGUGAAUAUGUUAUAACAAUUGUAUCACUUUAUUAUUUUGUUAUUAUUUUGUGGUAUGUAUAAAUUUUUAUUCUAUUAUCCUAGGAUGACUUUGAACUAAUGUUAUAGGUUUUAACUAUUUAUUUAUGUUGUUAUAUUAUUAGAGAUUAUUUGAUUAAAUUAUUUGCUUCGAUCUUUAUUUUGCAGGUCAUAUAUUUAGAAAUUGCUGAAAAAUAAAUGUUAUACUUCAAAAAAUUUAAGGCUAUAAGCUCGAUCUUUAUGAAGAAUUGUGAUAUUUUUUAACAUUUACACCAAAAAAAAUUGUUAAAUUUCUAAAAUUUAAGACUUCUAUAUUUAGUAUUUUUCUAAUUACUAAUAAGUAUUAUUUUCUAAAUAUAUAAUUUAAAUUAAUCACAAAAAAUUAAUACAGUACAGUGCAAUAUCAAAUAUAGUAUAAUAAAAAUUAUACAGUAUAAUGUAACACCAAAUAUUAUAUAAUAUUAUUAUAAUAUAGUACUAAUAUAAUAUAAUAUAAUACAAUAUAGUGUGCCAAACGCACCCUUAGAGUGUGUUUGGAACAUGGGAUUAUAGGGUAUUAAAACACUAUUCUUAUUAGCUUAAUACCAAUAUCAUGUUUGGAAAGAAAUUUUAAGGGAUUAAAGGGGGGUGAGCUAAUGCCAUAACUGCGGCAGUAGUGUCUUGGUUUUUUUUUUUAAAUAAUAAUAAAAAAUAUAAAUUUCUAAUUUUAUGUAAUAUUAUAUAAUAUUAAUUUUGAUUUUCUUUGAUCUUUACAUUAUAAUUAUUAAUAUAAGUUAAUACAUUUGUAAUUUAUUAUUCAUAUUUUAAUUUUUAUUAUAUUAAAAAUAUAACUAAAUAAUUUAAUUUUAAUUAUAUAAUAAUUAAUGUAUAAAAUUGAUUAAUAUUUAAUAAGUUAAUACAACUAGUAAUAAGUGCUUAAAUAAUACAUAAAAAUAAAAAUAUAACAUAAUAUUACAUUAUUUAAUUAUAUUACAAUAACUAAUAUAUAAAAAUUGAUUAUUAUUUAACAAUUUAAUAUAGCUAAUAAUAGAUACUUAAAUAAUAAUUUAAUAUAACUAAUAAUGAAUAUAUUUAAAUAAUAUUAAUUUAAAAUUAAUACCAAUAUAUAUAAUAAUAUAAAAUAUUAUUACAUGUACUGUAGUAUUCUUACUUGGAUUAUUUAGCGCAAUUUAUUUUAUUAGUGAAUAUGUUACAACUAUUGUAUCACUUUAUUAUUUAAAUUAAUCAAAAAAAUUAAUACAGUACAAGAUAAUACUAAAUAUUGUACAACAUUAUUAAAAUACAGUAUUAAUUCAAUACAAUAUAAGACAAUAUAUCUAUAUUAAAAUAAAAUAAUAUAAUUUAAUAUAAUACAAUAUGUCAAACGCACCCCGUGUAUUUUAAUUUCAAAAGAAGUUGGUCCUUCCUUUAUUUAUAAAAGAUAACUUUAUUUUCAGAUUACCACUAAACUCUGAAGUAGAAUUAGUGUAAUGUUAAGAGAGAGUGACACAGUUUUCCAUUACCAUCUAUGAAAAUAGAAAGAUAUGGAUCAGUGUAUUUAAGAGUUAUCGUGAAAAUCAUACAAUUCAAUUCCCUGACACAUAUAUUUAUGAGCAUAUGCCAAAAGAAUAAAUAGAUAGAAAGUAAAUUUACAAUCCUCACUUCCUCACAAUUGUUAAAAUGAAGACGCAUUACAACUGUGAACUGUCACUACUUUAUCCUUUUUUAUUUUUUAUUUUUUAUUUUUAGUUAUAGUGUGAUGGAGACAGUGAACAUCAAGGAUGAGAAUAAAAGUUAAAGAUGACCCACCCACUUUCUUUUUAAAGUGCUCUGCUGAAAGCCAAAGUUCCUCUGGCUAAUUAAUUUAGAUGUGAAGAGAGAAUAACGAUAUGUUAGAUUAUUUGGUAGACUAUAGACCUAAAAGUUCCUUCUGAAAUUAGAAAUACAUUUUAUAUGCUUUAAUUAUGAUUAUUUGGUAGACUAUAGACCUAAAAGACAUGUUAGAUUAUAAAAUAGUGCGAUUAAAAAAAAAAGAGUAUUUGUCACGUCAAAUAACAAUUGGUAACUAAAAUCCAAAAUAUUUCAGUUGUUAAAAUCAAAUAAAAAAAAAGAAGGUAAGAGUGAUGCAGAAACACAAUAUUAGCUUAUCUUGAUUUUCCCACUUUAUUCAUUCUCGAUGCUUUUCAAAAGAUAUUCUUCUACUCCUUCUGGUGUCUGCAGCCCCUUGUCACGGGAUGAGAGGUUUCGAGCCCGUGCGGCACUCUCACAUCCCAUACUACGAGAGUAAACCUAGUGGAAGUGGCACAAUAUCGACUAGUUUCGCCCUGCCUUGGGCUCAUCAGGAGAACGGCUCCAGUUCCCAACCAGUGUGUGUAGGGCUCUGAUACCAAAUUGAAGUUUAACCAAGCUAUUUAUGCUUGUUUGGUUGCAGAGAAAAUGAAGGAAAAUUCAAUGAGUAAUAAGAGAAACUAUAAGAGAAAUGGAUCGAAUCUUAUUCAAUGAAUUAUGAAUACAGAGGUUGACCUUAUAUACUAAGAUCCAGAACCUUCUGUAUUGCUCACACACGUGUUGAGAGUGAGCUGUGAUUAACAAACUUCUCAGCUCUAUAACAAACUUACAAACUAACAAUAACAGCCUUGCUUACUCAGCUACCACAUCAGCAGAAUCAUUACAAAAAUAUUCUUUAUAUUUAUAACUCUAACAUCCCCCCUCAAGCUUGCUGCGCAAAUAAGCAAACUGAUCAAAACAGAGGGGCUUAGUAAGAACAUCUGCUAAUUGAUCUGAACUGGGAACAUAAGUGACUGAAAGCUGCUGUUGAGCAAUAUGCUCUCUGAGAAAAUGAAGAUCAAGCUCAAUAUGUUUAGUACGAGCAUGAUAUUUAGGAUUACUGGCCAAAGCUUCAGCACUCUUGUUAUCACAAUGCAGAAGAGGAAUCUGAUCAAAAGAUAUGUUAAGCUCUUGAAAUAAGUAUGUAAUCCAGAGAACUUCAGAGGUAGCCAUAGCAAGAGCUCUAUACUCUGACUCAGCUGAUGAUCUGGACACAAUGGGCUGCUUCUUAGAGGACCAAGAGAUGAGAUUGGAACCUAAAAACACACAAUAACCUCCAACAGAUCUGCGAUCAUCAGGAUAUGCUCCCCAAUCAGCAUCAGAGUAGGCAGUUAACUUUAAAGAACCAGAACUGAAAAACUGAAGACCAUAAUCAGCUGUACUUUGAAGAUACCGUAACACCCUCUUGCAAGUUUGCCAAUGAAGAAUGGUGGGAGCUGAUAAAAACUGACUAAGCUUGUUGACUGUGAAAGCUAAGUCUGGUCGAGUUAACAGAACAUAUUGAAGAGAUCUCAUAAUGCUUCUGUAUAAGGAUGGAUUUUCAAAUGCAGCACCUGUAUCCUUGUGCAGCUUCUCAGAAGUACUCAUAGGUGUAACACAACCUUUACUGUCCAGCAUAUUUGCCCUUUUAAGAAUAUCACCAAUGUACUUAGUUUGAGAUAGAUGAAUACCUUGAACAGAUGGAGUAACUUCAAUACCAAGAAAGUAAUGAAAAUUCCCCAGCUCCUUCAAGGAAAACUCAGAAUGUAAUUGCUGAAUAACAUUUCCUAUGAGCUUUGAAUCUGAACCCGUGACUAAAAUAUCAUCCACAUAAAUGAGAAUGAGCAAGAUAUCUUUCCCUGCAUGCUUAAUGAACAGAGAAGUGUCAGAUUUGGAGACCUGAAAACCCCAUUAAAUUAAUGACUCCUUUAAUCAAUCAUACCAGGCUCUUGGAGCCUGUUUGAGACCAUAUAAGGCCUUGUUAAGCUUACAAACAUAAGAAGGGUAAGUGGAAUCAACAAACCCUUGUGGUUGAUGCAUGUACACAUCUUCAGUAAGAAUGCCAUUGAGGAAAGCAUUGUUUACAUCCAGCUGCUUAAUAGGCCAGUGAUGCAUGACUGCUAGGCUUAAAAUGAUUCUGACAGUACAAGGCUUGAUCACAGGGCUAAAUGUCUCAAAGAAAUCAACCCCAUAAGUUUGAUGAUAUCCCUUGGCAACCAACCGAGCUUUAUACCGAGAGAUACUGCCAUCAGCAUUAUACUUAACUCUGUAAACCCACUUGUUGCCAACAAUUUUCCCAGCUGAUUCAGGAGGCACUAAAGUCCAGGUUUGAUUUCUUUGGAGAGCUUCAAAUUCUUCAUUCAUAGCUGAGUACCACCUAGGAUCUGUCAAUGCUGCUUUGACAUUGGAUGGUUCAAGGUCUUGAGAAACAGCUAAGUAGGUUUUGGGUUUGUAGAUACCAGCUUUAGAUCUGGUAACCAUAGGAUGAGUAGAGAUUACUGGUGGAGAAGAAUUUGAAGAUCUUGAGGGUUGAUCUAGAGAUUGUGAAUGAACAGAAUGUGGCAAGGAAUGAGACUCUGAUGCAGGAGACAGAGCAGGACUAGAGACUGCAGCUGAUGGCUCUUCAUUGCUACUGUGACUAAGAACAGGUGUUUGAGGAAGAAAGAAAUGAACUGAAGAUGGAGUGGAGGUAGCAGAAUGAGAUAAGGUGUUGGACUUGUUUUUCAAAAACAGUUCAGAAUACAGAAAUUCCAGUUCAUUGAAAGUAACAUGUCUAGCAACAAAGACUUUCCCAGUUCGAUCAAGACACUUGUAGCCCUUAUAAAUGGGGCUAUAACCAAUGAAGACACACUUUUGAGUAUGAAAAUCUAGCUUGUGAUGAUGAUAAGGUUGAAGAAAAGGAAAACAAGAACAGCCAAACACUUUAGGAAACUUGUAAUCUGGAAGCUGAUUGUAUAGUUUUUGAAAAGGAGAUAAAUUAUUUAGAACAUGUGUUGGCAUUCUAUUCACUAAGUAAGUGGCUGUAUGAAAAGCUUCCCACCAAAAAGAGAGAGGUAAAUGAGCUUGAGCUAAGAGUGUGAGUCCAGUUUCAACAACAUGCCUAUGCUUCCUUUCCACCACACCAUUUUGAUGGUGAGUGUGGGGGCAACUAUAUCUAAAUUGAAUACCCUCUUGUUGGAGAAAUGAUCUGAAGGCUAUAAACUCACCCCCCAUAUCAGUUUGUAGUGUUUGGAUGGAUAAAGAAAACUAUUUUUCGACAAGAGACUUGAAAUAUUUGAAGGUGUCAAAUGCCUCAGAUUUGAGUGUGAGUGGAAAUACCCAACAAUAUCUUGUGAAAUCAUCAACAAAAGAAAUAUAGUACUUGUAUCCAUCCAUAGACAACACAGAAGCUGGACCCCAUAAGUCAGCAUAUAAGAGUUGGAGAGGAAAUUUUGAUUUUAUAUCAGUGACUGGAAAAUGGAAUUGAUGUAAUUUGCCAUAUUGACAAGCAUCACAAAAAUUAAGAGAUUGAGAAUAUGUUGAAUGCAUAGGAAGACUUUUCAUUAUUGUUUGCAAGACAUGUUUGGUUGGAUGACCAAACCUAUUGUGUAGCAACUGCAUAGACUCACUACUGGAAGCUAGAAAACUGACAGAAUUCUCAUUAUUGGAAUUGAUCAAAUUUGAACAGACAUUUGUUUGGUGAUUCAACUCUUUCAAAGAGUGUACAUUCUCUUUAUUUGAAAAAACAGACAACAUUGAACUAGGUUUGAGACCCAAGGCUUUAGAAUCAGAAAAAGGUGUAUCUUGAGUCAGUAGCUUAAAGAGACCAUCCUCAGCAAUCCCCUGUGCCAGCAAAGUUCCUUGCAUCUUGUCCUUAAUGAAACAAAGAUUAGAAACAAAUUUAAUGAUUAUAUGAUUGUCAGAGAGAAGUUUAGAUAAGCUAAUCAGAUUCUUGGUAAUUUUGGGAACACAUAGAACAUUGGAAAGGUUUAAUUGAUUACCAAAGGAUGUAAAGAGACAUAUAUUGCCUAUGGAAGUAAUUCUAAGACCUUGUCCAUUACCAACUAACAGCAACUGAGAUCCAAGAUAAGGUUUACCUUCAGCUAGGUUCUCCAUAUUGUUUGUGAGAUGAUGUGUUGCUCCACUAUCCAGAUACCAUCCUUGGUCAGCAACUCCUUCUGAUGUAGCCAUGAAGGCAGCUCUGGAAGUUUGAUUCUGAUCUGAAAAAUUUCCUUGCACAGAAAAAUUAGGAACAAAAUUUCUAUUAAAUAUGUCUUUGCAAUCAGCUGCAGUAUGAUUGUGCUUGAAACAAAUCUGACAAACAAUAUUUCCUCUGCCUCCUCCUCUUCCAAAUCCAUUAUAGCCACCAGGAAAUCUACCAGAAAAAUUUCCAGCAGCACCAGCAAAAUUGCCUCUACCCUGAUUUCCAUUCCAGUUAUUCCAAUUAUUAUUCCAUUGUCCUCUACCUGAAUUUUGUCCCCUUCCUGGAUUGAAACCUCCUCUAUUUGUAAAGUUUCCAUUCCAGUUAUGAAAUCCAGGUUUGUUUCCAGUGUUUCCAUUCCAGCCUCCUUGACUAUCAUUAUUCAAGCCUCCCUGAUUGUUAACUUUCUUUUGAUUAUUCCCAGCCUGAGCUAAGUUAGCAGCAUAGUUCUGUUUCACUUCCUUGAAAGAAUUAGAUUGAUUGCUUUCUAAACGUGCCUCAUGUGUCAACAACAUUGAAUAAGCCUCAUUAAUACUCAUUUUUAGAACAUUUGCUUCAAUAUACACAACUACUGGAUAAUAAGGCUGACCUAAUCCAGAGAUGAGAUGAGUUAUAAAAUCCAAAGAACUAACAGGACUUCCAGCAAUAGCAAGCUCAUCUAUAACUGACUUCAACUUACUAAAAUAUUCUGUCAUAGUCAUAGAUCAUUUCUUUAGAUUAUUCAACAUCAUUUUGAGAUGAACUUUCUUAGCAGCAGUUUCAGAUCCAAAUUGUUGCUCUAAACUAGACCACAGUUCAUAAGAGGUUUUAGAGUUUACCACAAGGCUGAGGAUUUCAAUGUUGAUAGAGGAUAGCAGCCAGCUCAGCAGCAUCUGAUCUUGCUUUCUCCACACAUGAAACUCAGGAUUCUCUUGUGAAGCAACAGUUGAACUUGCAGAAGUAUUGAACAUAGCAUCUGAAUUUCCUUGAGUGCUUGAGAGAAAUUGAUCUGGACAGAUUCUGGAUCCAUCAAGCAAACUCUCAAGCUCAUUUGCUCGAACUGAGGAUAGAAUUUGAGAUUUCCAGAUUAAGUAAUUUGAUCGAUCAAGUUUUAUUGGAGUUGUAAAAGUAAAGGUUGUUGCUGAAGAAGAGAUGUUUGUGGUCAAGCUUGAUAAUGCCAUGAGAUUAGACUAGACGUGGCUCUGAUACCAAAUUGAAGUUUAACCAAGCUAUUUAUGCUUGUUUGGUUGCAGAGAAAAUGAAGGAAAAUUCAAUGAGUAAUACGAGAAACUAUAAGAAAAAUAGAUCGAAUCUUAUUCAAUGAAUUAUGAAUACAGAGGUUGACCUUAUAUACUAAGAUCUAGAACCUUCUGUAUUGCUCACACACGUGUUGAGAGUGAGCUGUGAUUAACAAACUUCUCAGCUCUAUAACAAACUUACAAACUAACAAUAACAGCCUUGCUUACUCAGUUGCCACAUCAGCAGAAUCAUUACAAAAAUAUUCUUUAUAUUUAUAACUCUAACACGCUUAGUCUCCUCUUCAACGUUAAGUCCUCGACUAGCAACAAGCUCCCCAAACUCAACUGGGUUGGCCUGCCUGAACUCCAAGAAAUCUAGGAUCAUUGUAUUCCCCACACACACGCCCCUGAAGCACGUCUCCUACAAUUAGCACAACUAUUAUCGAUGCAAGUGUACAAGCACAUAUCUUCGGCAUCACAAUUGCAGUCCGUGACACCCUGCUCUUCUUAUAAAACUCCACCCCAAAUCUACACUACAAACAAGUUGAUUGAAAUUAAACAAUUGCUUUUUCAAGUGGACCCAUUGAGUCGUGGUCAUUACUCAUCAUUGUCUAUUUUUUCUAUGAGCCAUUUAUUUUGAGCAAUAGUGAGCUUCUCUGAACUACUCCAAUUAUUGAUGUAACUCCAGUGGCUGCAUCCAUAGUUGAAUAUAUGACAGUAUUAGCUCUUAUGUGAGAAUAUAGGGGGAUCUUUCUUUGUUUCUUUACGUAGCUAGAUGGCAUGUCCAGUGUUUGAAGGUUUGAAAGGGUGCAUAGCGGUGAAGGAAGACAUUUGAGCGAAGGGAUAUUCAAUUUCAAAUACUUCAAAUGGAAUAAAUUAUCUAAUCCGGGUGGAUAUUGGUCCAGGACUGCAGAAUCCAUGUUCAAUACCCGAAGGUGUUUGAACAUUUUACAAAAAUUCUCGCAAUCUAUCGGAUUAAGAUGAUCGCUUUCUGAACUGUGAUUCAGAAAAGAUUGGAGAUACAUGUCCGAAUGUUUCAAAGAAAAGAAUUCAAUCGGAUCAUCGAAAAUGAUGUACCGUUUGGUAUUUGCCAAUGAUUCCUCUUCGAAGUCAGGCGUCCGGACAAAUCCCAUCAUUGCUGCCGUCCCAACUAACGCAGCAUAUGCAAAAGUUGGAACAUAACACGCCUUAAUUGUGCCUCCGGCUCUUCUCUUAUUCACUUGAAUGAAGCCACGAUCGAUUAGUUCGUUCAAGUAAUGCUCGGCAGUUUCCUCACUGUUGUAUGGUAUGAAACCUUCAGCUACCCACAACUGAUAUAAUUGCCUGGUAGAUAUCUCAAUGCCUGGAUGGAACACACACAAAUAGAGGCAGCAGAUUUUCAGGUGAGCAGAUAACUCCAACACAGAAUACAUUCGACUCCAAGUUGUCAGAAACGCUUUUUCUCCCGUGUAAAUUCUUAAUGUCGUUUUUCCAUAGUAUAGGAUGAAAAAUUGCCAGGAUUCAUGCUUUAAUCUGAUCAAUGGUCCUCCAACGAGAACUGAAUCAGGACGAAUCGGCUCUCCAUUUUCUAAUUCGAACGAGCAAAGGAAGCCUGAAUCCGUGACCGUUAUCAAUACUCUGCUUCCAUUCUGAUUCUCAGGAAGUACUUCUUCAAGAUCAUCCAAUACAUCGUCACUCUCUUCACAGUAAUCAUCAAGCACAAUAAAGUACUUCUUGUUUGUUAGGUAAUCUCGAAGAAUAGAUUUCUUCAAUUGAUAAUCUUCACCGAUAACUACACUAACCCGAGAUGGAGGCAUCACAGACUUGAUUAUGUCAUCCAAUAUCAUGCGAAAAUCGUAGGCUAUAGAAACCCUGACCCAAGCAUGACAGUCAAAAUAGAACUUGACAUGAUUAUUGUUGUAAGUAUCAGCAGCAAAAGCAGUCUUAUCAAAGCCACUGCUGUCGAGAAUUGCAACCACUGAAAGCCGAGGUUGUCCCUCGAUCAGUAAAUCAAACAACUCCUCUCUGCCGCUUUCAAAUUCACUCUUAUCAAACUGAAAUUGUCCCUCAAUCAAUAAGUGAGUGAAUUCGUUCCUUCGCUCUUUGAAAUCAAAACCAUUUUCUCUAGGCGGAAUUUGUUGCAACCGAUUUCUAAUAUCAAUGAUUUUACUGUGGAUUCCGACAAGAAGAGCAAUGCAAGUAGUGCUUUCACUUUCACUGCAUUGCUGCUGCGUGAUGUUGAUGAAGAAUGUGUCAAUAGCUUUCUCUGAUUCAUCGACAAAGUAAUUGAUGUCUUUCAGAAGUUCCCAAAUGUCUGUUCUUUUAACAUUUUCUAAGUGCAAGAGUUGCCGAUAACGCGAAGGUAUUUCGUCUUCAUCGAAAUGUUCUCUAAUGAGUUGAAUCAAAACCCGAGCCAUGUCAGCUUCAUAGUUUACCUUCUUCACCUGCUAACACCCUUUUCAACCUCACACCAAAUAGUGUGAGGUUAAUUUCCAUAUCUUUCCCUCUGUCAGUAGUACUCAGAGGUACGUAUUGUUAUUUGUUAGUGUUGAUGACGAAAGCUGAAUAUCAAAGGAUAUAAAUCAAACAAAAGUUUUUGUAGAUUGAGAAUGGAUGGAUGCAAAGAAUGACUGAUGUUAAAUGAUUCUAUAAAUGAGAUAUGCAAAGAAUGAAUGAUAUUAAGUGAACAUCAAGGAUGGGAACAAAAUUUAAAGGUAAUUUUUUUUUUUAAGUACUCUGUUGAAAGCCAAAGUUCCUUUGGCCAGUUAAUUUAGAAGUGAAGGAAUGAAUAAAGUUAGUCCUCGACGUCUUUUGAAAUUAGAAAUACAUUUUGAAUGCUUUAAUAGAUGCAGAGCAAACUGGCUCGAUAUCUAACUAUUUUAAGAGCUAAAAUCAUUUAUUAGAAGUUGUAGCAUUAAAAAAAAGGGCUUGAUAUCCAAUUUUGUUAUUGAAUAUGUCUCACGUGAGAGUAUAUAACUGUUGUGUUACUGGCAGAUGGCUACGCUAGGUUUUAUUGCUCCCUGAAUUUGAUUGAAAAAUUAUUGAGACGGACAAGUUUGGACCGUCGUUCGAGACUGAAACUACAUAUCAGUCUUAGAAAAUUGUAAUUUUGUUGGCUUAUCAUGAUUUUCAUCGCCCCAUAUUGAUUUUCCUAUGAUGUCUCUGUAGAGUGGCUAUGCUUACAUUUUUAGGUAUUUACUUCUAAAGGUUAACUUAUUAGAUGGAGGGACCAAUUCUACCUAUAAAUCCAAGUGGCUUCCCUUUACUAACUCAUAUGAGACACAACAAUAAUUUUCUUUGGACAAAACCAUUGUUGGAAGGUUAUUUUCGUUCAACAUACAUGAGUUGUUCCACCGCUAUAUUUUGAGGGUUUGCUUUGGAUACGACUUGGGGGAGCUAAUGCUAAGAUUUCUAAGUAUCAACAUAAAAACCUUGCCUAUUAGGUGGAAGGACCAAUCCUACUUUAAAGUCUAAAUGACUAAUUCUUGAGGACACAACUCAACAGACCAAUAUAAAAUUUUGACGUCCCAUUUUAUUACUUUCCAGUGCUUUUACUUUUGCUGUCUAGAGCCCUACUAUUCUAUUAAGCAGAAAAUAUUUCAAGGCACUCUCGGUCUAGUAGAUAACUUUGGUAUUUAUUAUCUAUUGGGAAAAUGACACAGACACCCCCAACGUUUAGUAAAGGGACACAAAACUCCCUAAUGUUUGAAAAAAGACAUACAGACCCCCAUUUCAUGACGGAAACAGUUUCGUUAAAUCAGUCAAAGGUUAAUAUCGUAAUUGCACAUUAACAACAAAUGAAUUGACCAAAAACCCACACACGAACAAAACGCUUAACACACGCACUGACACUGCUCCUUCCAGAUCUUGACAAAAUCCUUAACGGACACACUCACACGGUUCGCCGGAAACUGCUGGAAUUGCUGGGGUUGCCGGAAGUCGCUGGAACUGCUGGGCCUGCCGGAAGUCGCUGGAACUGCUAGGGCUGCCGCAAGUCGCUGGAACUGCUAGGGCUGCCGCAAGUCGCUGGAUCUGCUCGCGCUGCCGCAAGCUGCUGGAUCUGCUCGCGCUGCCGCAAGCUGCUGGAUCUGCUCGCGCUGCCGCUGCGUUGAUCGAGACCGCAUCUGGCUGCUGCUCGUUCGUGUGGCUGCUGCUCGUGCGUGGUUGCUGCUCGUUCACGUGGUUGCUGCUCAUGCAUCUUCAAUCCACGGUUCACUUAUCUUAAACUAGCUUUUCCCUCUUUAAUUUUCUUUUUUUUUUACUAAAUUAACUUUAUUUCUUUUUAUUAUCAUUCAAAAUCCACCAGAAUUUUUGAGAAUUUUUGGACAAUUAAUUAAUUUUGGAGAAUUUUAGACAAUUAAUUUCACCGAAGAAGUGAGCUUACCAUGGGCAUAAUGCCAAAAAAGCUUGUACUGGUUUAUUGGAGAUUUAUUGUGCUUAAUUUAUCAAUGAAAAGCUUGUACUGGUUUGCAUAUGGUAACAAAUAAAAGCAGGCAAUACUACAACGACGUCCCAACAAGCUAUGAGAGGAAGUUCACAAGCUAGGAGCCAGAGUUGUCAUACAAAUUUGUGAAUAAAUAAUGUUUUUUUCUCAAAAAAAUAUUAUGGUUAUUGUUGUAAUGAUUACCAGUAUCAAUUUGAUACAAUAUUAUGAUAUAAGGAUUAUUUGUUAUGUUUAUUGGUGGUUUUUUAUGUCUAUUUGAUAUGUUAUUUAGUACAAUUAAGAUGUUGUUAACCAGUUUUUUUUUUAAAUUUUUUUUAUUAUACUGGUUUAAAUGAUUGACAUAUGAAGAAUUGUUAUUUUUAUAGUAUUAAUAAUUAAUUUUAUUUAUUUUUAUUCUUGAAUAAUGGAUUAAAAUUAUUUAGCUUGUAGAGAAUUUGAUAAAAAAUUAUUAAUGAUUUUAUUAUAAAAAAUUUAAUAGAGAAAUUGGAUAAUGAUGGUAUAUUCGUAAUUUUAUUAAUAAUAUAUGGGUAAAAUAGACAUUGAACAAUUUUUUUUUAAUGCUAAAAGGAUAUAACGGUAAUUACAUGUUAAAAUUAUAAUUUCCGUUACUAACGGUUUUCGUUAAGAAAUUGAGGUCUGUAUGUCUUUUUUCAAACAUUAGGGAGUUUUGUGUUCCUUUACUAAACGUUGGGGAUGUCUGUGUCCUUUUCCCUUAUCUAUUUUCGUUCCGUUUUAUGUAUACCCCGAUCUUUACCUCUGAUUGGUUGUAGAUUCUUUUGUUGCUUUGGGGUUAGGGGAUGGUUUUCAUAACUAUUAAGUUAAUCAAUGCAGAAAAUCUCCAUCAACAAAUGAUAAAGGAUUGUUAGUUCUGUCUGACAAACAACAUUAAUAUGAAGGAUGAUGAUUGUUCUGUUCAAGAGUUUAUAAUGACAUAAUUCUACUUUGGUCUUUUAAAAAAAGUAAGUUAGAAACGAGGAGUAUGUGAGUGAUGAUUUUUACAAAAUAAAUUGCAUGCAUGGUGAUGAUUUUGACACAUGAAAAUGAAAAAAGAAAUAUAAAUUGUGAAUAAUAAUUGAAGUACCUGCUAUUGUUAUAUUGAGUAAUCAAGGACUUCAAUAUUCGGACGAUAUAAGCAACACAAUCAAAUAUUAGUUGGAAGGCAUAGCAAAAUUAGAAUGUAGAACAAACUGGGUAUUGAUAAAUGGAUGGUUUUGGAAGAAUUGAAAAUGAUGGCAUAAGUAAACCAGAGUUAAAAGAAAAGAGAAAGAGCAUUUGAACUUUACUUGUAAGUAAAGGCAAAUUUCUUGGUUCAAGAAAAGAUAAGAGAUAUCAAACUAGCAAUAGGAAAAAGGAGGAAGGUUAAGACAGCAUCUCAACAAAAGCUAAAGAAAAGAAAAACUUAGUUCAAGCAAAGAACAAUGUGCUAAUGUCUGUGUAAUCUUGUUUAAUUUCUUUUUCUUCUCACAUUUUCCAGGGCUUAAAUAAUACAAUAUACAUUUUCAAGCAAAGAACAAUAUGCAAUUGCAGUACUUCUGAGCACACAACAACAAAUAAAUAAUACAAUAUACAUACCCACUAAAUUAAAAAAAAAUAUUAUUCAAGUUUGUGGACAAUACUGUAGCCAUGACGUCGUCGAAAUCUGCUGACAGCUGAAACAAAGAAAGAAUGGAUGAAUGCUGGAUCACAGUUGAAAUUGAAGGUCUGGUAGGUGAUGUUUCCCUCUCUGAUUUUACCUAAACAAAUACAAGAAAAUAAGAAUCACAAAUGAAAAUCUGCUAUUACACUGUUCUUACUUAUUAAAAUACAGAGGUUUCUUUGUUUCUCUGCAGCAAUGUCCAUGGCUAUUAGAAACAAGAACAAUUAGACCAGCAUUUGCAAGAGUCCUUUAAGGUAUUACUGCAGAUAUAAAUCAAGACUGAGGAAAUGGAAAAAUUGAAUACCAAAUUAGGCAAGUUAACUGAAGAUUGAGUUAUCAUAGAAGAAUAAAACUCAUCCAAUUCAAUCCAUCAAAUUCCAUAAGGAUACAACUGGAUGUCAUACUGCUGCUCCAUUUCCUCAAAAGCCCGUAGAUUUUGCCUCAACACUGGCUGAGGCCAAUGUAACUCCAAUUUGCAAAAGCUCUUUAUGCACCAUAGCUCUUCAGGAAGCUUUCUCAAGUAAGCACAAGGGUUGCCAAUUAAGCUUCCAAGUUUUGGCAUUGCUCCAGCCCCUAUCAUCCAAUCCUCUAGCCAAUACAUUGAUUUCAGGUGCAAUACCUUGAGCUCCGGGAAACCACAAGAGCAAACACAAGACAGUUUUCUUCCUGAAUAUGAGUUCUGCCUCAAUUUCAGCACUUGAAGGUGUGGAAGCUUGUCUAGUGUUAGCAUGGUAUCCUCCAAUAACUCAGUAUUUGAUAAGCUUAGAUGGAUCAGACUUGGAGAAGCUGGUAUUUAGACAGGGCCAUACGUGAGAACUACCACCUCUUGGUUUCGUUCACCAGCUUCAAGCAUUCAAGUUUGUGUAGUUCGCAUAGGCUUUUGGAAACCCCAGAACAAUCAUAAUUCAAAUCUCCAGAUACUACGAGUUUGAAGAUUAGGUAGUCUGCCUGUUAAAGUAGCUCACUAUGCCGAACAAAAGAAGGAGAAAGCUAAAGUGAAGAAAAUACAGAGCAAGAGUAUUAGCUGUGCCAGUUCAACUGAUAGCUCAGCAAAAUCAGUUAAAUUUUGUUACAAGCCCACUGUGCAUUGUGCUGAAGAUUAGUUAGUUUAAUAAUGAUUAGUUUUAGAUUAGUUAAAAUGUAAUCAUGAUUAAGAUAUAUAUAUAUAUAUAGCUGCUGUACUGAUAUCAUGGAUUAAGUUGUUGAGAAAUAAAAUUCAUUAAGCAUUUCCAGAACAGUUGAUUUUCUUUCUCAGUAGCCAAACAACUUCAAUCUCGUUUUUUUUCAACAAUGAGUUCUCAAACCACUCAAGUAUCAUUUUCAGAGAUUCUUGGCCUUAUACUCACCAUCAAAAUGGAUUGGUUGAGAGAAAACAUAGGCAUAUUGUUGAAUUAGGUUUGACUCUGUUGGCUCAAGCUCAACUUCCUUUUAAAUUCUGGUGGGAUGCAUUCCAUACUGCUCUAUAUCACAUCAAUAGAUUACCAUCUUCUGUUUUCAAACUUUUGACCCCAUAUGAGAAGAUAUUCAAGCACAAACCUGAUUAUGAUUUUCUCAAAUGUUUUGGUUGUAUUUGUUAUCCUUACUUGAGAGACUAUAACAAAAAUAAGUUUGCCUAUCAUUCCAGAACGUGUAUAUUCAUUGGUUAUAGUCCUUCACAAAAGGGUUAUAAAUGCUUACAUUCUUCAGGUCAAGUCUAUGUGGCAAGACAUGUUAUCUUUGAUGAGUCAACCUUUCCUUAUGCUACUGAAUCUGUUUUUCAUAGUCACACAAAUUCUGAUUCUCAUUCUUCAAAUUUAUUUCUCCACAGCAUGUCUAUUAUCUUUCUACUUUACCUGUCAUACCAGUAUUUCUAAAUAACAACACUGACAAUCUAAACUCUACAAAACUAAAAUGCCAGCUUUUUGGUGUUAGCGAUAAGAAACAACUUACCACAACCAUUAAUUAUCCAUAAUUUCAUUGUUUAUCCUCAGUUUUCUUCAUAAAUGUUACAGCGUUCUUCACAACAAAGUGCAAGGGCAUCUCAAAAGUUCUAAAAUAAUACCUCAAUUCUAUUGCAAAAAUAAAUAAUCUCAAACAAGAACCAAUAAUCAUAUGAAUAAACAAUUAAAGAUAGAGAAAAAAGGCUUAAACCUUGGGGAAAAAAAGUGAAAAAACAUGAAAGACAAAUUACACAUGUGCAGUAACCAUCGAACUUAUCAAUGACAGCUGCAUCCAUUACAUUGCUCCAACAACACAAUGGCAAACCACCAGUUUCAAAUUGAGGAUAGCUAUCGAGAAUGAGAAAGUGUCCAAAACGUCAUCAAUAGACAUGUUCCUAUUGUGCAUAAUUUACAUUAUAGGCAAAUAUUCUUAUACCAUCAAAGGCAAAACAUGACACUAACAAUUGAUCCCCCCCCCCCCCCCCCGUCCCCCCAACAACAAAAAAAAAAGGAAAAAACAACACAGAAAAGAUUGAAACAGAUAAGGCUACACUGAGCACAGGAUGCCAUGAAACAUAAUCCAGGAACCAAAUUAAUAAAAAAGGAAGCCAAACCAUUAUUUAACAAUCUGUUUUGUAUUUGGGAAAGUCUGAUAAAAUCUACUUAGGGAUAAUUAGAGAACCUCAACUAUUAAUCACACCUCAUAAAUGAACUAACAUUAACCAUCCCCACAUCACACAAACAUUCUAACCUAAUACUUCCAUCUUCAAUUGGGGGUUUUUUUUCUUUUUUUUUUGUUGGGGGGGGGAGCUUGCUUAGCUUCUGUGUGGGAUUGAAAUGCUGAUUUCGAAUCACUAACAGUAAAAUUGGAAUCUCAUGAAAAAACAGUUUUAUCUUAAAAUUACAUCUCGAUAUAAAUUCUCUUUUCAUUUCCUUCAACUUUCUAAUUAAGCUUAAAAAAUGUACCUUCAACCACAAAGGGGUUUAAAAUUUAAAAUAUAAAAAAUAAAUUCAGAUAACAAUAAUUAAUUUAAUUAAAAAUAUAAAUAGAGUUACAGAGAAAGAGAAAAUAGAGAAAGACCUAAUGUUGAGUCCUUUGGCGCAAGUCUCUUCAUAGGUCCGAACCAUUUCUUCGGGCGUGGGUUUCGGGUCUUUAGGAAACUCCAUAGUGAUAAGCCAGUGAUUGUAAUCGCAACCCUCGAACAGAAUCCUGUCGGGUGUGAUCUCGUCGCCGUCCUUAUACAAGUGGUACGUCUUGUUACCCGACGGCGUAGACGAGAGGGAGAUCGUCGGGGACGAUCUGAACGGCCGACGCCGAUGAAAUGGAAGGGUUUACCAGAGGAGUGGAUGCGAAGAGUGCAGGGACGGCCGCAGAGAGAGGGCGGCGGAGAGCGGCGACGGACGGUAGUGACCAGCGGAGGCGGAAGAUGGCGAUAUGGGCCAUUGCUUGCGCGUCAGUGAGUGUCUCGAGUGAGAGAGUGAAGGGUUUUGUUUAGGGUUUUGGGAAAUGAAAAAUGCAAAUGUUUGAUUUUGUUGCUAGAAACUUCUUCUGCCGCUGCCUUUUAUUUUCGCUAUAAUAAUAAUAAUUUAUUAAUCAAAUAUUUUCUUAAAAAAGAUAAAUUUCUACAACAAAAUUUAUAUUAAAUCAAAUUGUAAAAAUGUCUAUUAGGGUUAAUUUCUCCUUAAUAUUAUUAUUAGUAGAAGUAGAUUUUCGAAUUAGUCUUGAUAUAUUUCAGAGUUGUAUUAUAAAUGUAUAUGUAUCUGGAUUGCAAUUAUAUUUUUAAAAAAUAUAAUUUUUUUAAUUAUUGCACAAUAAAUGUAGAAAGUAUCUAUAAAAUAAUAUUAUUAGGACUACGAAAAAAAUAUUAUUUUAGAGAAGUUAUUUAUUUAUUAUUGAAUGAAUAAUUUAUUGGUAAAUGAAUAUUUAUUAAUUUAAAGAGAGAUUUUUUUUUUUUGGUUUGAAGAAGAGUUUUGUUGGUACAUAUACAUACUUAUAAAGAAACACAAAAAGUAGUUCCUCAAGUCAAUUGUAUUUGCUUUAAUUCAUAAUAAUAUAUCUUAAUCAAGAAACUUGUAAUUAUACUAUAUCUUUGUUUCUUUGUUCAGUUUGGUGGGACAUUGUGAUAAAUCAUUGGAUUAAAAUGCAUUUCUAAAUGAAAACUAGUUAAAACCUAAUUUAUUUGGGAACCACAUUUUAUUUGUCAGUCGUAUUUCUCAACUUAGCAAGUUAUUUCUAACUUAUCGGUCUCUAUUGAUUCUCUUAAGUGCCUGUUUGGUAUGACUUAUUUAAUGGCAAUAAGUGCUUAUUUAAUCUCAUAAGCUAUUAUCAUAAUUUUUGUUGUUGUUUGGUUGUUUUUCUAAUAAAGUUUUUGAAGCUUAAAUAAGUAAUUUUACCUCUACUAGCAAAAGCUCAAAUUUUGAGUUUUUUAGGAGUAGAGAUUGAAAAACUUUUUUAAAUGUCAACAUAUCUAUAAUAUCCUCUACUUAUUUAACAAUCUUAUUUAUUGUUUUCAUAAUAUAACUUUAAAAAACUUGUCUAUUAAAGUAAUUUCAUAAUUUUUUAAUAAAAGCUCUUAUUGACAACCAAACAAUUAAACUUUUUUUUAACAAAACCUCUACUUAAAUAAGUUCUACUUGAAAAACCGUACCAAAUAGAGCUUAAAGUUAAUAGUCUCGUAUCUCCCGCAUUUGAUAUCUUAUUGGCAUCAGCGUGUUACCUAAGAUUGGGAUUCAUUAAAAUCCUCAAUGUAAUCGGUGGAACUAAUGGAUUUCUUCUGUUCACCAAUCCACCAAAUUUUUUGUAAUUAAAUUCAAAAGUCAAGAUCUAUGCUUAUAAUCUAUUCAAUAGCUAAUAUUCUAUUUUAUAUUUACUUAAAUAUGAAGAGCUAUGCUUGUAAUUAACUUCAAAUGUGAUCGAAGCAGUAGGGAUGGCAAUGGGGAGGGGAGGGGAGGGGACCAAUCUCCCCAUACCCAUCCCCGAUAUUUUGCGUAUGUCCCUGUCCCCUCCCCGUCCCCGUCAGAAUUGCUUGAGAGAAUCCUCAUCCCCUCCCCGAAUAAUAACAGGGGAUCCCCGAGGGUCCCCGGUCCCCGAAUAAUUAAUAGUCUAAUACAUUUUUUUAUUUUCGAUUUUAAAUUAAUCAUAUUAAAAUAAAAAAUUCAGAUAAAAAUAAAGUUUAAAAUAUAUCUUACAUUAAUAUUGAUCCAUUACAAAGUCACAUUCAAAAUAUAAAUUAUUAAAAUAAUUAUCUUUAUCAAUGUCUCAAUCUUCAUAAUCCUACAAUAAAAAGAAAAAAAUUAUUUUUUAUAUCGGCAAUAAAAUAAAUGAAAUAAAUGUAGAUACUUAAUUAAUAUUUUUAAUAAAACUAUUUACCUCCUGCUAGUCAUGCUCGUCCUGUUCUUCCUCGAGAAAUGUGACAAAUUGAGAGAUAGCCUCAGAUUUCAAACCUAAAACAAUGAAAAUGAUAUAAGUAACGUAACUUAUAAGUGCAAAUAUUAAUAACUGUAUAAUAUAAUUACAAUGUAAAAUAAACUCAUACUGCUAUUGUAAGCUCGUAACCAACUUUAACAGCACAUUAAGGCCUCCAAUGUGCUUGGAUGAAGUUUGUUACGGUGUGGGCUCACAACUCUACCGCCGGUGCUAAAAGCUGAUUCAGAAGCAACUGUUGUAAUUGGAAUUGCCAAAAUAUCUCUAGCAAUUCGAGCUAAUGUAGGAUACCUAUUAGCAUUUGUCUUCCACCAACUCAAAAUAUUAAAAUCUUCCAUCCGGGGUAUAACUUUUUCAUCCAAAUAUGAAUCUAAUUCAUUUGCAACAAUUGCACAAUCUCCAUUGUUUACAUAAUCAUCAAAACCUGUCAUUCAUUUGGUUGCUUUCUUAUAAGAAUCCCCUGUAGAUCUAAUAGAAGAACUACUACCAGUAUAAUCAAAGCAAUAAACAGUUGGUGAAAACUUCAAUUGAUACUCUUCCACUAAUUCUCGGCAAAGGGUGACGACUUUCCCAACAUACAACUCUUUAACACCACCAUAAACCAUAGAAAAGUAAUAUUCAAUGAACUUCUUUUUAUACCUUGGAUCAAAGAUACAUGCCACACCCAAAAUUCCACUCAUAUCUUGCCAAUAUUUAUAAUUUUGUUAUUUAUUUAUUAGUAAUUUUAAAAAUAAAAAUAAAAUUAAAAUGGGGAAAUGGGUAGGGGAUGGGGAUUCCACCUCAUCCCCGUCCCCUCCCUGAAUAAAAAAUUGGGUAAAAAAUUUUCCCCGUCCCCUCCCCGAAUAAAAAUUUGGGUAUAAAAUUAUCCCCGUACCCUCCCCGAAUGGGGAAAAUCCCCGAGGGUACCCGUCCCCGUGGGGAUUUUUGCCAUCCCUACGAAGCAGCCUUGCAUCUGUAUAUUACUUAUUUACUCCCAACCUUUUUUUUGACUUCAUAUACUUUCUUUUCAUGUUAUUUACUCUUUUUUUUUCCCUCUCUGACAAUUGAGGUAGGGGGUCAAACUUGAAAGUAUCUUAAAAUCAGACAACAAUUUAACUAAUUUUUUUUUUUUAGAUAACUGCUAAUAUGCUCUAUUAGACAAUGAUAAGUGAUAACCUAGGUGUUUGCAUUAAAAACGAUAUUUUUUGUGGUGUUGAUAAAGAGGUUAAUUAUGAUUCAACAAUUUAAAAUAUGAAAACAUAUAGAAGACGGCCGCAAUUAAAUUGAUUGUAUGAAAAUAUUUCAAUGAAAUUUUAAAAAUUUAGUACUUGUUAUCUUAUCGAGAGUUUUUUAAAUUAUAUUACUACUUGAACUUGACUGCUUUUGUAUUGAAUUCCUAGCGUUGACAUUGCUUCUACUCAAAAGCCAUUUAAGUUUGUGUUAGAGUGCAAUUUAUGCACUAGUUUUGCAUUGUUUACUUCCCUUAAUAUCGAUGUUUUGCACUUAAUAAUAAUGAUUUACUUGUGUUUUACUUUUGUAGGUGCAAUUCUAUUGAUUUGUGAUAAAAUUGAGCUAUAAGAUGAUGUUUAAAGAUGAUUGUUCUCUUGGAGAAAUUAUGAGCGUCAGAAGAACUUUGUUGAUAAGGCGUGGGCGCGUGCUGUCAACUGCGGACCUGCAGUUUUUAGUUUAACGUGUUUUGUAUUUUUGGUUAUUUUUGUAAUUACGAAUUUAAUAUUUCAGAUAUUAGUAUUUUAUUUUAAAUAGAAUUCUAAAGGAGAAGAGAGAGAGAGUAUUUAAGAGAGGAAUCUAUUGUGAAAAAAAGGGGAUUGGAGAAAAGAAAGAAACCCUAGAUCUAAACUUUUCUCUUCUCUCUAUGAAGAACUAAACAUAUUUUUCUGGUUGAAGGUUAAUGCAGCUUUGAUUCAUCACUACUGUGAGAUCUUUCUUGUGCUUUAAUUGUUUUAUUGCUUUUUGGGUAUUUGUUUAUUCUCUGAAUUAUUUUCAUGAUUAUAUUUGUUAAUUAGGUAAUUGGCCACUAUUUAAUUAUCAACUUAAUCUAUUGUCAAUUAAAGGAUUCAUAGUAUGAAGAAUUUAAUGUUUGUGACAAAUAACAUAGCAGAUAGUUGUGUUGUGAGAAUAAACAAUCUAAUUUAAAUGAAUCAUCAUAUGUGUUGAUUAGGAUUUGGGUCUCUAUAGUUUUUCAGGCUGUCAAUUGAUUAAAUCCUAUGAUCGUAUCUAGGGUUGUCUAUUGAUUAGGGAAAUAACCAACGGUCGUACCUUGGUUAUCGACUAGUUAAGGAGAGAUUGGCUAUUAGAGGGUCUCAGUAGCUAUAACCGGUCUAUUCAUAAGUAAUAAUAAUCUAUAUUUGAAUCAAUGAUCAGUAGUCGAAUCAAGCUGAGUUAAUUCCUUCAACCAUAGCUUUCUCUAAUUUGAAUUACAACUUUAAUUUGUAUUCUUGUUAUUUUAAUUUGAUUUUUAUUAUUGUCAACAAUUCUCCCAUUUUACGUUUUACGUUUCAAAAGGAUUUAAAUAAUUACCGAUCUCUGUGGACACGACCCUACUCAAUCACUAUACACAAUUUAUUUAGAGUAGGAAUUUAUUUUUGUUGGCUUCGACAACCAUCAGUUUGUGUAAGCUACGUAUAGUUUGAACAACAAUUUAUUCAUGAAUUGUUGCUCAUAAUAGCAAUUUGAUUGAAAGUGCGGCUGCACUAAUUUUCUAGAUGAAUUUUUUCCUACAUGCUUGUUCUCGUAUGACCCAAAAUCCUGCUACAUCAGUUGUAUUAGAAAUUUUUUCCUACAUAAUUAUGCAUCCCCACCAAUAUUUAAGCAAUUUACAGAAACAUUUCUUGAGGAAAGAAACUCAUAUCGCCACUAGGCUUUUAAUGAGGCUCAUUUUUAUGAAUCUGGAUGGCAUUAGAUAUCUCUCCGAAUAUUGGUGGGAGUAGAUCGCAGAUCUCUGGGCUAUACUACAAAGUGUAUGUACGUUGACUCUCAAUAAAUACAAACGAUUCUCUGAUAUGAUUCAAAACAUGCAUAAUUUUAACGAGAAAGAAUAUUCUAAGUGUUGAAAAGUCAAAUAGUUGGCUUACCAAUUUCAAAAAAAGCAAAGUUAGGUUUUGAAAGCAUGCAAAUUGAAUACAUGGCAUGGGACAACUAGCAUGCAUUGCAUUUGUGAAUUUGGCCAAUCAAAGUCAAAUUGAAACCGGGUGGUAGGUGAGCAUGCUUUGCCUAUAAAUAGAGACGCAAAAUGCAUUUGUAAAUGCAUCCCAAUUUGAGAGAAGUAGAGAGCAAUUGCAAGUGAGUUCUUUAAGAGAAUUUGAGAGAGCUUCCACUUGAGUGUUCUAGUGAGGUUCCAUUUGGGUGUAUUGGGGUUGUGGGUUUUGUGAGUUUUUUCCACUUUUGUAAAUUUCCAUUGUUAGUAAAAUUAUCUUUUAGUCUUUGCCUGUGGAUGUAGGCAUUACGCCGAACCACGUAAAUCAUUGUGUUAUAUUUUCUUUGCAUUUGUUUAACACCACAUUUAUAUUUCUCCAGAAGUUGCAGUAUUAGUAAUUACUCAACCCGCGUUUCCGCAACACUAAGAACGAAAUUGAACGUGCAAUCAGCAACUAAAAUGAAGCCAGAAAUGUACAUGCAUGAGGAAUUUUUCCUAGAAGAUUGAUAUUUCUUUGACUAGCAAACCAUACAAGUCCAAAGCUAGCCAAACCAUACCUGCAAGUCGGGGGUUUAAAUGGAAUGCUUCUAAGCAUAAAACAUUGAUUAAAAUAGAAUACACACAUACAUACCAACAAAUUCAAAAUAGCAAAAGGAGUGCAAAAGUUCAAGUUUGUAGACAAUAUUGCACCCAUGGGAUAUUAAAGCAAAUCCUUGAAAUCAGCUACACAAAACGAUGCCCGGUCUCAUGAAUCGAUGCUCAAUUAAAAUUGCAAUUGAAAGUCCGGCUGGUGUUGUUUCCCUCUCCAGUUUUGCCUACAUAAGUAAACGGAAAUAAGAAUCACAAAUGAAAAUUUGCUUUGACAGUUCUUAUUAGAGAGAUAUAAAGGGAUCUUUCUUUGUUUCUCUGCUGUAAUUUGUGGCUAUCCCACUCUGUUUUGCCAGUCAAGCUAAGUCUACGUUGAGGCAUAAUUUUGACAUCAGAAGCAACCUCAAUUAGUUUGGCAUUUUUAUGACCUCCUUGAAGGUUUUAUGAUAAACAUAAAUCCACUGAGAAAGUGGGAAAAAGAGAAAAUGCAUAUAAAAGUAUGAGUUAUCAGAUAAGAUUAAAACUCACCCAAUUCAAUCCAUCAGAUUCCAUAAGGAUAUAACUGGAUGUCAUACCGCCACUCCAUAUCCUCAAAAGUCCGUAGUCUUUGUCUCAACUCUGUCUGAGGCCAAUGUAAAUCCAAUUUGCGCAAGCUCUUUAUGCACCACAGCUCUUCUGGAAGCUUUCUCAAGUAAGCACAUGGGUUGACAGUUAAGCUUUCAAGUUUUGGCAUUGCUCCAGCCCCCAUCGUCCACUCAUCUAGCCAAUACAUUGAUUUCAGGUGCAAAACCUUAAGCUCCGGAAAGCCACCAGAGCCAACACAGGACAACUUUCUUCCUAAAUACGAGUUUUGCUUCAGUUUAAGUACUUGAAGGCAUGGAAGCUUUUCUAGCGUUGGCAUGGGGUCCUCCAUUAGCUCAGUAUUUGAUAAGCUCAGAUGGGUCAGACUUGGAGGAAACUGGUAUUCAUACAGGACCAUUCGUGAGGGCUUCCUUUCAUUCACCAGCUUCAAGCAUUCAAGUUUGUGGAGUUCGCAUAGGCUUUUGGAAACCCCUGAAUGAUAGCAACUCAAAUCUCCAGAUAUCCGAAGAGUUUGAACAUUAGGUAGUCUGCCCAAUAUAUCAGGAGUACAACUACUGGGGUUUAAAGUUGAUAUGAAAAUGAGAUUUUUCAGGGAGCUAGAAUAAUUUUUUGGAGGUGCGGGCAGAGUGAUAGAACCAAAGUUUAGAUGCAUGAGUUUUUGCAUCAUCCAAAUAUCCUCCGGCGACUGAUCUACGUAGCUAGAUGGCAUUUCUAGUGUUUGAAGGUUUAAAAGAGUGCAUAGCAGCGAAGGAAGGCAUUUGAGCGAAGGGAUAUUCAAUUUCAAAUACUUCAAAUGGAAUAAAUUUUCUAAUCCGGGUGGAAAUUGGACGAGAACUGCAGAACCCAAGUUCAGUAUCCGAAGGUGUUUGAACUUUUCACAAAAAUUCUAGCAAUCUAUCAGAGCGAGA
rnacentral:lncRNA from 1 species